UAGAUCCAUAAUCCAUUACGAUAUAAGAAAUAUAAUAUUUUAUUGAUAUGAUAAUAAGGCAUACAUGAAAACAAUGCUAUAACAACACAACAUAAGCCAUAUAUAAUAAUUCAAACACGUUUAAAGGAAGUGAGGUUCCUUAAGUGCUUCAAUGGCUGAUCCGACACAGCAGCUUCAUAAUUGUUAGACGAUGAACCGUCUUUGGCAGAAAGAGUGAGGUGGUAGUUGGUCCCUGCAACAACCUGUGAUUCACCUUUGAUAAGUUUCUCAAACUCCAAUGUUGCUCCUUUUUGCUUGUUGUACUCGACAACUGCGAAACGGGCUAUUUCAAUCACAUAUGGAUCAGUGAUGUUCUUUAUGGGUGUCCAACCGCCUGGUAUAGCUUGAUUCAGAGUGGCCGAAGCAAACAAAAUAAGGAAGAGGAGACUAAGGGAUUGAAAUCUCAUGAUGUCUGUUAACUUGAGAAAUCAAGAUGGUGUGAGUUAAACUCUGUGGUGUGGAGGAGUAGUUAUAUAUAAUGUACAAAAGUUAUGCCAUUUUUGGUGAUAUACUCUUUUAUUCGUUGAAUUAAAUCAAAAAUUUCAUUUGAUUUUAUUUCAUGAAAAUAAAAUAAUUUUUUUUUUACCAAAUAAAUAAAAUCUCUUUAAUAAUAUAUAAUAUUUAAUAAACCUACAAUUAGUUUAAUAGAAAAGUAUGGUCAAAAGUAUUAUAUUUAAUGUCAUUCAAGGAAAAUGUUGUCAAAAGUAUUAUAAAUAAUGUUAUUCUAAAAAAUGUCAUACAAUGUUUCUGUUUUUUUAAUAUAUUUAUUUAUAUAAAACAUUUGUAUAAUAGGUUGUUCUAUGUUUUUGAUUUUAUCUUAAUAAAUGAUAAUUAUUUUUUUUCAAUUUUUUUAAGUAAUAAUGAUAAGAGAUUAAUUACUAUACACUGUCAGUGUAAAAAGUUUUACACUGUCGGUUCAUCACCAUCACCCGUUUGUAUUACUUUGUAGAUUUUUAAAAUAAAAGUCAAACAUCUUUUAAUAUUCAACGUCUAUAAUUAACUGACGGUGUAAAACCCUUUUACACUGUCAGUGUAUUUCAAUUAAUCUCUAAUGAUAAAUAUUUUUCUUCUAUAUUUUAUAAUAUUUGACAUGCACUUUCUUUCUUUGUCUCAAUGAAAUAUUUAUUCCUUGUUUAAUUUAAUAUUUAUUAGUGACAAAAUAUUUGUUCCGCGCCAUUUAAUUUAUUAUGACAAAUUAUAUAAUUCUAAAAAAAUAGAACAAUUAUUUUUUUUACAAUAAAAAUAAAUAAUCAUUAUUUAUUAUUAAUAAAUAACAAAAUAGGAGACAAAAAGUUAUCAUUCAUGUAUAAAAAAGUGCAAGAUAAUCAUUUUUUUUAAUAUAAAAAAAAUGGGACACAAAUAUUUAUUGUUGAUGCAUAAACAAAAAUGUGACAAAUAUUUUUUAUCGAUACACAAAUUAAUUAAUAAAAUGUAAGUUCAAGAAAAGGAAACAUGUUUUUAACAUAUAGGUGAAAAUUGAAGACUAUAUCAUCAUAUAAAUAAUCCGGUUUAAAUUUCUUUGGCCCAUAAAAAAAUAAUGAAAAAAAUAAAGGGAAUAUAAAGCAUUAAAUUCAAGAUGUGUGUGACUGAAACGGAGGAGGGUCUCCUUACCUUUUGUUGGUGCACAAGAUCAAGCCCAAACUCAAAAGGCAAACCACAUGAUCAAUGAGUACCAAAGACCAAGAACUAGGGUUUUGCGCAUAAGUAAAUAUCAUGAUUGUAAUAUUUAUGAACCAUGGUCCCAAGCAAUAAGAAUUAAGGUUUCACCCCUUGAUUCCAUAUUGAUUGCACCACCACAAUCUCUAGGGCUUGAUCCUCAAGCAAACCCUAGCUUUUGUCAGGUAUAUAUAACCACAAACUUUGAGUCUAUAAUGUAUGUUUGAGAGUGCUAACAUGAAUGAAUGAUGCAUAUGUAUUUGAUAUGAAUGAGUACAGAUGAAUCUCAAACCACACGUCAGAUGAAAAGUAAAAAGGGGAGGGCAAAUUUUGGGGUAUGACAGCUGCCCCUAUUUAAUCAUCUUAAACCUGAAUGUGUGAAUUGUGACACCUUUUCGGGUAUUCAAGGUAGAAGAGGAUUAAAUACCAAAAUAUUCGGAAAUUUUCCCCUUGAGAAUGGUUGUAAUGUGAGAAGGUAAGUGUAUUGGGAAUAUGGAAUGACAAGUAGACUUUUAUAGGUUCAUCUGUUGGGGAUUGACUGAAAUACUCUGUUGGGGAAAUAUAUCAGUCGAAAAGGAAAAGCAUGAUAUGCAUGCUAUAUGCAAUGUAUGUUUAAUUUUUAAUAAUACAUGAAAUUAUGUAUUCUACAUAGAAAUGUGGGUUAUUUUAUGAUAAAUGAAUGAUAUCCACAAGGGUAAGAUUUUUCUGGUGUAGAGUAGACUUCAACUCACUGAUAGUCGCACCAAAGAACAUGUAAUGAAGGAAUGCUUUAUGUUACCACCACUACUGGAUAUGUUCACUUGAUCCUGCUGGGGAGGAAAGAGUGUGAUCUGAUCGAGCAUUCAUUGAGAUGCUCUCAUAUAUCAAGCACUUUCUAGGUAAUCAAAGCAACACACAAAGCUUUGCUUGUUCAUUUUCAAGGCUUCAUGCUAUGAGCGAAGCGACAUGAUUCCACAUGGUGAUGAAUUAUGCAAUGGUUAACCAGAUGCUCAUGUGGCGGGAGGUGGGAGAUUUAAGACUAGGAUAAAGGUCAUAAAGACGUGAUUCUCCGAUGCCAACUUCAGGCUCAACAGUUUUCGUCACACCUUUGCGCUGUUUUAAAAUAGGGAGAAAACGUGUACCUUAGUAGCCUACCUCUUCCCCAGUCUGUAGGGUGUCUGCAUGAAUUUCCCCAAUCACAAAUUAUGAAGCAGUCUUGUCAUGGGAAGAUCUUGAUUUGGCUUUCCCCAGUGUCUUGAAACUGUAUCUCCUUGAUCAACCAUUUCCAGGAGUGUUUGACUUCUCGUGCUCUUGAGUUGGCAUGCCCCAUUAUGAGCCUUGAAGUGACUUUAUCCCUGGUUGGCUAAGCUAGGAGAGAUUUGUCUUCUCGAUGUGAUUGCCCCAGAUUGAAUGAGUCUUGAAGUGGUAUUCACUUCUUCUCAAGGGAAUGUUCAGGCAUUUUACCCUUUGGUAUGAUCAAACUUCCCAUUAUGGAAACUUUCUUGAUGUCAAAUGCUUGUUCGUAAGUAAAAAUGUUUAUUUUUCAAAUGAUAAUUCUAACGUUAUGUUUAUGUAAAUUUUGAAAUCCAAAUAUGGUCACUAAAAUUAUGAGAUAUAAUGAAUGAAUCAUUAGUUAAUAUGUCAUAUCAAUACCAACAUAAAGGAUAAGCAAAUCUUUAAGAGUCAGUUUUACAUGAUCCUAGUAUAGUAUGCUUUUCAAAAUAAACCAUGCUUCAAUUAGGUCUUUUGAGGGUUAUGAUGUGGCCUGGUUCACGGUUUUAGAAGUAAAGGAUACAAGGCUCGAAACCUAUUCUAACCCGCCCAUUCUCCUUGAUGUUCUACAGUCCUACGUUCAGCUCGCUCAACACAAACACUUAUUUUUCAAAAUGGAUUCUGAAUAUUAGUUGUGAUGGUUAAGGGACCCAUGAGAUUUUGAGAGUGACAAUCACCCACCUUUUACUUUUUCUUGUAGCCACACGAAUUUUCUCUUGUUGAGGAUUCUUGAUUCCUCUUUUUUUUUUCUUUCCCUUAUUUUUGCCAGGACUGAUCCCUUUUUAAUCUUGCAGUCCAUCGGGAUGCCCUAAUUUUCUCCUAAGUCACUUAUUUUCAAGUUUUCGACUUAGCAGACUUUUCUUUUGCUUUUGAUUUCUUUGCAUUUCUCAUUUUUCUUCUCUCUUUUUAAUCUUGCAGUCCAUCGGGAUGCCCUAAUUUUCUCCUAAGUCACUUAUUUUCAAGUUUUCGACUUAGCAGACUUUUCUUUUGCUUUUGAUUUCUUUGCAUUUCUCAUUUUUCUUCUCUUUUGAGAAAAAAUUCUGUGACAUUUGCUUGAUUUGUUGAAAGGGUUGUGACUGUCUCGCUCCUUUUUUUUUGUAAGGGAUAACCAUUAGGGAUCUGUGAUUCAAUCCUCGCCUGAGGGAUAUUAUGUGGUUGAUCCUUAGAUAGGAUACUCUCAUUUUUGAAAUUUCAACGCACGGUCAAACUAGAUGAAGACUACCCUACCCCUGGUUAAGACUGAGGGUUUUAUGUAUAGAAAGAAACUCCUACUCCAAGGCCCAAAGCGUUGACUAGGGAUUAUCUUCCUUAUACCUCCGGUGUUUAGGGAUUUGAAACAAUGCCUUACAUCGUCAACAAGGUUUUAUUCAAAAGCAUACAACCAGUAGUCUCGUGUACUUUGAUUUCAUCAUUCUCUUUUGAUUUUUAUUAAGCAAAAGUAUGAUAUUGUAAAAAAGAUAUGAGUGAACACGAAUGGAUUGAUUCAAAACAUGCAUAUUCAAUUCAUUAUGAUUAUUAUUAAAAAAUAAACAAGUUUUUACAAGUGGAUAUUACAUUGACAAACAAGAAAAACUAUAGAUGAAAAUGAAUGAAAAAGUGAUCUUCAGUGUUGAUUAGUCACCAUUUGUGCUAGAAUUUUCAUCAGUUAUACGUCAAGAAACCAGGUAAAUUGUAGAAGUUUCAGCUUAAUUAUGGGUAAUUCGAGUCAGUUGGUGUCUUAAUAGUAUUUUCUUUGUUUAAGUUUCUGUUAUCUAUUUUUAUGCUUUUGGUAUGUGUGGCAUGUUGGAUCUAGGUAUAAAGGCACAAGGAAUCAAGGAUCGGACGCAGGACAUGGCCAGAACAAGGAAUUAGAGAAAAAAAGAAAAAAAAAAGUGCAAGCAUCUUCCCAUAUGCAUAUGUACUCAUAUAAUACACGUAUGAACCUGCACUAUACGCGUACCUUACUGUAGCACCUCAAAUUUGCACCCAUCAUUGUACAUACAUUCUCAUAUUAGGUCAUAGCAUAUCAUGGUCCAUUGCAUAGCAUUGCAUUGCCUCAGUUGCCUCAAGUACAAGCAAGUCAAGAAUUAGGUCAAGACUGAUCAGAUCGGGGAGAUCAAGUGCACCAAGCAAGCAAGGGUGUUUCUCAAGGAGAAAAGGCCCUAGGUUUGUCCAACAAGUUCACAUGACUUGGAGGUCCAUUUGAAGUUUUUAAGUCAAGGGUGCGAUGUUCAGAACCAUCAGUUCAUGCACAGACAGUCAAAAACCUAGAAAGUCAAAGUUAGUCAACUGUGUUGAUUUUGGGGUUUUUUUUUUUCGGGGGGGGGGGAUGGAUGGAUUGGGUUUGAGAGGGCUUAUUCAUGUCCAAUAGGCCUCAUAUAUCAUGGCAAUCAACUCAUUGAAGAAUUUGAAGCCAAUCAGAAAAUUUCCAAAAAUAGAAACUGGACUGUAAUUUUAACUGCAAAAAUGGAAAACUUCUUGAUCCUCACUUGCAUCAUGAUACAAGGCUUCAAAUGAAUUUUUUGCCCAACAUGAAAGUUGAAGAAAAAAAUCUNNNNNNNNNNNNNNNNNNNNNNNNNNNNNNNNNNNNNNNNNNNNNNNNNNNNNNNNNNNNNNNNNNNNNNNNNNNNNNNNNNNNNNNNNNNNNNNNNNNNNNNNNNNNNNNNNNNNNNNNNNNNNNNNNNNNNNNNNNNNNNNNNNNNNNNNNNNNNNNNNNNNNNNNNNNNNNNNNNNNNNNNNNNNNNNNNNNNNNNNNNNNNNNNNNNNNNNNNNNNNNNNNNNNNNNNNNNNNNNNNNNNNNNNNNNNNNNNNNNNNNNNNNNNNNNNNNNNNNNNNNNNNNNNNNNNNNNNNNNNNNNNNNNNNNNNNNNNNNNNNNNNNNNNNNNNNNNNNNNNNNNNNNNNNNNNNNNNNNNNNNNNNNNNNNNNNNNNNNNNNNNNNNNNNNNNNNNNNNNNNNNCAAGGGUUGGAUGUUCAGAAGCCAUCAGUUCAUGCACAGACAGUCAAAAACCCUAGAAAGUCAAAGUUAGUCAACUGUGGUUGAUUUUGUGGUUUUGAUGGAUGGAUUUGGUUUGAGAGGGCUUAUUCAUGUCCCAAUAGGCCUCAUAUAUCAUGGCAAUCAACAUCAUUGAAGAAUUUGAAGCCAAUCAGAAAAUUUCCAAAAAUAGAAACUGGACCUGUAAUUUUAACUGCCAAAAAUGGAAACUUCUUGAUCCUCAACUUGCAUCAUGAUACAAGCUUCAAAUGAAUUUUUGCCCAACAUGAAAGUUGAAGAUCUUGUUCUCCCAUUUUCAAAAAGUCCAAGAACUCUCAAAUCCCAUGAAUGGUUUGCAAGAUAUGGUCAAAUCAUUUUCACAUUUUCAUGAACUUCAAAUGGCCAUAUCUCAUGAUUCCUUUGGCCAAAUUUGAUGGGGUUUUUUCCUACAAUCUCCAUUUAAUCCCCUCUUUCCAAAAAUUCAUUCAUCAUUCACCAAAACCUUGCCAAUCAAAAUGGCAUUUUUUGACUUGUUUCAUUAAAAUUCAAGUUUGACCAAAGGUUGACUUUUUGAUUUAAUUGUUUUCAGCACAUUUGGCCAUUUGGAAUUGAUUUAGAAUGUCAUUUGCAACAUGUUCCAAGCCCAAAUUCGUGCACUUGCUAUCACAUACCACCAUUUUGGCCAAAAGUGCAAAAUUAGCAAUUUGAUUAAAAUGAGCAAAGUUUGGUUAGCACUUGAUUAAGCUUUGUUAAACAGCAAAUAUAAAGUGUUUUUUCUGUCAUUCUAAACCCUAGUCACAGCCUCCUAACACACAGAAUUCCUUCUUCUCUCAUUUUUGCAUUUUCACACUUUGAGAAUUUCUGACCAAAAGCUUCAAAGUGCUCGAGCAACCCUUGAUUGUUUCAUCACUUGGCCAACCUUUGGAAGCUAUUUUGGACCUUAUUCCUCGACUGUAAGCAGAGGAAACUCACUGUUCUAUUGCAAGCUCUCUCAUGGCAGAUUAUGGUUCAAGCUAUCUCGUGCAUUCUUGAGCUGAAAUAACUUCAUUAUCCAUCAUUUCAAAGCAUAAAGCACAUCUGUUUCGAGCUUUGAAGGCCAAAUAACCAUUACAACUCAACUGUUCUUCAAUCUUGGUAACAUUUCGAAUCUCACCUUUUACCAAAUUAGCUAUGCUAGGAAGGUCUUUGUAAGCUGAAUGCCAUUGCAAACUUGUAACAUCAAAAAUGGUAUGAAGCGGACGAAAUCGAAUUCUAUGUGUGACGCAAACUAUUCACUCGACUUCCGCUUAGUAAUGAGUUAAUGAGAUCUGGUUUCCAUAUUUGGUGGUCGGUGGAUGAUGCAUUGAUGUAUGAUGUCAUCUGGCAUAAAAAUCNAUGCCAUUGAUGUAUUUGAUUUGCGGUUCUGGGCAUAAAAAAUUUUCGAGUUGAUUUGAAGAUGAUGAAGCAUACUGUAGCAUUAAAACCCUAGCAUUUUCCAGAAAAAACCCCUGUUUCACGUAUUGCAUGUGGUUGUUUACUGUGCAUUUCCAUGAUAGCCAAUUAAAACAUUUCAUUUGCCUGGCUGAAACUCUGCGUUUUGAUAAGUAAGGGCGGUAAUUGCAAAAUUGCCACCGGUCAACCAUGUUGACCUAGUAUAACCAUGUUCUUUGUUCAUUUUUGUCUCAAUUGUUAUUCAUCUUCCAAAAUUCAUUUCUCACUCAAUUUAACUCCAAAAAUCAUGGAAUUUUUUGCAUCAUGUUCAUGAGAAUGUCUUUUAUUUUAUCAUGAUUUUUGCUGAAUUUUUGGUUGGCUGUAUUUUUAAUGGUGCUAGUUUUCUUAACAUGUAUGCUCAUUUGACACAUGUUGCCAAUCCUUUUGUGAAAUGAUCAUGUUGCAUCCUUUUGAUCUGAAAAUUUUUGUGGUUAUUCUACACUCAUCCAUGCUUAUUUUGGUAUAAAUUUCAUGAUUUUAUCAUAUGUGGAUUGAGAGCUUUGAUUUUUUUGAAGUAAGGUGUUACAUUUGAUGUCACACCAUGAAUGUGCAAGUUCAUGAAUUUUGUUGACCUACUUCUUGGCCUCCAAUUGACCCCAAAUUUUGCAUGAUCCCUCUCAUAUAUGUCUAGUUGACUUGUGAAUUUUCUUGGAUUUAUUUGAGCCAUUUCCUAAUUACUUGAGAUUUUUCUUCCCUGCCUAGUCAUUUGUUGACUUUGUGUGACACACCUUGCCAUUUCAUUUGGGAAAUUCUCAUGCCUUAUUGUAUGAUCAUGCAAUUUUGCAUGUGCAUACUAGACAUCUUGAGAUUUGCAUUGGUGUUGAUCCCAUCCAUUUCUAAUCUGUUUUCAUUUUGUUAUGAUUUUUUGAAGAUGACACAUGUUUUGUUGACUUCUUUGUGCACACUUGAAAUUGUGUUGACUUCCUGAUUUUAAUUGACUAUCUUCCCAUGAUCCAAUUGAGCUGAAAUUUCAUAUGCAUGCUAUGUUAUGGAUUGUGAUUGAGCAUGAAUUAUUUGAUAAUUUUUGGAAUUGAUUAUGUUUGCUUUUGAGCUUGGUCUUGCUGUUGACCUUUUGCAUGUUUCCUUUUUGCCAUGUUUUGACUUCUUUGGUCUAUAAGAUGAUAAUGAUGCAUGAUAUGAGUUUGAAUCCAAUUGUGCUUGCUUCUUAAAUGCUUGAACUUGACNNNNNNNNNNNNNNNNNNNNNNNNNNNNNNNNNNNNNNNNNNNNNNNNNNNNNNNNNNNNNNNNNNNNNNNNNNNNNNNNNNNNNNNNNNNNNNNNNNNNNNNNNNNNNNNNNNNNNNNNNNNNNNNNNNNNNNNNNNNNNNNNNNNNNNNNNNNNNNNNNNNNNNNNNNNNNNNNNNNNNNNNNNNNNNNNNNNNNNNNNNNNNNNNNNNNNNNNNNNNNNNNNNNNNNUUGUGCGUGGAUCCCGUAGAGUACUACGGAUGCGUAGGGGUGCUAAUACCUUCCCUUCGCAUAACCGACUCCCGAACCCAUUCUCUUUGGUCGCGAGACCAUGUUCUUUCCUAGGUUUACUUCGAGCGUUUCCUUUCCCUCUUUUGGGAUAAAUAACGCACGGUGGCGGCUCUGUUGUUUCUUUCUUUUCCCGCCGGUUUUUCGCGUAAUGCGACACUUACGAUUUUUACCAGAAAGGAGAAAAAACGUGUUUGCUUCCCUUACGCAUAAGAACAAAGGUGUUACACGUAUGACUGUGACUAUUACUCGUACCAUGCGAGUUUCACUAGGAAGAGGAACAAAAACAAGCUUUUGUCCAUACGCGUACCGUACGUGUAAGGGCAUGCUUGAGAGGCCACUAUAUUGGCGUACACGUAAUGUAUGUCUUCAAGGAAUAAGGCAAUAUGCGUAUGACACUGGUCAUUACGUGUAUUAAAGCCCAAAUAUUCAGAAAGCCCAAAUUUUGAGUAUUUAGCUCCUUAACACGAUUUUACAAGGUUUGGACAAUUUUACUGAGAAAAAACAUGUUCUAAGGCUGGAUAAUUCAGAUUUUCAAGGUGGAUUCAAAUUUUCAAGAGUUUUCUGCAAUUGAAGACCAAUUCAUCUAAGAUUUCUGUAAUGACAAGAAUCUUUACUAUGUUUUCUUUUCUUUUUAUGAGUAGCUAAACCCCUUAUUGGUAGGUGGUGUCCCUGAUUCAAACUUGUAAUGGUUUUGAAUUACUUUAUGCAAUAAAAAUAAUUUUUAGUAUAGUUGAUUUAUUAUCAUGAACGUUCUAAUUGCUUUCUCUAACGGACAAACGGAGUUUGAUGUAUGUGAAAUAAUUAGGAUGACCGCCAUUAUUCAUGACCUGCUUGAGAAUAUAUCAUAGUAGAUGAUGCAUAGGACUAGGGAUACCAUAUAAUAACUGGAUUAUUCUUGAUAUAAUAAUGUUUAAUUUCAUCCUUGAUUUUCUAUGUACAUAGUAAUUAGGUUGAAUGAUUAAAGAUUUUCUCACUAAGGACUUAGGAGUAAACAUCCUUAAGAAUUGGUAGUCAAUUAUAUAAAAGUUGUUGUCGCACCGUGAGUUUGGAAUCGUUACAUGAUUGAAUCAUACACCUUCCCUUGCAUACUACUUAUAUUUAUCUUAACUGUUCAAGUAUUUUAUUUACUUUAUUCGCUUUUGCUUUUCUAAUUUCAUCAAAACAAUACAAAAACACCCAAGCUUUUGUUUUAAUUGAAAUUAAUCCAGAACUCUGUAUCAUCAAGCAGUCCUUGAAAUCGAUACUAGGGAUUUCCCCUUUUUGUUACUUCAUUGGCAUAUUAGUACACUUUCUAAUUUUCUGAUCAAACUUUUGGCGCCAUUGCGGGGGACUGCCAAAGAUGAUAGAGUUCAUAAAUCUAUUUCAGUUAAAGUUGUGUUGCUCUGCAACUAAAAUUUUAAAUUUCAGUUUUUUGUGUGUGGCUAUUGUUGGGUUAUAAAUAAUCUUUGUAAGUGAGAAAAGCCCUCAGCUGAUUUUACUUUUGAUGCAAAACCAAAAAGAACUUUUCACGCCAGGCUACGACAAGCUAAGGAAACAAGGUUGACUGCCACUGAAGCAAAAAUUUAUGAACACUCAAAUAUAGAAUCCCACAGAGAAAGAGAAGAUCCAAUUAUGGCUGAACCACAAGAAAGACUUCGUGGGGAUUAUGGAGGCGAAAAUGCCCCAUUGGUACAUUUAACUAUAGUGAAUCAACUAGUGAAUGUUCCAAAUUUUCAAUUGCAUCCAACAACCAUCUGUCAGCUUGAGAAAAGGCCUUUCACAUGGAAAAUCAAUGAAGAUGCAAAUAAACAUAUACAAAGGUUUCUUAUUAUGAGCACUACUUUGAAGAUUGAGGGGCACACUGAAGAAGCAAAAUUUUUUUGAGAAUGUUCCCAUUCACUUUAGCUGAAGACGCUGAAGAAUGGUAUUAUUCAUUGUCAGCUGGAAGUAUUACUACAUGGGAACGGAUGGAAACAACUUUUCUAAAUGAGUACUUUCCUGCUUCUGUUUAUAAAGAUAAGAUAUUGUGAAUUUUAAGCAGAAAGAAGGGGAAUCAAUGGGUGAUGCAUAUAAGAGAUUUAAAAGGUUACCGGUUGCUUGUCCCACUCAUAACUUGGAUCAGACUGAAUAGAUGAAAAUGUUUGUUAACGACCUCAGAUUGAAGACUAAGCAACUUAGUGAUACAACUUUCGGUGGCUCUGCCAAUUUUUACAACAUCCAUUAUUAUCAAGAAGAUAAUAGAAGCCAUUGCUGCAAAUGAACAUCUAGAGUUAUAUGACCAAAGUGCGAGUAAAAUAGAAGGUGUGAUUGACUUGAAAAGUUGUAAAUCAGAUUGUGAAGAUGGAAGACCAAGAUGCUGCUGAAGUUGAGAGAAGACUUAAGGCUAUGAAUAUAGGUACUCAACAAGUAGCCGAAGUUCAACCUGUUCAAGCGGUUGAUUGUGAGAUUUGUGGAGGGGCCUAUUUUCCCAUGCAUUGUGUUUCAACUACAGAAAAAAUUGAGGAAAUAAAUUUUUUGAAGCAAAACAACCCAUAUUCUAACACAUAUAAUCCGGGCUGGAAGAACCAUCCAAAAUUCUCCUAGCAAGAUCAGCAAGGGAAUGUUCAAAAGUAGGGUCCUACUCAGUAUCAAAACCAACCCAACAAUCUUAGAAUCCACAACAUCAACAACAGUAUCGACCACAGCAACAACAACAGUAUCGGCCACAGUACCAACCACAACAACAACAAUAUCAACAACAUGCACCCAAAAAGGCCAAUUUGGAAAUUUCCAUUGAAAAGAUGGUAGCUCAAAGUUCCCAGUUCCAAGUAGAAACAAGAAAUAAUCAAAGAAACACUAUGACUUCUAUAAAAAAUCUGGAGGUUCAGAUGCCAUAACAAAUAGCAGGUUCUCAAGCACAAGGUUCCCUACCUAGUGCAAGUAUGACAAACCCGAGAGACCAUAAUAAUGUGAGUGUAGUGACAACAAGCAGUGGGAAAUCACUUGAAGUUCCUGAAGAAAAAUCAAAGGAAGAAGACUAAUUGAUUGAAGUGGUGCUAGAAAUCAAAGAAAAUCAUACCACUACAGAGGAAUAGGUCACACCAAAAUAGGUUGUAAAAGAAAAACCCACUUAACGAAAACCAAUCAUCAAACUACCAUUUCCUACAAGGAACAUGAAGAAUGACCAAAAUGAGAAAAAAAUUGAAAAGUUCCUAGAGAUGUUUAGAAAGCUAGAAAUCUACAUUCCAUUCUCUUAGGCACUUGAGUCGAUGCUCAUAUAUGCGAAGUUCAUGAAGGAUAUUAUCUCAAAGAAAUGCACGAUUGAAACUGAACCUAUACUGCUAACUAAAACUUGUAGUGCUAUUUUAUAGGGUAUGAAGAUCUCAGUCAAAAAUAAAGAUAGAGGUUCUGUCACCAUUCCAUGCACCAUUGGGGAUAGAUCAUUAAAAAGGAACUUAUUGAUUUGGGAGCUAGUGUGAGCCUUACGCCUUUAUCCAUAUACAGGAAACUGGGAAUAGAAAUGGUACAGGAUACCAGGAUGACACUCCAGUUUGCAUAUCAUUCAGUGAAAAGACUUUAUGGUGUAGUUAAAGAUGUUCUUAUUAAGAUAGAUAAAUUUGUGUUCCAUGUUGAUUUUGUGAUCCUUGAGAUGUUGGAGGAUGAAGAGAACCCUUUAAUUCUGGGAAGACAUUUCCUAGAAAUAGGGAGGUGUAUGAUAUACAUUUAGGAAGGAACCAUGACCCUCAAAGUUUAUGAUGAAGAGAUAAAGAUUGAUGUGAGAAGUAUCAUGAGACACAAAGAAGACGUAGGGAAAAGUAAUGCAGUGGAUGUGAUAGAUAAAAUGGUAAUCAAAGUUAUUCAAAGCCAAGUCCAUAAGUUACCUUUGGAAAGAGUUCUUAGUUUGUCCGCCCAGGAAAUAGAGGAUAAUGAUGAUGAAAGAGAGAGGGAAGUUCUAGCUAUGUUUGAGGUACAACCACCGUGGUUGAGAUCCAAACCACAACGGUGGGAGGAUUUCAAAGCUCCACAAGAAGCUGAGACUAAAAAGGAAGUUAAAAUAGGUACAUGUGUAGAACUGAAGCAAUUAUAUGAAAAUAUGAAAUAUGUCUUUCUGGAUUCUGAAAAUAAUUGUCUUGUAAUAAUAAGUUCUGGGUUACAAGCAAAAUAAGAGGAGAAAUUGCUGCAGGUGUGUAGAAAUACAAAAGUGUUAUGGGAUGGACCAUUGGAGACUUGAAAGGGAUUAGCCCCAUAAUAUGCAUGCAUAAAAUAAUGAUGGAGGAUAAUCACAAACCAGUGGUACAACCCCAAAGAAGGCUGAAUUCAGCAAUGAAGGAAGUUGUGAGAAAAGAAGUGGUGAAGUUGUUGAAUGCAGGGCUAAUCUACCAUAUUUCUUACAGUUCAUGGGUGAGUUUAGUACAUGUGGUACCAACGAAGGGAGGAACAACGAUGAAUCUAAAUGAGAAAAAUGAAUUGAUUCCCUCUCGCAUGGUUAUAGGAUGGAGAGUGUGUAUUGAUUACAGGAGGCUCAACACCACAACAAGGAAAGAUCACUUUUCUCUUCCUUUUAUUGACCAAAUGCUAGAGAGGCUUGUAGGUCAUGAAUGUUACUGCUUUUUAGAUGGAUAUUCAGGGUAUAACCAAAUUGUUGUAGCCCCAGAAGCUCAGGAUAAGACAAUGUUCACAUGUCCUUAUGGUAUUUUUGCCUAUAGGAGGAUGCCAUUUGGGAUGUGCAAUGCCCCUGCUGCUUUUUAGAGAUGUAUGACAUCUAUAUUCACCGAUAUGCUUGAAAAGAACAUGAAGGUGUUUAUGGAUGAUUUUUAUGUUUUUGGAUCUUCUUUUGAUCACUGUUUAACUAAGUUAUCUCAUGUUUUGGAAAGGUUCCAGGAAACUAACCUUAUUCUUAAUUGGGAAAAAUGCGAUUUCAUGGUACAUGAAGGUAUAAUGAUGGGUGAGAAAAUCUCCCACAAGGGGAUAUAAGUUGACAAAGUGAAAGUGGAAGUAAUUUCUAAUCUCCCACCACCAGUAAAUGAAAAGGGGAUAAUGAGUUUCUUAGGACAUGCAGGUUUCUAAAAUUGUUAAGGACAUGCAUGAAUGUAAUGAUGUGUAUUAUGCAUGACUGGUUUAUGCAAUGGUAUGAGGGUUUACGGAUGCCCCAAGUUUGGGUAUGGUGUAAUGAAUACUGAGAAAAAAUUGCUUUGGUUGUAAGGCUCCUGAUUUAUAGGGUAUGAGUUACGUCUUGCAUGACUACCCGACAUCCUCAUAGUUCUUGAUAUUGCUGGAGGAAGAAUCUGACAUGGACCUUCUGAUGCCCCAAAUUGGAUCUGAAAAGCUCUUACAAGAAAGGAGAGAGACUUUCUCUCUUCAGACAGUCUUUCCCUAGUCUGCUGGGUAUUUGCAUGAAUUGCCCCAGUUACUGGUUAUGAAGAAAUCUUGCCUCUGACUGGCCGAUAUUUGAGGGAAUGCCCUUAACUAACUAAUAUUUGGAGAGAUUUGUCGAAUCUCGAUGUAACUACCUCAAAUUGAGUGAAUCUUAUAGAUACUUCUCGACAUGACUGCCCUAGAUUGACUGAAUCUUGAAGCGGCUUGUCUUUCUUCUUAAUGGAGUUUUUAGCCAUUUUGCUCCUCGACAUGAUCAAACGAAGUGGCUUGCCCCUCCUCAACAGAGUCUUUGGGAAUUCUUCACUUCUGUUGCAGUCAGGAUCCUCAAUUUAUGUUCAUUGUGGAAGAUUCCUUGAUGUCAAAUGCUUACUCACGAGUAAGACAGGAUCCUUUAAGAAAUGAUAAUGUCAAUGUUAUGCUAGUUUUGAAAUCCAAUUUUUUUCACUGGAAUUAUGACACAUAGUGAAUGAAUCACUAAUGAUAAUGUCAUAUCGAUACCAACACAAAUUAUAAGAAAAUCAUUAGGGAGUCAGUUUUAACACGAUUUUACUGAUCGUAGUACUUUUUUGAAAUAAACCUUGCUUCAAUUAGAUCUUUUGAGGGUUGUAACGUGUCCUGGUUCACAGUUUUAGAAAGAAAGGAUUUAUGGCUCAAAACCUAUUCUAACCCACCCAUUCUCCUUGAUGUUCUCCAGUCCUAUGUCCAGCUAGUUCGAUACAACCGCUCAUCUUCCAAAAGGGAUUUGGGAGUGAAGGGAACCUACAAGGUUUUUAGAGUGGCAGUCACCCACCUUCUGUUUGGUUUGUGGGAACACGAUUUUUUUUUUGCUGAUGAUUUUCUUUUUUUAUUCCUCUUUUGCUUAUUUGUGUUUUUUUUAUUUCCCUACUUUUGCUGGAUGGACUCGGAUUUGCAAUCCACAGGGAUGCCCUAAUUUUUGCCUAAGUCACUUGUUCUCAAGUUUUCGACUUAGCGAACUUUCUUUCUUUCUUUUUUUGGUGGAACAAAUUGUGUGACAUUUGUUAAUUUGAUUUGAAGGGGUUGUGAUUGCCUCGAUCCUUUCCGGGUGAGGGACAACCAUUAUGGAUUUAUGGUUUCCGACCUCUCGUGAGGGAUAAGAUAUGGUUGAUCCUCAUAUAGCACACUCCUGUUUUGAAGUUUGAACGCCUGGUCAAACUAAUUGACGACUAUCCUACCCCAGGUUAAGAUUGAGGGUUUUAUGUUUAAAAAGAAACUCCUACUCCUUGGAUUGAAGGGGUUGACUGGGGAUUAUCUUCCUUAUAACUCCGGUGUUUGGGGAUUUGAAGCAAUGUCUUACAUCAUCAGCAAGGUUCUAUUCAAAAGCGUACGUGCAGUGAUUUCAUGUGUUUUCAAUUUCAUCAUUUUCCUUUUGAUUUCGCUUAACAAAAGUUUGAUAUUGACAAAAUAAAGUAUGGGUGAACACGAAUGGAUUUAUUCAAAUCAUGCAUAUCUAUUUCAAUGUCAUUAUUAUUAAAAAACAAACGAGUUUAUUACAAGUGAAUGUUAUAAAUGACAAACAAGAAAAUUACACAUGAAAAUGAUUGAACAAACUAAUGAUUGCUGGAGUGAUCAACCUUAUUCUCUUACAUGUGGGGUCUUGAAGAAGCUGAUGGGACAGUCUGACAUAUAAAACUCCUUUAGAUCUACCAUUUAUAUAACUAUGGCACUGCAUAUGUGCUUACCUGCAUUACAUUUGGAACAACUAGCGUGAAUGAGAUAGCUUUCGAGUCGAUUAGGUCUUGGACCUUAUGCUUCAUAGCUCUGCAGUUCUCGACAGUAUGCUCAAGUGGUCCAAAAUUGAAUUCACACUUAGCAUUGGAAUCACAGCCUUGAGCGAGAGAUGUUUGGGGAGGUACUAACUCUCUAUAUUGCACCAAAGAGUCUCAAAGCAAGCUAACAAGCAGUUGACUGUACGACAUAGGGAUCAAAUUUGUCCUUAUCUUUAGUUUCCUCAGUUUCUGCUGCCCCUACUGAUAAUGAUUAUGUCAUUAUGGAGCGUAUGGUUGUUGAUACUGCAUUAGUGGAGGACCAUUAGGAAUAACAUAUAUGUUGGCGGCUGAUACAGUUUAGGUGCUACUACUGCCACCUGAUGGUAUGGCAUUUGGUAGGUUCCAACUCCCCCCUUAGUGAUUAUGGCAACAUUGGUCUCACAAUCCUUCUUCUUUGGGAAUCCGGAAUAAGAUUUCUUUGCUCCAUUGGCCGUAGCUAUUGUAUCUUGUUUCUUGACGACCUUCAAGAAGUUCUCGAUUCACUCACCAGUAAUGACCAGGUUUGAGAAUCCUGAGGAGACGCUUCCAACCAUCCUAUCGAGAUAAGGCCCCUGAAGGGUGUCCAUGAACAUGUGUACCCGUUCUCUUUCAAGAAGGGGGGUUGAACCCUGGCAGCUAAAUCUCUCCAGCAUUGGGCAUACUCUUUAAAUGAUUCAUUUGUCUUCUGAACAAGGCUUUAGAGUUGAGUUCGAUUGGAAGCCAUGUCUAAAUUAUACAGAUAAUGCUUUAGUAAGGCUUCAACAAGUUCCCUUAAGGUUCGUAUAUGUGUGCGCUCGAGUUGCAUAUACCAUUCCAGAGAAGCCCCACUAAGGUUGUCUUGAAAAAAGUGCAUUAAGAGUUUUUCAUCAUCAGAAUGAGCAACCAUCUUUCUGCAAAAGGCUCGAAUAUGGGUCUUCGGGAAGGUGACCCCUUGAUACUUUUCAAAGUUUGGAACUAGGCACAUGUCAGCAACAUCCAUCCCAAAGGUAACAGGUCUUUCUAUUGCUUUGAACCUCUCCUUCAUUAUACGAAACUUCCUUUCGAUGUCAGCAAGAGAAGGACCAAAAGCGUCAUAAACAAAAUAAGCCUUUGUAUUGAAGAAAGCAUCUUGAUUAUCUUCGUUCUCAGGUUAAGCUCUCCCAUUGAUAUGGAUAUUGAAUGUAUGACCAACAUUUUGAUAUAAUGGACCUCUUUCAAGAGGUGGUUGAGCCACAACAUGUGUACUAGGUCCUCCUAGUGGAUUUAUUGGCAUUGUCACAACAACAGAGUUAGAAGCGGCAACUCUCAGAUUAGCCUAACGCAUUUCCUCUUAACCUCUAGCCAAAGCUUGUAUGGAUUCAAUAAGAUGACCCAUAUGGGCCUUCAAAAUGGUCAUAUUUUCCCUUAUAACAGCUUGGUUCUGCUCUAAUUGAUCCAUGAGAAGUUUCUGAUUACUGCAAGUAUUAUAUGGAUGCCAGGAAGCCAGCUUGAUUGUAGCAGAUUCUGGAUAAAGGCCAAACAACAAUGAGCUUUCUGAAUAGAUAUGAUGAAAUGCAAUGAUGUAUGAAUGUAUGCAAUAAUUAUUUUUUUUGUGUUCCCAGAGGAAUGCGUAUGCUAAGUCAAUUUUAUGAUGCGAUGAGCUGGCAUGCGUCAUCAUAGAUUCAACAACUUAGUAUAAUAUAGAGAUUCUGGAUAAUCUGGCCAUAUAACACAGUAUAAAAUCAAAGGUCCGACAUGACCUAGAAAAUCCGGGUAACCUGUCCAUGUAGCUCAGUAUAAGAUCAACAGUUUGAUAUAAUUUGGAUAAUGUAACAUGUCCAUGUAACUUAAUAUAGGAUCAAAGGUCUAACGUAUAUAAGAGAUCAAUGGUAUGAAGGGUCUUGGUUUCCUGCACACACAAAAAAACAAUAGCCCCUCUCACAGGUGUGUAUUACUCCUCAAAGAUGGUCCCUAAAAGGUAUCCCAGAGUCAUUGACUCAAAUGAAAACACCAUGCCAUAGCGAAUUCUCACAGGAUAAAAGUACUUCCAAGUGAAUCUAGUCUGAGUGUGGUUCUCAUGACAACCUAACGGGAAAAAUGAAGGCCUACACGACUACCCACGAGUCUAUCCUAUGUAUAUACUUAAGCUUCAGUGUAGAGUUUCUCUCAUAUAGUAUCAUCACAUCCCAACAUAUAAUAUGACAAAUAAUAUCCAGAAUACAACAUCAUACGAAUAUUUAAAGCAUUAAGGUAAAUGCAACAAAUAACAUAAAGAAAACGAGUAAAGCAAUAAAGAUAAACACCUAAAAUACGCAAAGAAAACAAACAAAAUUGGGCUCAACUUGCUUAGGAAAGGGUCCCCGGCAGAGUCAACAGCUGAAGCUACGCGAGUUAUACCCGAGCAUAUCGCAUAUUCAGAGAAACAACAGAGUCGCCAUCGAACUUUAUUUAUUCCCGAAGGAAUGGGAAAACAUCGAUAGAAUCCGGGGGAAAGAGAAAAGGGUAAGGAAGUCAGUUAUGAAAUGGGAAGGUAUUAUCAUCCCUCAUAUCCAUGAUACUCCAUGGGAACCGCUUUGAAUUUUCUUUGCAAGAACGAGUGUUACUAUCUGAAGAUUACUCGUGAAAGGGGAAAUUAGGGGUUAAUAAUUAAUGUGCUCGCCAAGGAUUAGGGCGCUUGUGCCUACAUAUUCUCACAGUGUAAUGAGAAAGUCAGAGCUCCUUAGUUUGUGGAACUAAGACAGAUGUGUUAUUUGUUUUUAAUGAACAAUAUUAACAUUCGCGUUCUACUGUCAACUUGCGUGUAUGCUCGAGCAUGGGAGUCUGAAGCGUCUAUUUGUUUGCGAUAGAAUGGAUGAACUUGGAUCACACUCUAGUAGUUAAACAUUGCUUGCUCACACAUGAAGGCUUAAGCUUCAUUCACGGUAGAAUGGAAGUAACAUGUCCUUUCUGAAAAGGUUUUAAACUAAAAAUGAAGCUCAAAGGCAAAAUUAAAUUUGAUAAGGUGAGUUUUCUUUUAUUCUGAAAAGAGAGUCAUGAUUCGAAUCGUACUAAAGUCUAUGAAUGGAGAUGAAUACAGUGAAGAAUUGGGUCAUGCGUCUCGUACCCAAAGAUAUUCAGAAUGAGGAUAGGAAUUCUCCACUCUCAUCCCUUCUCCAUUACUUAAGACUUGUAGCGUACAAUAUUAAUCAUAUUAUUAAUUGUUUUUUGAGUUUAUUCACAAAAUGGUUUUAGUUUUACUGAGAGAGAACAAAGGGAGAAGAAGAAACCCUAAAAAGUUGAGGUCUGGUCUUCAUUCUGCAUCCCAUAUUUGUGUAGAAAAACUUAUCAAUCAUCCGAUUUAAAUUGCACUAAAGUCUAUGAAUAUAGAUGAAUACAAUGAGGGUCAUUCACCCCGUACCCAAAGAUAUUCAUAAUGAGGAUAAGGAUUCUCCAUUCUCACCCCUUUUCUAUUACUUAACGCUCAUGACGUGUAAUUUGCAUCAUAAUUGAUGAGUUUUGAAGUUGAAUUUCCUUGCAGCUUCAUGUGAGGAAAGGUUGUCCUUUAAGAAAGGAGACUUGACAAUCAACUUAUCAAAUUAUGCUAAAGUCUAUGAAUAUGGGUGAAUACGAUGAGCAACUGAGUCAUUUGUCUCGUACCCAAAAGAUAUUCAGAAUGAGGAUAUGAAUUCUCCACUCUCAUCUCUUCCCUAUUGCUUAAGGCUCAUGGCACAUAACUUGGCUCAUGAUUGAUAAGUGUUGAAUAAACCUUUGUAGUGCUUGGAUAGUAGUCUAAUAUGUCUUGUACUGAUUUGAAUUGAAUGAAGUCUUGAAUUUUGAUCUUUGAAUCUUGAAAUCUUAUACAAAUCUUGAGAUCCAGUAUCCAAUACAUAUUUAAUAUAAGAGACUUUCCCUAUCAAGUGAUCAAGGGUCUUUUUAUCACUUGAAUAUGCUUGGGGAAUUGAGCACAGUCAAAGGAUUUAAUUGAUCAAAGCAAACUUUGAUCAACUGAAUCAAUCGGGGAAAAAUCAGUUGAAAAUGAAUUGAAUCAUGUAUACAGUAAUCUAAAGGAUUAAUUACCCAAUCAGAAGAUUUUCACAAGUCCUAAACUAAGGGAACAUGCAAAUCAAGAUAUUAUACACCCUAUGGGUAAAAUGGUCAUUAUCCUUAAAAUGAAUUAACAAACCUAAUGGUCAAUUACAAUCCCAGCAUAGCAAAAUUAACCUAAUGGUCAAUUACAAUCCCAGCAUAGCAAAAUUAACCUAAAAACGAAUCAUGGAAAAAAAUCUAUACUUAAGCAUGUAAAUCCAAAUCAUGAAUAAAGUAAACAAAGUGGAUUAAUCAAACUAAAGAAAUGGGAAGUUACAAUCUAAAUAACAACUUUAUUUAAUGAACAUGAUCUUGAGAAUUAUAAUGUGAUAUACGGAUCAAAAUGGAAAAUUAACCUAAUGGAAAAAUCAUGGUAGAAUCUACAAUUAACCAUAUUAAUCCAAAUCAUGAAUAAAAUCGACAAAUGGAUUGUCAAAACCUAAUGGCAAGUGAUACUAAAUCAUGGCACGAUUAAUCAACAAUUGAAUUAUCUUCCAAAAAAUCCAAAAAAAAAGGAUGUAAUUAACAUGAUUAAACCUAAAUCAAACUCUAAUUAAACUAAUCAAUUUUAAGGAUGAAAAAUUAACCUAAUUAUGAACAAAAACUUUAUUAAUCCCUAAUCAAGAAAUCCUAAUUUUAACCAAGAUUAAAGAGUGAACAGUAGCAUGAUUAAGCACUAAAAAUAAAUAAAAAUUAAGAUUAGAAUUGGAUAAGGGAGAGAUCAUCAAGAAUAAUCAAUGGGACAUGGGGUGAAUCAAAUGGAGGGAUGUUCAUUGCAACCCAUGUCCUCAUACAACAAUACCCAGGUAAAACGUUCAGUAUCCACAAAUUCUCCUCAAGUUUCACUUCACUUCCUCAUUGCAAAAUCAUAGGUCGAACGCGCUCAACAGAAGAAUUUCAACAAGAACGUGAUUCAACAUGUUAUUAUCGAAUUUCAUACGUAAAAAAACAUAUAGCCAUCUGUCGCAACCUGAAAAAUAAAGUGCGAAAAAAAACAACCGGCGAAAGAAAAAGACAGAAGAGUCGCCACCGUGCGUUAUUCAUCCCAAAGGAGGGAAAGGAAACGCUCGAAGUAAACCUGAAAAAGGAAGGACAAGACGGGGUCUCGCAACCAAAUCUUGGGUUUGGAGUCGGUUAUACGAAGGGAAGGUAUUAGCACCCCUACGCAUCCGUAGUACUCUACGGGAUCCACUUUUUAGUUCUUGUCUAAAGGGUGUGGGUUUAUCUAAUGUACUAUUUACUAAAAAGGUUAAGAGAAAUGACUCGCGCGGAUGUCGCAUCAGCUGCAUACGUAUCUCAUCUGAAUAUGAGAAUCAGAGUCUUCGUAGCUCGGCUACCUAUGGGUUGGGGGGAUGUGUGCUCGCUAAGAACAUCGCGUCUUAUGCCUACGUAUCUCAUCUGGCCUGAGAAUCAGAGCAAAACGUAGUUCGGCUAACUGUGGGGUAUGGAUUGGGUUUUGGACAAACGACGUCACUACGCAAUCUACCGGAUGCUCGACCUUUGGAGACUUACUCGCCUGUAGUAGAAGGAGUUAACGUGUUGCUUUGGGUUUAGGGUUUGGGAUGCUCAAGGGCAAAAAGGCAGUCCUUGAUGAAGGAACCGCGCUACCUGCAGGGAUACGAACACAUACAAAACAAACAUGUAUAAAGUAAAUGUGCCAACAAGGGGCUCAGAAGUAAAUAAACAAAAGAAAAACAAAUGCCUCCUAUCGAGGUCUUCCAGCUAAGAAAGCGAUAAAUGUGGAAAAGAGGUAAAAGUACCACACGGAUGAAGAUCCGAAGUAACAACAAUUAAAGGAGUAAGAAACCCAGGGACUCCCAAGCUAAUGCCAUCAAAGAAAAGUGAGUCAGUACAGGUAAUCGGAAUGAACCUCCAGGGGGUAUCCCACAAAUAAAGUGGGAAAACCACGCAAACCAUCUCUGCAAGAGUCUGUGAGCCCUCACAAAAACUCAACAAAAGGGUUAGUGAAACACGAUAAGCAUUUUUUUCAUGAAUAACAGUAUGGUUUCAGAACUCAAACCCUGUGGCAUACAUUUCAGAAAUCAUGUGAUUAAACAUUCAAGGCAUAGGUUCACCCAUUCACAUACAUCACACAUUUAGAACAUUCAAAUUGAAGGCGUAAAAUAAUGGGAAUAGGGCAAACCUGAUUGGAGAGCUUGAUUGAAAUUGAGUUGCACCCGAGGCCCUUCAGGGUUUGGAGGCUGCUUGAGUUCUCUGUCAGGUUUCUCUUCAGGUUUUGUCCAGGGUUUUGUUCCAAGGAACCUCAGAGUAUUUUGCUUCUCUUCCUUUUUCUCAAAGUGAAGCCUUGGUAUUUAUAGACUGAAUUUCAUGGUUUUGUGGGCUCAAAUGAGAGAGACCCAAGUCCAAAUUUUUUUUUAUUAUAUUUUAUUUAUUUAUUAUUAUUAUUUUUAUUUAUUUAAUUAUUUACUUAAUUAAUUAAUUAAUUAAAAAAAUUUUAUUAUUAUAUUUUUGUAAAAAAUUAUUUUUUUUCGUUUUUUUUUUUUAGAUCUAAUUCUGAUUGACAUGAUGAAAUGCAAUAUGAAAUGCUAAAUGAAUGCAUGAAUGAGGAGGGCAAAUUUUGGGGUGUUACACCAUCGAGAAAAAUCAAGGACUCACAUCCUCAAUGCUUAAUCGAAGAACCGAGAAUGAAAAGUUGAGUUCGUAUUCUAACUCAAUCCUCAAGUUGCAAUCAACACUGAAAUCGAAAUCACUAGAGGCUUCUCCCUACGUGCUGAAUCGAGAGAUCAAAAGGAGAAGGGAAAUUUACCAGCUUGCUCCGACGUGGUGGCUCAGGUAACGACUUCCUGCGAUCUUCUUAUUCUCUUUGUUUCUACCUUUUUUCUUUUUUCUGUUUGAGAUGGUCGUCUCUGUUUGCGUAUUUAUCAUUGAUUCGGUUGUGUAUUUUGUAGAGAGUGGUUCAAAUUCUGGAAGAUUGGCUAGGUUCCAUCAUUAGUAGAAUCAGGUCAGAGCGAGUUUUUAUCUUUUGUUCUGGAAGUUUCAGGUUCAGUUUGAGUUUAAUUUAUAAUGCAGUUGCAAUUUGGUUUGAAGGUUUUUAAAGGAUGAAAAUUACCUUAUGAGUUCGUUGAGAGGUUGGUUUUUAUGCAGGUCCUCGAAGGAGUUCUUCUAGGGAGUUCUGUUAUGAGGAGGUUAUCACAAUUAGGAUGUGGAAGGUGAUUUUUGUUCUGUUAUGGUUAUGUGAGGGUCCAAAAAGUGAUUAGGGAGAUGGAGGUUAGUUUUGUUAUCACAGUUCGGUUAGGAAUUCUAGUUCAGUAAGUUGGAGAGAGAAGUUACAGUUUGUUAGAUUGGUUAAGAAGCGGUUAGAGGUCGUUAGUUGUGAAGGACUCAGUUAGUUAUUGUGAAGAUUGAAGUUAAUAAGUAAGUUGAAAUUGGUUUUUUCACUCUGUUAUGUAUGUGCUGGUGGAUCGAUUUACUGAGUUAGAAUGUUUUGCAGGGGGGUUAAAUUUGGUUUUGUUAUGUAUUAGGCAGGUUUGGACUAGUUUUGUUAUGAAAAAGAAGGUGAAAACAUGUUUUUCUUUGUAGGGUUGUACACUGAAUUUUCUGCUAUGUAUUAUGUAGGGCUUUCCUUCACAAUGACAUGCUAUGCAUUACUUCAAUGUGCUAUGUUGUGGAUCAAAGGCAAUGAAGUGUGGACUACAAUUAGGUGCAUAAAAGUUUGGAAAGUACUAUGGGCUCAAAUGUACAUGUUAUGGAAUUGGGAUUGGAAAGUGUAUUAAUGGUUGAAUAUGAAUUGUGUAUGGAAAAGUUUGAAAUUUAUUUUGAAUGUAUGGCUCAAUCUAUUUGUACAUGGAAUGUUUUUUGAUGUAAUUGGACAUUGAAUGUAUGGCUUAUGUUAUAAUUUGAAUUAAUGGUUGAAUGUAACAUUGUAUUUUUGGAAUGACAAUGGAUGUAAUGGUUAUUAUUGACAAUGAAUAAAAUGGUUAUUUGGACAUUUGAAUGUAUGAGUUACAUUGGUACAUGGAAUGGCAUUGUUUAGAGAAUUAAAUGGUGUAAUGAACCAAGGUUUAAGUCUUGGUUGUAAAUGGCUAAAAAAAUGCAAAACAGUUUAUGUAUUGUAAAAAAUGAACAUGGUUUAGAAUGGAUAUGUAGUGCAUUGAGAAAUAAAAUGGUUGGAAAAUGGCUUUGGUUAGAUGGUUGACCAAAAGGUCAACAGUUGACCAAUAGUAAACCUAGGUAAAGAUGUGUAUUUUUGUGUAAUACCUUAUGCACAAUCAUGAUGUAAUUGUAAUGAUAUAUAGUGAUACUUUAUGAUGACUUUAAUGGUAUUUACAUGUUUUUAAAUGGAUGGCUUUAGAUUGAAAUGAAAAUGAACUUGAAUCAUGACUUAAUGGAAUGAGUGAAAUGGACUUUGAAUGUGGACCACAAUGCCCUUAAACCAAAUGAAAUAUGCCAUUGAAUUAGACCUGAACUAAUGAACUCCAAUCAAGCAAUAUCAUGGACAUGUAAAACUUUGACUUAAUGCACCCUAAUCAAGGCAAUGGAACCAUAAACAAGUAUGACAUUUGAUGAAUUAUCAAUCAAACCAAUGAAUCCUCCAUAAAUGACUAAAGGACCCAGAUGACCCUCAAGCUUGAAUGCGCACAAAAUUGGUGAUAGUGCCACAACCAACAAUUAGGGUUUCAGACAAAGGUACAAGGCUCCACAAGCACUUCCCCAAACCAUGGGCCCCUAAUUAGGGUUUUAGGGACCGAAUCCAAUACCAGUGAAUCAGGGUUUCCCCUAUGCUCCAUGAUAAAGACAAACUAGGAUGAAGGGCCCACCUCCUAUUCAAUGUGUUGUGUGAUAAAAACCCUUAAAUCCAUGGCUUUGUGCUUCUCAAUGAAAAUGGAAUAUGUUAUGAUGCUAUGGGUAUGUAGAUCAAAUGAAUGACCACAAGGAUAUGCAUAUGAUUAGGGUUAGUGACCUAUAUGAAUGAUCAAUCACCAUUUUCACUAUGUUUUCAUCACUGAUUCGACAAGAAACCAUGAAUUCUGGAAUACUCUAUGCGCAUUAUGUCACAUUUUAAGUUAAUUUUCAUUUAUGUAAGUUAUUUAAGCAUUUUAUCGGUUUUUAGUUUUAUUUCAUGUAUUCGAGAUUUUAUGCUUUGGGUGCCUAUGUUUAUUUCCUCCAGGUCCAAGUAGAAGAUCCAACGGACUCAAUGCAAGAAAGUAGAGGGUUCAUACAUUCGAGGAAAGGAGAUUACUCAGUACAGGAGACCUGACACGGCCACCCGAGUCACCUGACACGAGCCGUGUCAGGAUGAAGGCAAAACAAGACAAGAGAUGGCUAAGACAGGGGCCUGACACGGCCACCCAUGUCAAUUGACACGGGCCGUGUCAGCCCCCCUGGGAUGAAGUUGAAGAGGAGGAUCAAGGCAAGAGCCUGACACGGCCACCCGUGUCAGCCCAGGCGCAAAAUAUUCCAAUUUUUUGGCUUUUUAUUUGGGCUUUAGUAGCAAGGACAUUCUGGGGUUUUCCAACCAAUGCCAAGGGAUUUUCACUAUUUUAGGAGAGUUUCUACGAGAGAAGGAGGACACUUUGGAGCGAGGAGAAAAUAUAACAUAUAGAAUUGUCAGACGAUCAAGAAUUACAGAGAUCAAGGAAUUCGGAGAGCGGAAGAUUUUCAUGAGCGGAAGCAAUUAAAGAUCCAAGUCAUCCAAUUACUUGUAAUGUCUAAUUUUUAUCUUGAAUUUGUUUUGAACAAUAUGAGUAGCUAAACCCCCCAAUGCUAUGGGGUGUCCCUAAUUUAGAUUUGUAAUGACUUUGAGUUUACGAUUGCAUUGAUAAUUGUUUUUCAUAAUUACGAAAAUCUUUUAAUGUGUUUAAAAUGCUUUCUUUUUCGGACCAAUUGAGAUUGUUGUAUGGUUAUCAAUUAGGUUGGACCGUCAUUGAUAAGGUUUUCAUAAGAUUACUUUGUAGUAGAUAUCACCUAGGACUAGGGAUACCCUGUAUUGUAUGAACCAGAGGAUUCUUGAUAUAAUAAGGCUUAAUUUCACUGGUAAUUUUCUAUGGACAUAGAGAUUAGGGUAGAAUGAUUAAAGGUUUUCUCACCAAGGACUUGGGAGAAAAUACCCUUGAGAACUGGUAGUAGUUAAUUGAUAUUUGUUGAUGCAAUAGUGACUCAGAGUUGUUACAAGGACAAAUUAUACAUUUUCCCUAGCAUGUUCCUUUUUUCCUUGAAACCCUUAUUUUUACAGUGUUUAUUUUAUUCGCCUUUAUUUUUAUAAAUCUGAAUCUAAAACCCCCCAAACACUAAUUUUUGUUUAAUUGAACGAUUAUUUGAACUUGAUAUUAACGUGUAGUCCUUGAGAUCAACAUCAGGGGAAUUUCCCCUUUAUUACUACAAAAGGCAAAAUAGUGCACUUGCUAUUUUCCCGAUUAAUGAACAUUAUGAAGGGUAGAGUGAAUUUUGGGGCAUGACAAUAUGCAUAAGACAUAGGAAUUGGAUCAUAGCAAGGAUGCCUCCUUUAUUGAUUGUGGUUUCCUUUGCUGAUUUGUUUCUGCUUCAUUUUUUGAUUUCCUUGGGCGGGUUUUUAAUGCAGUAGGAGAUAUUGUGCUUAGGGAGGAAGUUGUAGAAUUCCUACAGUUGCAUUUUGUAAGUUAUCCACCUUAAGUUUGUUCUCGGCUUGCUUACCAACUACAACUUAAUCUGAGAGAUCCAUUGUCAAGCUAUCUGGGAAGAGUCCCAAGGUCAUGCCAACUCUGCCUUCGACAUAAUCCAAACUCUUCUUUCACCUGGUAUCCUCAUGAUUACCCUGUUCCAUGAUUCUCUGAAAAUUUGCGUCGGUGAAUCGUUGUCUUUCUGUUUGAGGAAUGGGAAAUAGUGUAAGCAUGUUAUUUUAUGGUAUGAAAGGUUAUGAAUGCAUGGAUGAAUGAGAUGCAUGAAGGAAUUUUUUUUCACAUUUCCAGGGGAUCCCAAGAUUUUUGAAUGUUUAACACAAACUAAAGCUUUUGGAUUCCAUAAGAGUGUACAUGCUAAAAUUGGUUUUGAUAUGAUGUCAUGAGAUACAACAUGAUAAAUUCAAAGGUCUAACACAUCUGAAUAAUUUGUCCACACUCCUCAACAUGAGUUCAAAGGCAUGACGUAUCGACGUAUGUAGAGGCAUGUUUUCCUACACAAAACACAUAUUCCAUCACAAGGUAGGUUCUAAGACUUUAUGAAGGUUCUUAGAGUCGCGGAUCCUGAGGCAAAAAUAUCGUUAUCAUCACAAAAUGACUUGUGAGCCAACAAUACUCUCAGGACGAUCUACUCUAAGUGAGGACAAACCUCAACUUCAAAAACCAUAAGUUAACUAAAGGUCCCUAGAAUCAGCGACUCCCUUUGGAAGAAUGGUAGUCAAUGCAAAAUGACUUACGUGGCAAUGAAACUUCAAAAGGAAUAUACUCUAGGUGGGGUCUUCGUACCUUCCCAUCAAGACAACUACGUCUGAAAAGUCAGUAUGGAGCUCCCAAUCUAUCUCAGGUAUACUCUUAAAGUCUGGGUAUUGGGCUUCUCACUCAAUAGCAUCAUAAACCCAUCCCAUAAGAGAAAUAAAACAAAUAUGUCUAAGAUAUAAUAUAUGAAAGCAAUAAAGCAUGCGAUAAAUGAAAUAAUGGUAAAGCAAGUAAAAGUAGUUAAGAUAAACACCCAAACAAACAAGGAGACAAAAAAACUAGGCUCGACUCCUACUUGCAAGAGCAAGGAAUUCCCAUCAAAGUCGCCAGAUGAUGGGGAAUCCCACCGGCAAGAUUCCCCAGCAGAGCCACCAACUAAAGCUACGAGAAAAAUACUUAAGUGCGUCUCACGCUCGAAGAUACAACAUAGGUCGCCAUAGAAAUUUAUUUAUUCAAGAAGGAAAGAGAAAACAUCGAUAAAACCCGGAGGAAGAGAAAAAGGAUAAGGAAGUCGGCUAUGCAAGGGGAAGGUAUUAGCACCCCUUACAUCCGUUAUACUUAACGGGGACCGUUUUGAUUGUUCUUUGCUCGAAUGGGUGUUAUUAUCUAAAGAUUACUUGCAACAAGGGAAAAGGUAAAAAAGGAAUGGAAUAAUUAGAGUGCUCGGUGAGGAUUAGGACCCUCAUGCCUACGUAUCCUUAUAGUGCAAUAAGGAAUUCAGAGUUUCGUAGUUCAUAUAACUAAUGGUGAGGGAUGAAAGAGAGAGUGAUGUAAUGAUAAUAUGGUUUGAACCAAAGGACAAUGUUGUUUGCACCCGUAGGAUAGUUAUGUCUGAACCAAUGAGAAAAGGUGGCAUAUUGGACGAAAAUAAAGGGUUUUAUCCUAUAUAAGGACUUUCAAGGUAACAAAAGGAAAUGUUAGUGUAAACAACGAGAGGACUUACAAGACAAACAAAAAGGGCUCUUGGUUCAGAGGCAGGCGUUGGUUAUUGCCCAAAAGUAUAUAUGGAAUCCAAAGAAAGAUUGUAUUUGGUUCAAAGAGAAAGUAUAUAACUAAUGAAUGAUUGGAGGUUGGGGGUAGUGAAUGAUAUAAAAGAUAUUUAAUGGUGAAUGACGGAGGGUGAAUGGAAGGAUAAAUAAGAAUUAAUAAAUAAAUAUGCUCGCCAAGGAUUCGAAUCCUCGUGCCUACGUAUUCUCACUAUGAAAUGAGAAAGUCGGAGCUCCGUAGUUCGGGGAUCUAAUGCGGAACAAAGAAAGAAAGAGAUGAUUAGGUUGUCAAAAGGUGAAGGAUUGCCUAAACACAAGAGGAUUUAUAAGGCAAAAGAGAUCGAAUAGAUUCGUCUAGGCACGAGAGGACUUAUAAGGCAAACAAUGAAUGAGAAAUGAUUUGCCUACACACGAGAGGAUUUACAAGGAAAAAGAGCUCGAAAGGGUUUGUCUAAGCAUGAGAGGAUUGACAAGAUGAACAAUGAAUGAGAGAUGAUUUUCCUACACAUGAGAGGAUUUACCAGGCAAAAAAAGCUCGAAGGGGUUCGUUUAAGCACAAGAGGAUUGGUAAGACGAACAAUGAAUGUGAGAUGAUUUGAUUACACACAAGAGGAUUUACAAGGCAAAAGAGCUCGAAAAGGUUCGUCUAAGCACGAGAGGAUUGAAAAGACAAACAAUGAAUGAGAGAUGAUUUGCCUACAUAUGAGAGGAUUUACACGGCAAAAAAAGCUCGAAAGGGUUCGUCUAAGCACAAGGUCUUAUGACACGAAAAAUGAAUGAGAGAUGAUUUUCCUACACACGAGAAGAUUUACAAGGCAAAAGAGCUCGAAAGGGUUUGUCUAAGCACUAAAGGUCUUAUGAGACGAGCAAUAAAUGAGAGAUGAUUUUCCUACAGAUGAGAGGAUUUAUAAGGCAAAAAAGCUCGAAAGGGUUCGUCUAAGCACGAGAGGUCUUACAAGACAAACAAUGAAUAAGAGAUGAUUUUCCUACACACGAGAGGAUUUAUAAGGCAAAAAAUCUCGAAAGGGUUUGUCUAAGCACAAGAGGUCUUAUAAGACAAACAAUAAAUGAGAGAUGAUUUUCCUACACACGAGAGGAUUUAUAAGGAAAAAAAGCUCGAAAGAGUUUGUCUAAGUAAGAGAGGUCUUAUAAGACAAACAAUGAAUGAGAGAUAGUUUUCUUACAUACAAGAGGAAUUAUAAGGAAAACAUGAAUGUUAGGGUUCGUCUAAGCAUGAGAGGUUUGACAAGACGAACAAAGACUAAGAGAGUUUUCCUAAGCAUAAGGGGACUGAUAAGGCAAACAUGAAUAGGAUAUUAAUUGGGAUUCCAAGACGGGUAUUUGAUAAUGAGGUGAUUAACCCAAAGGAUGCAUGCGUAACAAAGACGAUUGUUAUGUUUGAUCAUUCAUGAUGAAGAUUGUUGAAAAUAUUGAAUGAUGAAGAGUUUGAAUGUUGAAAGAUUUGGAUGUUGCCUUAAGGAAGAAGAAUAUAUUUGAUUGUUUAUGAUUAUGAAAUUUGUUGGGUGAGUUUAAUUGUUGGUACUUAGAGGGAGACAAGCGUCUAACCACUGGCUAAGUACGACCAGCAAUUAGAAUACUUGGAAGUUGAGAGGAUAGUUUCAUCCUAACCACUCUUUUUCACUCUUAGAGCAUCAGAUUAGACUCAUUUUAUUUGUUAAGUGUUUUGUAAGAAUGUCAAGUAUCGGGCCACAAGCUAGGUACGACCGACAACCCAAGUACUUGAGAAUGUUAUGCACAAGUACGUACACCCCAUCUUUUUCAUCCAAUUUAUUAUGAAAAUGAUUUGAUGAAUAUAAAUGGAUAAAGAUAUGAAGUUGAAUAGGAUGAGAUGAAGAAUUGGAUGAGAUAGAAUGGAAAUGGAAAUGCAAAUGGAUGAGAUACUUGACAUUGGAUCAAGAACUCGUGUUGCUUUUGAUCUAACUUGACUUUGAAAAGCACUUGACGUUGAAUCAAGUGGGUCUUUAUUCUUUUGAAAAGUAUUCUUUUUAUCGUUUGAUUUUAUCUUGUUAAUUACAUGCAAAGUAAACAAUAAGGAAAUAAAAUUCUAAGUUAUUACAUGAUCAUGGGAAUGGGGGACAUAUUACCCACAAUGGGGGGAUGAAUCAUCAACCAUACAAAAAUGGGAAUAAAGGAUCCAUACAAACAUAUAAUGAUACCAUGCCCUAAAAUCAAUCAAGGGGAAAUGGUACCCUAAUAACUCCACAACUAUGAUUAUGUACCAUGCGUCAAAAUACAAUCAAAUGGAUACAAAUUGGUAUGCUAAUCUAAAUAAUUAAAAUUAGGGAUCGAGUCCUAAAUCUAAACAUGAAUCAAAAGUGGCUAAACAAUUAUGUAUCACAUUGAAUUACUAACCACAUUUAGCUAAAAAGUCAACAUACAAUGAGGGGUUGAAAAUACGAUGAAUCAUUACCUUUAAAAAUGACCUAAGGAUCUAAACUAAUUAGAAUCAAAUCAUGUUCUAAAGCAUUAAUCCAUUGAUUUAACAAAAUAGUUCAAAGUGAUUAACAAAACCUAAUUAAAAUUCUAACCAUUUAAUCAUGUAUUUUUGUAAAUAAUGUGAUCAAUCAUCAUGCAUUAAAAUGUGGCAAAAUGAUAGAAAAAUCAAUAAUAAAAUAAAAUAAAAUAAGAAGAGAAAAAAUAAGAAAAAGAAGCAUGGGGUGCAAACUGAAAUAUGGUGCAAAUAGGAAAUGGAAGUAGGGCCCAUGUGCAGAAAGCCCAUAUUUUCCUAACUUCUGAUCAGGGGUGCAUGAUGAAUUCAUGGUGCCAAAAGGAAAAUGUAUGGGCCUAACAGGUUAAGUCCAAGUACACUUGUGGGAGAGGGAGUUGAAAAUUUCAGAUGAAGUUCAAACUUGAGCAAAAAUGUGCGCUCCAUGACAACACAUAAUUCAAACAUAUGGCCUGAGCCACCCUCACAUCCGUCGCACUGGAGGUCGCCGACGACGGAGGAUGAGAGUUAUCUACUGAGAAAAAUACACCAUCUAAAUCGUCUCCUCCUUCUUCAUUCAUAUCUAUCAUUAAUUUUACAUUACUUCUAACCUAAAGCCUUAACCGGAAUGGGAUUAAUUAAGAACCCUAGGUGUUCAAACAUAAAUUAAAUCAUAAUCAUGCAUGGAAUUGAUCCACAACCAUGGGGCUUACAAUCUACUACCUUCAACCUACCAUCUGGUAACAAGAAUUUGGAGAAAUUGAGUGAAAAAGGAGAGCUUACCUGAGCGAUAUUGGAGUUCAACAUGCACCAUAACAGGUAAGGUAAUUCUUAUUCUCGUAUCAAUUCCUCUUUCUUCUUCUUCUUCUUGGUUCUGUGGAUGUGAAUGAUUGGUGAGAGUGAGUUUUUUUUACUCGAGUGAUUUGAGAUGAGUGAGUAUGAUGAACUGCACUGAGUGUUGAUGAACAAUCCUUUGGAACAGAGUGAUGAUGAUGUCAAUCAGGGUUGAUGAAGAAAUUGGUGAAAAUUUAUGAAUCCAAUGUUAAGUGAAGAUGAUGAAAAAAAUUGUGAUUGAUGAUUAUGAUCUGAAUAUGUGUCAAUGUUGAUGAUUGAUUUCUGUUGAGUGAAUAGGUGAAUAUGGUGAAUUGAUCUUAUGUGAAAAUUUGAUUCCCCUUGAAUGAGGAUUGACGUUAGCUUUUAAAGCCCUUAAAUCCUCUCAACCAAAUCAAUUAGAGGUGGUUAGUUAGUUGGCCUUGAAAAUGAGUGUGGAAGUUUGUUAGGAAAAACUGUUAAGGUUGUUGGAGAAUUGUUAUGACAGACUGAACUCAACCCUGUUAGUUAGUUAGGUGGUUUUUUUCUGUUAGAAAUUUUUGGUAGGUAGUUAGUUAGGUUAGGCAUGAGGUUAGUUAAGUUAGUUAGGGAUUAAGUGGUGAUGUAGCAAGAGGUUAGGAAUUUAGGAGGUGGAGUUGUGACAGCUAGAUUGAGUGAACUGAGGUUGCAGAAAUUAUGUUAUGAUGUGAGUGUCUUUGUGAUGUUCCAUUGCUGCUUGUUGUUGGUUAUGGUAGGUUUGAAUGGUUGUUGAGUUAGAUAUGUUGCAUUAUUUCCUGCUAUGAAUGAUGGUUGAUGCAACGUAGUAGGUCUGCAAUGCUACUUAGAUGUUAUGGCCUGCCAUGAUGUAUGAAUUACUGUUAAGUGAUGCUUGCAUUGUGGCUGCCUUGUUAUGCUUGCUUGCUGUUGUUGUUUCUUAUGUAUUGGUUAGUUGUGAUGUUUACAUGGAUGUUAUAAACAUAUGGAAAUGUGAAUUCAUAGCUUACUUAUACAUAAAUGCUUGUUAUUUCUGCUAUGAUGCAUUAUUGCUUGGAAUGUGGUAUGAGCUGCUAGCAUUUAUGCAUUAGUGUUGGAUCUGUCUUGAUAAUGUGCUAUGACUAAUUAGCCUACCAUGUUAUGUUGUAUUGGUACUAUUUAAUGCAUUAUUGGCUUUGGUUUGUACAAGAGAGAUAUGAACUGAUACAUGUUAUGUCUUAGCUUGUUAUAAAUCAAGGGUUGCAACUGUUAUCACUACGCCAAAAACUGGAAUAGACAGCGCACCUUAGAGGGCGCUUUCUUAAAGAAGCGCACUCUAAAGUGAAGAGAAAAAUAAGGAGGAAUAGACAACGCACUUUAGAGGGCGCUUUUGUAACAAAGCGCCCUUCUAAAGUGAAGCGAAAAAUAAUGAGGGAAUGGAGGGACACCAAUAGAGGGCGCAUUUAUGAAGCGCCCUCUAAGGGUACCCUUAGAGGGCGCUUUUAAAAAAGCGCUCUCAUAAGUCCAUGUACAUUUCCAGUUUAUAAAGCGCUUUUGGAAAGCCUUAGGAGCGCUUUAGAAGCGCCUCUUAGGCCCCUUUAGAGGGCGCUUUUUUUACACAAGCGCCUCUAAGUCCCUUAUUAACAUUAAAAUUAUAACAUAUAUACUGCAUGUCUCUUUAUUUUCCUCUCUAUAUGCUAUUUUCGUUUACGUAAUGGGUUUUCUCUCUACUGCGAUUACUUCUACUGUGAUUACUCUCGUCCUCCGUUCGUUCUCCCUCCCUACCGUCGUCGUCGCCGAGCCUUUUUCUGCUGCUGCAUUCACGUUCACUGUUAUCUGCGUCCACCGUCGCUGUUCACUUUUCUUCUCCAUCGUUACCGUCACCUUGAGGUAUCUUCUCUCUCCAUCGUACCGUUCACUUUCUUCAGGUGUUUGAUUGGCUUUUUCUAAACUGGUUUUCAUUUUGUGCAUUAUGGUUGAUAAUGUUGUUUAGGGCAAACGAGCAUUAUAUGGUGUCAUGGCACCCUUGUUAUAAGGUUUUUUAUUUCUGCAUUGAAAACUUGAUGUCAUUGGAGUGUGUUUGAGCUUGUGCUUGGAAGUUUGAUGAUUAUGGAUGCAGUUUGUUCAUGUUCAACACCAUAGUUUGCAUUGGUCUUUGUAUGCAGUAGUGUGUGUGAUGGUAUUCUAAUGAUGAAAAAAGAGAGAGUUUAGUAUUGUUGUAACAUUGAAGGAAAUGGAAGGUAUAUGAAUGUGUGUUUUUGUGUGUAGCUUCACGAAUAUGGUCAUUGUCUUACUUGGGGUCUUAUUGAAUCUUUCUAUUUAUACAGAUAAAAAUGGCUAACCAAGACGAUACCCAUUGACGCGAGUGGAUCACGUAACAAUGUUUGAAAAAAGAAAUCAAAUGAGGAUUGAUGUUAUGAAGUCAAUCAUUCGUGCAAGAGACAAGGGUGAAAAAUUCGAAAGUACAUUGGAGUGCUGAAGACCAACUAAUUGAGCCUAACGGUUCAAUGUUGACAAGUUACAUUGGUUCCCUUGUUCGACAAAUAUUCCGAUACAUGUCAUAAUUGGAGAAGUCCGGAAUUGAGGUUGGCAAAGAAAAAUAUGGUCCGAGAUACAGGUACUUACCAUAUAUUAUUAUAUGUUUUUUUUGUUGACUAUUUGUUGACCAUAUAUUGUUAUAAUAUUACUUAUAAUAACACACUCCUUUGUAUGUUUUUUAGAGAUCCUUUCACCAUCGAUGAAAGCGGCAAAAUAUUGUAUUCAAUUGGCCGGAAAAAGACUCCGAGGAUUUCGAUCCUUUUUGUCAACAAAUUUCUCAAGGAUGAGGAAGGAAACUUUGUUGAAGCAGAACGGCCAAUGAAGUAUGCGGAGAUUAUUUCAGCGAAGAAUGGGAUAACUUUGUCGCCAAACGAAGAAACGAAAAAUUCCAUGUAUGUCUAUUAAUUUUGGUAUUAUACAAUUGUUAGUUACUUGGUUCUAAUAUGCCUUAAACUUUUUUAUCCAGGAAGUAAGCGACAAAAUCGGAAAGGGCAUCAAAACCGCGUAUCCGUACAAAAAGGCGUACGGGAUAUGCACGGUUACAACAAAGAAUUGUGAGUAUAUUCAAAUGCUAUGACUUAUACAUUGUCACAAUAUGUUAUAAUUGAUGAUCUUAUAAAUAUUCAAUUUGUAGCUAGCCGAGGAGAAAGUGACACAACAUCUCUUCCGGAGCACGUAUGUGGAAGGCUGCUCGGCGUUGGGAAGGAUGGGGCUGUCGUUGAAACGUUUCAAAAUGUUUAUGACGAAUGUGUAAGUAUAUGUAACAUUAUUUUCUUAAUUAUAUCGAAAUUUUGUUAGACAUUAAUUCAUUUUUAAUCUCCUCUAAUAAUAUUUCAGGAGACUCUUAUCCCAAACCUUACCUUCAACCGAGGUCCAGGAUUGCAGAGCGUACUUAGUCGAGUACUAAAUGUUCCUGAGUAUUCGGUCGUGUGAGGGGUAAGGGUUUUUGUGUGACUCCGUCGUCAUUUUAUUAAAAAAAACCAAAACAAAAAUCCUUACAACAAAGAGGUGAUGGAGACCUUGGCGGUUUAAGGGCACAAAGUACUCGAACUGCAAAAGGAGAAUGCAGGUAUAGAGAGGAAAGGUGCGGUUCCGAGGCAAAGAUACUACGUGACCGAGCUAGUAUCAAUUGUCAACCGAAAAUUUCCCGAGGUAAUUAUAUAUGUUAUUAUGAAAUUAAAAUAGCACUUUUUUACUGACCACAUAUACACGUUAACAAUAACAUUUUAUUAUUGGUUUAGGGCAUACACCUUGUCAGCUGUAUCUAUCGUCACAACUUAUCGCAUAGUUGGCAAGGAAAAGUGCACAACAUUCGGGUGAAUUACUUCACCAUAAUCCCCUCCCGGUGGGAUAUAUAAAGUUUCGGUUGACCUUGUAUUAGAUACCGACCGGCUUCUACCAUUACCUGACGUUUUUCAGAGACAACGUUGAGCGAGAUGCAGUCGGAUCCUUUGUUGGAUGGCCGUCAGAUCUAAUUUUCCCAGAUGCCGAGGUAUAUAUGUUUCUAAAUGAUUAUGAAUAUUUAGUAUUCACAUUUCAAUUCAGCUACAAUUAUGAUAUUUAAUCAAUCCUUAUUACAUGGUAAUGUUAGACUCCUACAAGACCCACACAUAAAGCUGGUAAAGGGAAUUCAAGACGCAUCGAGUCGGUUGCAUCUACAAAAAGGUACAAAAUAUAUAUACCAUUGAAUUAUAUACGCAACGAUCUGUUGCAUCACAAAAAGUCAGGAUUUAAUUUAUAUGAAUUUUUAGGUUCCCGGUCGAAAGUUGAAAAAAGCUGGUAACGAUAUUCCAACGACGUCCGGGACAAAAUCUCAAAUUAUGAUGCGUCUUGAGAAAAUGGUGGAAGAGGCGAUAUUAUGCACGGCGCCAUCCGUUAGUGUAGAUUUUGAUGAAGGUGUUUUCGGAAUUGCUCAUUCGAAAUAAUUGCAAAGGAGGACAUGCAACAACUUUUUGAACACGAAAAUUGGGCAUCGCUGUCAUUCAUACAUACAUAUGGUACUCCGAUCAAUCUAUUACUUACUUAGUUGAACAAUUUAUUUACACAUUUUCAAUGAGUAGUCUAAUGUUUAUUAUGUUUCUAUUAGGUAUAUUAUGUAACAUUGAUGCGGGGAACUGAAUUGUGUACGAUUCAAUUUUAUUGCUGCUUCCCGUAUCAACACAAUGUUUUAUAACGAAAAAUCCAACAUCCGUAAGAAUGAACUAGUCGAUAGAUUCAUGGAGGCCGGCGAUAUACUACACCAGUUGUAUUUUUUACCGUUUAUUCUGGCAACGGUUAGAUUUUCUUUCUAAUAAUUUAUUUUAAUCUAUGUAUAUCUUUUACGUAGAAAAUUUUCAUGGACUAAAUUUUUGUUUUAUUUUACAGUGCGUCACUGGGUGUUGGUUGCUAUGGAUCUUUCGAGACUAAUGGUUGUAUUAUCUCGAUUCGUUAUCAGGUGAUGGAGUAAAUAUCCGAGUAUGAAGAAGACGGUUGACGCGUAAGUGAAAUUCCCCUAAAUAUUCGUGUGUAUUGUAUAUUUUAAUUAUGUCUGUCAGAUUGAUCUCAAUAUACGUUUUAUUUUGUUAAGGGCAAUACUAAAAUUUAGAUCGAAAAAUAAUUACCGUAAUAGGAAGACAUUACCUGGGUCAGAGUUCAGGUAUAUAUUAAGUAUCUUAUUUUGCUUAUAAUAGUGUUUGUUUUUUUUGCUUAUAAUAUGUUUGUAGAAAUUAACUAAUAUAUAUUAUUGUUUGUUUUUUUUCUUGUGUAGUGUCCUUCACAAAACAUUCGGUCGAUUGCGGAUUUUUUGUAUUGAGAUUUAUGAGAGAUAUCAUUGCGUUGAAUCGUAUGACAUCCCAAAAUGGUAUGGAAUAAUAACUUUAGGGUUUAUUUUAAUAUAUCGGAUAUUUCAUCUAAUUUGUUUACAAAUCAUGAUAUGUUUUAUUCUCUUAAUUGUAGUACUUUGAGGAAUACAAAUCUUACUCAAGAAGCUCAUUUUGGAUGUAAAUGAAGGAUGAAUUGUGUCAAUUCAUUUGUUGAUCAAGAAUCAUUAGCUAGGUUGUAUAUUGUUGUACAUAUAUGUAUGGAAUGUUUGUUGUUGUAGCUGUUGUUGUAUAUAUGUUGUAUAUUGUUGUUGUACUUUUACUAAAUCAUGAAUAUGUUGUUGUAUAUUGUUGAUCAAAAACAUAUAUUAAUGUGUAUAUAUGGGAGGAUUAAUGUUGUAUAUAAAUGGAUUCAUGUUGUAUAUAUCAAUGGAUUAAUGUGUAUAACAUUGGAUUAAAGGAUGAAAUCAAUAUGAAUUUUACACUUUUGCAGCAUGCGAACAGGUUACCAAUUAAAUAUCCACUGUUUUCAAAUAAAUUUUUUAAAUAACUAACACUUUAGAGGCGCUUUCUGUAGGAAGCGCCCUCUAAACACUUUACAUUGACAACUUUAGAGGGCGCUUUGUCCAGAAAGCGCCCUCUAAACACUUUACAUUGACAACUUUAGAGGGCGCUUUUCCAAAAGCGCCCUUAAGGUGUCCCUUAUGGACCACUCCAGAGGGCACUUUUUUCUGAAAGCACUAUAAUGUGGCCCUUAAAGGGACCUUUAGACAACGCUUUCUCCAGGAAAACAAAGCGCUGUCUUUACCUAUGCCAGCGCCACUUUAGAGGGCGCUUAAAAGCGCUGUUAUAGGCCAAAAUAAGCGCCCUCUUUUCCCUUAUUUGGCGUAGUGUAUACUUGAAUGAAUACCAAUCAUGUGCUUGUAUGUAGGCUUUACCAUGCAUUUGAUGAAUAUGGAUUAUCUUUAUCUUAUGGUAUGUUAUGCAAUGUUGCAAUUAAUUCAAUGAUUGUAUGCACGACUGAAACAAUCUUAGAGACAUGGUCAUGAUUGAAGCUUGGCAUGGAGGUUCAUGGUGAGAACUUGAAGAAAUCCAAGGCUUACUUGCUCAUAAAGAAAGGUUUUACCAUGGAAUCAAAUGGAAUGAAUGCAAGGAAUGACGACACAAUGGAUCAUUAGGAUUAGGAAUGUGUAAUUUUAGGUCAGUUGACUUUGGUCAACUGGUUGACAAAAAAGUCAACAGUUGAACAAAAGUUAAUUGUAGGUCAAAUUUGUUUUUUUUUUGUAUUUUUAUAUGGACCUUGUAAAAUGAUACUUGUAUGGUUAAAUGAGCAAAUUUGAAUGGAAAUACCCCUUCGAUUCAAUGAAACAUGCCUUUGAUUCAAAUUAUGACUUUUCCCCAAAAUCCAUAUUUAGAUCAUAGUUUGAAAUGAAUGAACCAUGAUCUUUAAAAAACUUGACCAAUAUGGACUAUGAAUGCAUGAUAACACAUGAACCAAUGGACUAUGAAUAUUUACCAUGAAUCAGGAACAAGUGGACUUAGAAUACACCAUGAAUCAAAGAUCAAUAGACUAGGAAACAAGAACCAAUUCACUAUGGAACAUGGACUAAUGCACAAUGAAUGCUCCACGAAGCAUGAAGUCAAUGGAAUAGGAAUGCAUAAUGGAACAAGACCCAAUGGACCAAAAAUGAAACAUGAAACAUGAAACAAUGAAUGCACCAAUAACUUGAAUCAAUGGACUAUGACAUUUGAAUGAAACAUGCCAUUUAUGAGGACCUUGAAUGUAUUAAGAAUCAUGAGCCAAUGGACUAUGAAGCAUGGAUCAAUAGACUGAAUGCACCAUAGACCUAGAAUUAAUGGACUUGAAUGGAAACUAGAAUGCAACAUGACUUGAAUGAAAGCUUGAACAAUGCCUUGGAUUAGAUGGAUCAUCAAGCAUGUAGGUAUGUAAAUCCAAUGGUCAACUUGAUGAAUUAUUCCCAAGAAUAAUAGUACACUUGAUGAUUGAUGAUGCAUACCAUAAUGAUCAAGAACCACACUCCAAUGAAUUAGGUUUUUAGUCAAUCAUAAGACCAUAUUAUCCACCAAUACCAAAUAUCCAUGAUUAGGGUUUCAUGAUGCAAACCAUCUAAUCAAAGAACUCAAACAAACAAGAAGCUCCACAAUCAAAUCUCCAACAAAUGGCCCCAAGAUUAGGGUUUCAAGAUCAAACCCAAGCUCAAAAGGCAAACCACAUAAUCCAUGAGUAGCAAAGACCAAGAACUAGGGUUUUAUGCAUAAGUAAAUACCAUGAUUGCAAUUUUCAUGAACAAAGGUCCCAAGAAAUAAGAAUUAGGGUUUUACCCCUUGAUUCCAUAUUGAUUGUACCACCACAAUCUCUAAGGCUUGAUCCUCAAGUAAACCCUAGCUUUUGUAAAGUAUAAUUAACCACAACCUUUGAAUCUAUGAUGUAUGUUUAAGAGUGCUAACAUGAAUAAAUGAUGCACUUGUAUUUGGUAUAAAUAAGUGCAGAUGAAUCUCAAACCAUAAGUCAGAUGAAAAGUGAAAAGGGGAGGGAAAAUUUUUGGGGUAUGACAACAAGAAGAAAAAAGAGACUGAUUUUUGCUUCGUCUUCAUCGUCCAAUUCAUGCUAAUUAUGUUACCGCAUUGUGGUUCAUUGUCCGUGGAUCCAAACCCCUAGGGUUUGGACUCCAAAUUGCUUCAGUUCAACGUUUGAUUUCUGAUUUUAGUAGUUUAUGGCUCAUAAGUGUUUUGCUUUGGUUUAAGGGAUGAGAGAAGAAUCAUGGAAACGAAUUGUGGAUUAUGGAAGAGGGGACUAGGAAGAUUGAUUUGAUGGUUGAUUAAAGGUUUUGGACCUCCGCCGCCGCCAGAGGUGAUUUCCGGCGCGACUGAGUUUUUAACUCUUGUCUCACAUUCUGAUAACGCGUUUUCAAACAAGAAACAUGAUUGAGAUAUCCAGACAUCUCCCCACUCUAUUGGCCUCCUUGAUAUAGGCUUAGGGCCCUUGGGCCCAUUGAAGUUCCUUCAUAAGCCCACUAUUUCUUGCGUAUACCCCCUCCUGGAUUGACACUGCCUUGUGUUGGGCUUUGCUUUGUCAAGCUCAAUCCAAAUGAUUCAUACAUCCUACUGAUGACAACACACCCCUUGCCUAUUCUUUAUUAUUAUUAUUAUUAAUUGGUUUUUUCAAUAUUCUUUUUAAUAAAAUCUUUUAUCACAUAUUACAUGGAAAAUACUUCGAAUAAUAAUGUUAACACUUAGAUUUUUAGAUUUUAUAUUUUCUUACGAUUUAAAAUACGUUUAGAAUUUUAGAAAUAAUAAUUAGAAUGCACUCUAGUUUAGAGAAUUACCCAUUAAUUUUUUAGAAUAAUCUUCAAUUAGAUUGUAGAAGUUAAAUAACAUGUUCAUUGGAUUUUUGGUUAAAACUUAAUUGUGUAGUUGUGAACUAAUGUUAACCUUAGAGGUUGAAAUACAUGAUUAUUACCUUUUAAUCCCUUUUUUACUUUGGUGCAUGUUAAUGCUUGAUGCUAAAAAUUAAUCAUGAUUAGUCUUAGGAAUUAAUUUUUAAGUAGAAUACAUUAUAAUUUAUUUCCUUUUCUUUUGCUUUUGUUUGUAUGCAUGGGUCAUGGUUGUGAAUGUUGCUUGAUUUCUUCUUACCAUUUGAUUUAUUCUCAUGUGCAUGAUUUAAUUUUAUGUACGGUGUAUGAUUAUCCCCCAUAUUUGGACAAAAUGUACCCCACUCCCAUGAACAUAUAACACUUUUAUCACUUUCCAUUUUAUUCCUCUCAUCACUUGUUAACUAAGAAAUAAUCAAAAGCGAUCUAAAAAGAACAUUUUUCAAAAGAACAUAAAUAAACUCGAUUAAACGUCAAGUGUUUUUAAAAAUCAAAUUCAAUUGAAUAUAACGCAUGUGCUUGAUCCAACGUCAAGUACAUCAUCCAUUUAAUUCACAAUCUUCAUAUUCAACUAGAAACACUUGAUCCAAAAUCAAGUCAUUUUCAAAGUUUUACAAUAAACCAGAUGGAAAAGAAUGGGGUGUACGUACUUGUGCACACCAUUUCUUAAGUACUUGGGUUGUCGACUGUACUUAACUUGUGGCCCAAUGUUUAUCUUCCAUUCAAAACACUUAACAAUAAAUGGCCUUUCCAUUUCACAGUUCCUACGAAAAUACUUAAAUGAAAAUUAGUAAUACAUAAAGACAUACACAAAUAUGGACGCAAACAGAAUCGGACCACAUAAACAUAGUUGCUCACAAACAUCAAAAUAACAAUUUCACAUAACAAAUUAAAAAAAAUCAAACAUAGUUGCUCACAAAACAUCAAUAUAACAACAACCAGAAGAGAAUCAGAGUAGCUCACAAACAUCAAAAUAUGAAGAAGAAAAAAAUGAACACGAACACAAAAGCGAACACAUACUGAAAUAUAAAGUUUCAAACUUUUAUCGGGUAUACCAAUAAGCAUUGCGUUAUAGGCUCAAAAUUAAUAACCUAGAAAAUGAACAAAUACAUGAAUAAUGAAGAAGACGGGACACUUGUUGGUAAAAUCAUUUGCAAAGUUCAUUUUGUUCAACCGGGAUGUUGAGUUUAUUAGUAUCAAAAUGAAAAAAAAUACAAAACAACGAUGAAGUGGAAGAACAAAUAAGAUCGAAAUCAGGCUGGUGCGAAACUAUCAAACGUCACCUUAAGAUUGAGUGGAUGGUGAAGGAGAGAGAAAGUAGUUUAAUAUUUUUGGGAGAAAGUACAAAUUUUUAUUUUAAAGGGAUAUAUGAAAAGGUUGAACUUUGGUUUAUGUGAUAAAGUUGAAUCAGAUAGUGUCUUUGUAACCAACCAAACCAAACCAAGUUGCAAUAUAAGGUAAGAUGGAAGUAAAUAGAAUAACUAGUAACCUAACAAUGCAAAUUAUGGUAGUUUGUUUGCAAAAAGUAAAUUUGGGACACAAAUUAACCUCAAAUUGGUGACAUGGCAUUAUUAUAGACGGGGGAAAGUUGUAUUUUCCACAACAUCUUCUUUUCUUAUAUUAUAGAUGUUUCAUUAUUAAUUUUUAAUAUUCAUGAUGCUUUUAUAAUAUUUUUAGGUUUCAUGCGAAUCACUAAUGGAAGUGUCUUGAGCGUUGAUACUCAUUAAAUAGACCACAAAGAUUUGUUUAAGGACGGAGAAAGGAAUAAAUAAACACGCUUAUAUUUUCCCUUGAUUAUUACUCAAAACCGAGGUAAAACGUGUUUCUUUUUAAAUAAAAAAUACAAAAAAAUAUAUGUUUCAUCCCAAACGCCACAUACCUCUCGAUUUCUAUAAAAAAAAUAAGGGAUGUAAGCUUUUUUAAAAAAUAAAUAAAUUAUUUACACAGAAUAUUAAAAUAAAUUGUUUAAACAAAUCUAGAUUUUAACAAUGGAUUCUUGGAGAACAACAAAUAUUUUCAAGUUAUUCUUGGAGGAUAACAAAUCUUUGUUAUUAUCCAGAUUUUGUUGUCUAUCAUUUGUGUGCAUUCUUUUCAAGUUCAAUGGAUUGUAUGCAUUGUUGAUUGUAAUUUUAAGUGUCGGGUUUUUGUUAUCGUCUCCACGGGGAUUGUGAGAUAUCGCCGCCUUUCGACAGUUGUUUUAAUUCUUAGCUUAAGGUAACAAUGGUUUUUGGUUUUAGUCACGGUANGGUCACAAAAUGGGUAUACCGAGUCGUGUUGAGUCAUGCAUGGGUGUGUGCAUUGCAAUUGAUGUGUUGUUUUGUUGAUGUUCAUGAGUUGUGAUUAUAAUGAUGAUGAUUGAUGAUGAACUGUGUUGACAUGUGUGCAAUAUGUUUAUAUUAUAUUCUGUCGUUAUAUUAUUGUUUAAUAAUGAAAUUCUCACCCCUUCUGCAUGUGUUUAUGUUCAUCUAUGAUGAGCAAUGUGCAGAUAAUGAAGAGUAGCUUUUGUUGAGGUUUGAAGAAUAAGUGUAGAGUUAUUCUACAGAGUCGAGUCAAAUGCUCUGGUCAUGUGACACCGGGGUUAUGGGAUUCGAUAGAUAAACGAGUUAUGAUUUACGUUGUCUAUGAUAUUUAAAUGUUAAGAUAUUUUAUGAAUUGUCAUAUGAUGCAUGACAUAUUCCUGAUGUUGUCCGCUGCGAAAUUUUAGCAAAAUAAAUAAUAAUUUUAUUCUCUGAUGUGAUAAGUAUUAUAUGAUGUGAAAUGUAAACUCUUCUACAUGUUGUACUCUGAUAAAUUAAUUAAAUAUGUCGUUUGGGUAGAAGGGUGUUACAAAAGCUGCACACUAAACCAAACAAAUUACAAGCACAAGUCAAAAAUUUAAAAAUUAAGCAACUAUUGUGAUGCUCGCAAUAUCAAUUCACAAUCCCCGGCAACAGCGCCAUUUUGUUGAUUGUAAUUUUAAGUGUCGGGUUUUUGUUAUCGUCUCCACAGGGAUUGUGAGAUAUCGCCGCCUUUCGACAGUUAUUUUAAUUCUUAGCUUAAGGUAACAAUGGUUUUUGGUUUUAGUCACGGUAUCUUGCAUAAAAGUGUAAGAAAAUGAGGUAAAAGAUUUGGUUUUAAUAUUUGAGAAAUAUUGCCAAAGUUAGGGUUCGACAAUCACUUUGCAUGCAUAUGUUCGAUCAACAAUACUUAUAAACUCCUUUAGAUGAUAAACUAUUUCACAAAGUCCUCCCAAUGUGUUUAUCUCUAACACACAUUGUGGGUUUUCCCAUUUUGAUCCAUUGUUUAUCUCUAACACAAUCUAUCAAAAUGACAACUUUUUGGUUUCAAACUUUAUGGUGAACAAAAUCAUUCAUUACUAUCUCUGCUAACAAAUAAGAUUGGAUGAAAACCUAGGUAAAGAGUGGUUAAACAUCUCUCGAUCUAAACCAACACAAAGAGUUAUCGAUAAAACAAAUUUUUCACCAUAUAUCAUCAUUAAAGAGUUUACAAAUGAAGAUCAUCCCAUUUACAACAAAGCUAAUUGAUAUCUACAUCUAACCUUGACAAAUGAAGAACUUAGCUACUCAUUUUUCAUGGUAGUUUGGCUCACAAAGUUUCGGAAGAAGGUUGAUCAACAUCCGAGUCGAAUAAUCGAGAUGGAUGGGAAUCCACCUUCUUUUUGUGAAAGAUGUUAAGAGAUGAAGAGAAAUGAUAAAAUGGGUUUCUAGGUCACAAAAUGAUCCAAAAGCAAUGCAGGAAAAUAUCUAGAAAAUCUAAGGUGUUGUCCAAAAAGUAGCCCUUGCUACUUAAUACUAUGGUCUGAGCUGUCAUGCUCGCUAGGCGAGCAGAAUGGCUCGCCUAGCGAGCCCCUAAAAUAGGCACCAGAGGCACCUGCGCCCAGAAAUAUCUAACUUCAGACUUCACAUGUUCGCUAGGCGAACAAAACCUUCGCUAGGCGAACAAAACCUUCGCUAGGCGAAGCCCACGCUUCCACCUUCGCUCCAGCGAGCUUAGGAGGUUUUGCUACUGGAAUUGCUCGCUGGGAGGUCGCUAAUGGCUCGCCUAGCGAGUGAGUGCUGGUUGCGCUUUUGACUAAGUCUGAACGUGUUCGCUACCACGUUCGCUGGCUGCUCGCCUAGCGAGCAUGCUGAUGAAUGCUUUCUUUUUCUUGGUCCCUUGCCAUUUUCUUAUGCCUUCAUUUUCAAUUAUUUCAUGCCUAAUUCCUGCGCAGUAACACACAAAUCAAAGGUACCAAGAUCAUUUAACAUUGUAUUGCGAUUCAUCUAAAACAAAGGCGGUUUCGAACGCUUUAGCAACAAAAAGGAGUGGAAAAUGCCCACAUUUGAUAGCUCAAAUAAGCACUUUUGGGCAUCUAACAUGCAUCCAAUUUUUGAUAAGUUAUUUGUUCCUACCAUGAUAAUUUAUUUUUAAACUUGCAAUCCAUCCUAGAGAUCUGUUCAAAGAUUUCAUUAUCUUGAGCAAAUGUUUUCAUGACAAAUGCUUUCACAAGAAAGAUAACAAGAUACACGUACCUGCAAUUUACAACAUGUUUAAGAAUAAAUUCCUCAAUAUUGUCAACCGAGAAAAACAAUAAAUCUUGGAGUGUUUUCUUUGAUUGACAACAUAGGAAGGUUAUUCCAAAAAUAAAAACAACAACAUUAACACCAUUAUAUUAUGAUGGAUGUAAGAGCAGAAAAAAUAUUGACAAAAUACCCUUUUUGGUCCCUUAACUAUGCCCUUAGGUUUAGAUUAGUCCCUUAAUUUUUUUCGUGUCAGAUUGGUCCCUUAACUCUUUAAAACUUAUCAUGUUAGUCCUUUUCGUCUAAUUGGCGACAGAAAAAUUCAAAAAUCGGUCGCUAAAUCCGCCGCUAAUUAGGCAAAAAGGACUAACUUAACACAUUUUAAAGAGUUAAGGGAUCAAUCUAACACAAAAAAAAAAUUAAGGGAUCAAUCUGAACCGAAGGGUAUAGUUAAGGAAUCAAAAAGGGUAUUUUACCAAAAAUAUUUUAUUCAAGAUAGAAGAACAUCAAAGAUUUUUCCUGUCUUGCAAUCCAUCCCAAAGCCUGAUGCAUACAAGUUUGGAGUGACUACAUAUAAGUUAGGUUUAUGAUAAAAUCUGAUUAGCGAAUGCUUUUAUAUUAAAAUUUGAUUAUGUAAUCCCUCAAUUAUUAAAGAUAAUUAAAGGAUUAGAUCAUUAAUUUAUAAAAAAAGAAAGAAAGACACCACUUUUAAAGAAAUAAAAAUAUAAACUGCUAUUGUUGGGAUUCGAAGCAUGUCCGGUCUGUAAUUAUUUUCCCUUCAAUUAUAUUUAGAAACCGAGGAAUUAUGUGGUAUUUAAUUUUUUUAAAAAUAAAACAUAGCGCGUCUUGGUUAUGUCGAUUUUUUGUUGGGUGGGUGAAAGCUUUGUCAUAAAAUAUAUUAUUUGUAGUAGUGUUCUUGUGGAAGUCCAAUAGUUUAAUUACCCCGUAGGGUGACAAGGAUCUUCUUGUGGAAUUUCAACAAUUUCAUUACCCCAUAGAACGACCAGGAUGUUCCUAUCGAAGUCCAACAAUUUAAUUAUCCCGUAUGACGGCAAGGAUCUUCAUAUAGAAGUUUAACAAUUUAAUUACUCUAUAUGGCAGGAAGGAUCUUCCCAUGAAAGUUCAAUAGUUUUAUUACCCCAUAGGGUGGCAGGGAUCUUCUUGUGGAAGUCGAACAAUUUAAUUACCACCGUAAGGCAAAAAGGAUAUACUUUUGGAAGUCUAUCAAUUUAAUUAAGGCGACAAGGAUCUUCCUGUGAAAAUUCAGCAAAUUAGUUUCGACAGUCAAACCAUAAUAACUUGUUAAAAAUAUCUUAAUCUUUUACAAGAGUUUUCAUACAUAGGCUUUGUUGCACGAUACUCUUUGAGUUCCUAAUAGAAGAUUCAAGGUAUCUCUUCUCUUGGUGAACUUGACAAGUGUCUUUUGAAGAUCGAAAAUUUCAUUUUUCAAAGUAUCACAUUCAUUAUACUUGUCAAGUUCAAUUUGUCUUUUUGUAAGGAUUUAUAUUUAUUUCUCAAGGUUUUUAUUUUUAAGUUCAAGAGAGGAAAUAAUAUCCUUGGAUGUGGAGACAAUUUGUUCCAAUUUGUUUGUUUCUUUUGUUAGUUUCUUACAAAUGCAAAAAACAUUAUGAUAAGAAAAGUAUGAGGUUACCUCAUAAUCUUGAUGAUUUACCAUGAGAUAGAUAUUGGCUUCUUCUUCAUUGUAUGAGGUUUCCAUAUCACUGUCUUCCCAUGAAGCAUAAUCUUUCUUUCCAUUUUUAUGAGUUUUCUUAUAUUUGUUUUUAUUUUUAGUUUUUUGCUAAGGGAAAUUUUGGCCCGAUUUGUCUUUUGUUUCCACAUAAGUAACAUGUUGGGAUGAAUGAGGCUUUCUCCCUAUCAUUGUCUUGUUCCUCUCUUUGUUUCUUUUCAUGCCUCAAGAAUCUUUUGAAGUUCUUUACUAUAAGGGACAUGUCACUGUUAGAGUCAGAUUCCUCUACUUUGAGUGCUAGACUUUUGUUUUUCUUUUCUCGUUUAUCAUCUAUGACAAGUUUUUUAAGUUCCAUCUCGUGUACAUGUCAUUUAAAAAAAAUAUUUGUGUGUCCAUAGUUGCUAAAUCCUUAAUGAUUAUUGGGUUUCCAACUACGGUUUAGGCAUCUAAGAAUUUUUACAACUAGUUCCUCGUUUGAAAGUGUUAUUUCCAGAGUUCUCAUAUGACAUAUGAUAUGGGUAAAUUGCCACUACUACGUAAAUGCUCUUUCACCACUGUGGAAAAAGAGAUACGAUCAUAUGACCGUGAUGACAAACUAUGUCGCACGCUACAUAUCACAAAGGUUAUCUCAAACAACCGUGGUGAAAUAUAUUAAGGUCGUGGACUUGAUUCCCAACCAUAAUAUGAUAUAUAAUAAUUGACAUUCUAGCUAUCACCAUAGUGUCUUAUUAUCUGUGGUAAAAUACUUUUUUUAAAAAUAUUCUUUUUAAUUAUUCCAUUUAUGUCCCCCUUUUUAGUACUUAUACGCUAUAUUUUACCACAAUAAAACCAACAAAUAUGCAUAUUUUUGUAACCAAAAUAUGACUAUAAAAUAUUUCCAUCAAACUCAAAAAUACAACAAAUAUAUAAUUAUAAAAUAUAGCUAUACCAAAAUGUAACCCGCCUAAAUAUUAUUUACAUUCAACAUAAAAAAAUAAUAAACUUAUAUUACAAACUUAUGUAUGAUCAACCUUACCUAUAAAACGUAUUGAAAAAAAAUAUCAAACAUGCAUAAACAUCUUUAACGUCUUUUUCUGAUAAUGAUGUAGUGUUACUAAAAAAUACAAUAAAAAAUACACAACUAAUAUUUGUUAUUAGUAAAAAGACACAACAAAUACUAUAAUUUUGUUGAUUAAUAUAAAAAAUAUUAAUACGACACAAAUAUUUAUCAUUGAAGCAUAAAAAAAACACAAGAUAAAUAUUUGAAUGACAAAAUAAAUCCGCUUCAAAUCAAAUACAAAUAUAAAUCAAAUAAAUUUUUCAUAAAAUAAUAACAAGAAAAUUUGCACAAAAAUAAUUAGAGGAUGAUGUCAUAGAACUAGAUCCAGAAUCCAUUAUGAUAUAAGAAAUAUAAUAUUUUAUUAAUAUGAUAAUAAGGCAUACAUGAGAACAAUGCUACAACAACACAACAUAAGCCAUAUAUAAUAAUUCAAACACGUUUAAAGGAAGUGAGAUUCCUUAAGUGUUUCAAUGGCUGAUCCGACACAGCAGCUUCAUAAUUGUUAGAAGAUGAACCGUCUUUGGCAGAAAGAGUGAGGUGGUAGUUGGUCCCAGCAACAACCUGUGAUUCACCUUUGAUAAGUUUCUCAAACUCCAAUGUUGCUCCUUUUUGUUUGUUGUACUCGACAACUGCGAAACGGGCUAUUUCAAUCACAUAUGGAUCAAUGAUGUUCUUUAUGGGAGUCCAACCGCCUAGUAUAGCUUGAUUCAGAGUGGCCGAAGCAAACAAAAUAAGGAAGAGGAGACUUAGGGAUUGAAAUCUCAUGAUGUCUGUUAACUUGAGAAAUCAAGAUGGUGUGAGUAAAACUCUGUGGUGUGGAGUAGUUAUAUAUAAUGUACAAAAGUUAUGCCAUUUUUGGUGAUAUUCUCUUUUAUUCGUUGAAUUAAAUCAAAAUUUUCAUUUAAUUUUAUUUCAUAAAAAUAAAUUAAAUUUAUUUUUUAACCAAAUAUAUAAAGUUUUUUUAAUAAUAUAUAAUAUUUAAUAAACCUACAAUUAGUUUAAUAGAAAAGCAUAGUCAAAAGUAUUAUAUUUAAUGUCAUUCAAGCUUUUUUAUAUAUUUUAAUUUGUAUUAAUGAUAAAAUGAUGGUGUGAAUUUAUUAUUAUUAUUUUUAUUUAAAAAUCCAUGUGAUUUUCUUUUCUUUUAUUAAUUUUGAAAUUAGAAAAGGUGAAAAUAUUUUUAAAAUGAAAUUAUAAUUUAUUUAACUUAUCUUUAAUACUUAUCUAUAUUUUAAAAUAAUAUAUACUUAUUUAUAUAUUAACUUUAAAUUAAUUAACAUUAAAAUAAUUUAUUUUAAAUUUAUAUAUUACAAAACUAUCAUAUAGAUAAGUACAUAGUUUUGUAAUCUUAUAUUUAAUAAUAUGAUAUUAUUCUAUAAAUAUUAUUUAAUAUUUAAUAAAUUAUUUAUUUCUGAAUUUAAAUGUAAUAUUGUUUAAACUUAUGUAUUUUUUCUAAUGUUAUUAAAAAUUAAUAUUAAUUUUGUUUAAAUAUGAAUAUAUGUUAUUCAAAAAAAAUGAAUGCAAGUUAUUAAAAUGUGUUUAAAUAUGAAUAUGAAUUUAAAUAUGUUCCAAAAUUAUUUCGAAUUAUUUAUAAUUUAAGUGUAUUUAAAGGAAAGUUAUUACACGUGGAAAGUUAUUUCUAAUUAUAAUUUCUUAUUCAAUGUGUUUAAAUGUAUGAAUUUUUAGGAAUAUUUUUUUCUGAUUUAUAAGGGUCAUUAUUUCUAAUUUAUAAGUUCAAUAUUUUUAAAUAAUGUUACAUUUAAAUUCAGAAAUAAUAAGAAAAUAUAUUCAUAAGUAUUAAAUUUGUUAACCUUAAGAAUUAAAGCACCUUGCUCCAGUUGGAAAUUAACUCGUGCCAUGAGGAUUUUAAUAGUUGUUAAAAUUAAAAUAAUUAAAAAAGAAAAUUAAUAAAAAAUUAAAAUUAAUUUUUAAUAACAUUAAAAAAAUUAUGCAUUUAAAUUCCAAAAUAUAUAAUUUAUUAUUAAAUAUAAAAUAGUUUUAAAAAAUGAUAUAAUGAAAUAUGAAAUAUGACAAAACAUUAUGUAAUAUACUCAUUUUUGUAGCAAAGCUAAUCACAACAUACAAGUUGACUUAGGGGUAGGUGCCUCUAGUAUUAAAUAUGAAGGUCAUUGGAUCAAGUCCUCUUGUCCUCCAAAUUUUGCAAUUUUUAAAAUUUUCAAACUUAAAAUAAUAAUAAAUAAAAUGUCACGCAAAUAUGACAUUUAAAAUAAUUUAAAAAAAAAUCAUAUAGGCACCUGUGUCAUUUCCCAUCCAGAUUUAAAAAAACAAAAUAUUUAUACGUCAAGGUUAGUUUUAUAAAAAAAAUUACAUCGCCUAUAUGACAGCGGUAAAAUGGCAUUAAUCCAUAAGUAAAUAAGAGACAAAAGAUACAUUCAUAUAUAAAAAAGUGAAAGACAAUCAUUGUCUGUUAAUAUAAAAAAACACGACACAAAAAUUUAUUGUUGAUGCAUAAACAAAUACGAGACAAAAAAUUUUCUUCGAUACAAAAUUAAUUAAUGAAAUGUAAGUUCAAGAAAAUGAAACAUAUUUUUAAUCUAGAGGUAAAAGUUGAAGGCCAUGUCAUUAUAUAAAUAACCAGAUUUAAAUUUAAUUGGCCCAUAAAAAAAUAAUGGAAAAAUAGAAAGGGAUAUAAACCACUGAAUUCAAGAUGGGUGUGACUGAAAUGGAGGAGGGUCUCCUUACCUUUUUACUUUAAUUUUUAGUGUACUCACAUAAUACAUUAAAAGGGUAGCACCAACAUGUAUGCUUUUUCCAUAUGAUAUAGUUUACUUAGAGACUCAAAUGAGGAUUUAAAUGGGAGGUUGGAGUUUUUGAGACGAGCCUUAGAAACGCAUGGCUUCUACCUAAGCAGAAGUAAUAUAGAGUAUAUGGAAUGUAAGUUCAGCAAAAGAAGAGAAAAGAGAUAGAUGGAAGCAAAUUUUCAUUCAUUCACUUGAUCAAGUUAGUUACAACUAGUGGUUAUAUAGAAGUUUAGAAUCUAACAACCUCUAACUAACUCUAAUUAAUUGUACAAACUUUAGCUUAAGUGGAAUAUAACAUGGCAAGACUACACAAACCUAUGGUGUUCAACUUUUGAAUGUAGCUUCUGAAAGCAGCUUCUCAAUGCAACAUUUGAAUGCAUCUUCUGAAGGCUUCAACUUCUUAAAGCUUGUGCAGCUUCUGAAGGCCUCAAUGAAUGCCUUAGCCUUUGAAGGCUUCAUCCUCUAAAAACUUCACCUUCUCAAAGCUUUAGCCUCUGAGAGAUUCAGAUUUUGAAAGCUUCAGCCUCUGAGAGCUUUAGCUUCUGAAAGUUGUAGCCUCUGAGAGCUUUUGCUUCUGAAAGCUUCAGCCUAUGAGAGCUUCAGCUUCAACAUCCUCCAUUAAGCUUAGCAUGAUACAAGUCAAGCAUGUUAAGCUUGGAAAUAAAAUGAUUGAAUUUUUUGGGUGGUUUUGGAUUUGUGAAGAAGUCAGUAAGUUGGGCUUGAGAUUUUACAAGUAGCAAUUUUCAUACUCCUUGCAGUAACUUGUCUCUCACGAAAAAAAAAUCAAUCUCAAAAUGCUUUGUGCGCUAGUGAAAAACAAGAUUAGCUGCAAUAUUAAUUUCACUUUGGUUAGCACAAUAUAUUACAUGUGGCUUACUACAUUGGACUCCUAGAUUAUGUAAAAAAUAGAGAAGAAAUUGAAGUUCACAAUUUUCAAAACAUAGAGCCUAAUAUUCAACUUCAGAAGAUCUACGAGAAAUAUUUUGUUAUUUCUUAGCCCUCCAAGAAAUUAAGGAAGAACUAAUGAAGAAACAAUAGCAUGAAGUAGAUAUCCUAGUAUCCAAACAUUCGGCCCAAUCAGCAUUUGUAAAUCCAAUAAGCAAUAUAUAUUUGAAUCUUUUCUGAAAAAUAAUCCUCUUCCAAGUGAAACUUUCAAGUAUCUCACAACUCUAAAAGAUAUGUCAUAGUGUGUAAUGGUUGGUGAUGAAAGGAAUUGAAUAAACUAAUGUGUCACGAAAGCAAUGUCAGUUCGGUUGGUUGUGAGAUAGAGCAAUUUCCCAACCAAUCUUCUAUAACUGAGUAUGUCUUCAAAAGGUGCACUUGAGUUUUGAUGUAAUUUAAUAUAUGGAUCAAGAGGAGUUUUGGCAGUCUUGGAGCCAAGAAGAUAUGUGUCUUUUAACAAAUCCAAACAAUACUUUCUUUGACAUAUGCUAAUUCCAACUUUAGAAUGUGCAACUUCUACGCCUAGAAAAUAUUUCAGUUUUUUAAGAUAUUUGAUUGUAAAUUUAGUGUCAAGUGUGAUAUUCACCUUACUUAUUUCAUCCAUAGAAUUUCAAUCUAGGAUUAUAUCACCCACAUACACUAACAAGGUAGUGAAAUGUGAAUUUGUGUGACAAGUGAAAAGAGAAUGAUCAGAAUUUGAUUGUUUGUAGCCUUGAGUAAUAAGGAAACCAAUCAGCUUCUCAUAACAUUUUUUGCUAUCUUGUCUUAAGCCAUUCAAGGUCUUUAGCAAUUUGCACACUUGGUUUGGUUUGGGACUUGUAACACCAUGUGGCACUGACAUGUAUACAUCCUCAUAUAACUCUCUAUGUAGAAAGGAAUUAUUUACAUCUAGUUGAUGUAGAUGCCAUUAAUUUAUCGAUGCUAAUUCCAACAAGGUCCCGACAGUAUUGAUCUUUGUCAAAGGUGAAAAUGUCUCAAAGAAAUCAAGUCCCUCAAUUUGAUUAUAAACUUUGGAUAAAAUCCUUUCUUUGUAUCCUUCUAUGGAGCCAUCAGCUUUAUGUUUCACUUUGUAAACCCAUUUGCUUCCAAUAUGUUUGACAUGUGGUGGAGGAUCAACAAAAAUCCAACUUUUGUUAUGCUUCAAAGCCUCUGGCUCAGAGUUCAUUAAUUUGACCCAACAUUUAUGCUUGCUUGCCUCUUUGCAACUAUCUGGCUCACUUGACACAAGGAUAGACAAAGCAAAAUGUUGUUGUGUAGUAGACAAAUUAUUUAAUGAAUGAAAGUUUUCAAUAGGAUAUAGUAUACCUAAAGAAUGAUGAUCAACUAAUUUCUUUGAAAGAUUUCAUAUGAAAUCUGAUAAAUGGCUAGGCUUUUGAGUAUGUCUAUUGGAUCUACUCAAAAUAUGUGGCUCGGGAAUGGUUUCAGGUUGAAGUGUGUUUAUGUUGAUGGGAUAAGGAGAAGCAUCACUAGAGAUAAUGUCUUGUUGAGAUGUAUGAAAAUCAAGUAUUAAUGUAUGGUCAAUAGGAAUUUUAUCUUGGUGAUUAGUAACGGUAGGAAUUAUGACUGGGUCAGUAUGACCAUUAUGAUCAUGGUGAUAUGUCUAAUUGAAGAAGAGGUUUGAGUCAUAAUAAGGAAGACCAUGAUCAUGGUAGAUAACAUGUCGAGAGACAAAAAUGUAUUUUGUGUUUAAGUCAAGAAUUACAACACCUUUGAAAUUUUUCUUGUAUCCCAAAAAAACAACCUUUCUAUCUCUAAAAUCCAGUUUAGUUCUAUUAUUUUGUAAGGUAGUAGCAUAACAGAGGGAUCCAGAAUCUUUUAACUCAAUCAAGUGAGGUUCAUAUCCAAAUUUAUGAAAUAAGGGUGAUUUGUCAUGAAGUAAAGGACUAGUUGUGUGAUUUAUGAUGUAGUUAGCAUGACGAAUGGAAUAAGACCAAAAAUGUUUAGGUAACUUAGACUGAAAAAGUAAGGUUCUUCCUACAUUUAAAAUGUGUUGAUGUUUUCUCUCAACUCUCCCAUUUUGUUGGAGAGUUUCAACACAACUAGUUUGAUGUUUAAUGCCUUUAGAAGAAUAAAAUUCAAGCAUGAGAAACCCAAGACCAUUAUUUUUCCUAACAAUUUUAACUUUGCAGUUAUAUUGUUUUUCAAUCAUAAAUAAGAAUCUUUGGACAAGAAGAGUAACUUCAGAUUUUGUUUUACAAAGAAUAACCCAAGUAAAUCUGUUGUAAUCGUCAAGAGAAAUUAUGAAAUAUUUUUGGCCAUGUAUAAAGGGAAUAGACAAAGGACCAUAAAUGUCAAAAUGGAUCAACACAUAACAUUGAGUAGCUUUAUUUUCACUAAGUUGAAAAUGAAUUUUUGUAUGUUUUGCAUAAUGGCAUAUAUCACAAACAUAGUUCUUAUUUAUAGUUACAAAAGGCAUGUAUUUAUGUAAACUACUAAGUCUUCUAUAUGAUAAAUGGCCUAGUCAUAAAUGUCAUAGAGUUGUCUUGGGAACGAAAGUAGAGUGAGGUGAAACUUGGGAUGCGGUGAUGUUGGCUUGAUGUGAGGCUUGUGUGAUGGCAAGAUAAUCAAUCCUUUAACUAAAUCAGACGAACCAGUCAUCUUUAAGCUCUUUUUUUCCUGAAUUGAGAACUUUGCAUUAUUAAAAUUCACUACAUAAUUUAUAUCAAAGCAUAAUUUUGGAACUGACAAUAAAUUAAGGUUAAACUCAAGUACAAACAGAACAUUGUGCACUGUGAAAGCUAGUGAGAAAAAAAUUCCAUAACAUUUUCCACUUCUAUAUUACCAUUAGGUAAUCUAAUGUUAACAAGUGCUAUAUGUGAAGGUAAUAGAAAUACAAGAAAGCGGGGAUUUGAAUUGGGUUUCAAGAAGUUAAGCUUUUGCAACCCAAGGAAACAGACAGAAAACUAAGAACAAAAAUAAUAAACACAAUUAUUUUUAUCCUGGUUCACUGUUAACAAAGAUACCUCCAUUCCACCCGCUAAGGUGAUUUCGCCUUAUCAUAAUGACUUAAUCCAUUAUAAUCAAACUUGAUUACAACACAAAGACCAACUGUCAAUGUCUUCUUGGGUAAUGAUAACACCAAAACACACUGCAUAUUUGACUCGACUCACACAUGUUUUAUUAUCAUUUUACCUUUAUUUUUAUUAUUAUGCUGGUGUUUUGGCUGUGUUUCAUGUACCUAGUCAAGUAACAGCCAUUACAAGAAUAAACGAGACGAAACAGAUGAAAAACAGGCAAAGAAGCAUGUUUUGCACACAUGGCGUUCAACAUGGUAUUCUGCACGGUGUUCAGCAUGGCAUUCGCCACAGAGGUGGCCAUGACGUGGAUGAAGUAUCCCACGUCUAAGAAGAUGGCAAGACCAAGUAUGCAUGUUUUAAGCCUGUGGCGUUCGCCACACCCUGUAAAUCCGGAUAUGCGUCGGCCGUUGAGGAAUUUCAGCCACUCCUCCCUACUUUCUCUUACACGAAUUUAGAAGUUUGACCUGAUUUUUCUAUGUUAUUGGAGCACUAUAUAUUCAAGUUAGGACUCAUAUUUUAGUCAUCCAUGCUUAGUGCAACAUAAGCCAUAUAAUUCACUAUUUGAAAGCUCUAACUCUUCACAUCGGGGAGUUAUUGCACUUGUUCUUGUAUUAAGUUUGGAGCAUUUACUUUGUAACAGUUAAUCUUACCGGCUUUAUUUUCGUAUUCAUGUUUUUCGUUGAUUUAUUUUUGUACCAAAUUCAAGUCUCCAUUGGAGCAUGUUUUUAUAACUAAGCAAUUUUAUCAUAUCGUUUGCUCCUUUAUAUGCAGUUUUAUUUGUCUUGCUUUGCAAAAUUUAUCUAUUUCAAACUUUACUUUCUGCAUUGAGUCAUUAUAUUUUUAUUAAUUGCAAGCUCUUAUAUAACUUUAAUUUACAAGUUUAAUUUACCUAUUGCACGCUUUAAUCUUAAUUUCUAUGCCUAAUAUGUUUAAUUCCAAGUUUCAACUGCAUAUUUCUUUGUUUACCAUGAAUAUGUUUGACUAAAUUAAUAGUGUUGGAAUGUGAGGACCGUUGAUUCAACGGUACUCUAUAUGCUACCCCUUUAGAAAUACUUUUGGGACUGUUUUGGUUUUAUUUCAAUUUUCCGUUAUAAAUUUUGAUUCGGUUACUAUGAAAGUAGGACCGUAAAUACACCAAGUAAGAUCGAAAGUCGUCUGAUACUCAAGAUUAAAUUGUUAAGUUUUUAAUUAAUAAAUAAUGUGAGAUCACUUUAUUGAUUAAUUAGGAAGGUUUUAUAUUUAUAUAAAUGAUUUUAAAACUAUUUUUGGAUGCACUUAUAGAUUUAGGAUCCGGUUGGCCGAGUGAAAGUCAGGAACCCUUUAAAGUCAAGUUUUCAAACCAAAACCACUUUUUAAAUAAGUAAAAGAAUAUAAUUUCCAAGAAAAGGUUUUGCUUCUUUAAAGCAAAUGCAUCGGGUACGCGAGAGCGAAUGGUAUAAAUUCGAGGGUAAAAUUCGGUUCCGAAUACGCUAGAGCGACGAUUCCCUUUUAAUUAAUUCUUUUUCAAGGAAGAAAAUAUUAUCCCGAAGGUAGUUUAGUUUAGGAGUGAUAAGAGGAUCAUUGGUCAAUUAGAGUCGCAUUCCAGUAUUACAUAUCUGAAUUCAUUCAAGUUUAUUAUUUUAUUUUUCUUACUUAAAUAUUUGUUCAGAUCGCCUUAGAUAAACACCGUAACAAUAGAAAAUGAUAGAUCGAUUGUUAGGUCUCUAUGGGUUCGAUAACCUUUUGUAUUACUCUAAUAGACUUCGUAUACUUGCGGAUACAACCCAUCAAGUUUUUGGCAUCGUUGCCAGGGACCAAUUACAUAAAAUAUCAUAACCCUGUUGUUACAGCGUCUAGAUUAAGGCACCCUUUUUUUGGUCAAUGCAAAGAACUCGCAGUAUCAGAACUUUAGAAGAUCCAAUAGCUAAACCAGAGAGAUACGUACGUGCACGACUUUUGCUCCAACGAAUCAAAAGAGAAAUGGAAGAUGAUCAAAACUAUAGGCCACUCAAGGAUUUUGCCUUACCCUCUAACGAAGGACCUCAUUCAAGUAUUGUUAACCCUGCAAUCAUAGGUAACAACUUUGAAUUGAAACCCGCUUUGUUGUAAAUCAUACAACAAAACCAGUUUUCUGGUCUCCCAAUAGAGAACCCAAACUAGGACCUAAAAGUGUUCAUUCAAGUAGCUGACACACUAAAAUCCAAUAGCGCUGCUCCAGAGGCGAUGUGUUUACAUUUAUUCCCUUUUUCCCUCAGAGCAGAGUGUGAUCAUUGUCAAACUCCCUCCCAGCCAAUUCAAUAACUACUUGGAAUGACCUGAAGAAAUUAGAGAAGAAAGAAAUGAAAGGAGGUAUAUACGAAGUUAACAACCUAUACCAUAUGAGUGCCAAGAUGGAAGCCCUAGCCCAAAAGCUCGAAAGCUUAGUCAUAAACCCUACAAAUACCAUAGUUGCAAUACAAACCGGAUGCAAAAUCUAUGGAACCCCAGGGCAUGUCCUUGCCGAAUUUCAUCUACUAGCUGAACCAAGCCCAGAUCAGGUCAACUAUGCCUAAGGAAGUCCUUAUUCAAACACUUACAACCUUGGAUGGAGGAAUCAUCCAAACUAAUCUUACAAGAACAAUAACUCUACUUUUCCUCAAAAUAAUGCACCUCAAAGACCACCAGGUUUCCAAGCCCAAAGAGCGGCUCAUCCUAUACAAGCUACCCCUCAGAAGCGGCUCAUCCUAUACAAGUUACCCCUCAGAAGUCAAACCUUGAAAAGAUCAUGGAAAACUUCAUUUCAGCUCAGACUCAACAGGAUAAAGAAUUUAUGAAUCAAAACAUUCAUAUUAAUGAGUUGAUUACACAACUAGGUAACAAAGUCGAUUUUGUGGUAAUCUACAAUAAGAUGCUGGAAACCCAAAUCUCUAAAGUAGCGCAACAAUAAGCUGCUCAGGCUACACCAGGUGGAUCAUCUUCUGGGAAACCUCAACCUAACCCUAAAGUCCAUGCUAAUGCUAUUUCGCUGCAAAGGGGAACUACAUAUGAUGGGCCUGUAGAUCCUAGGUUGAAUAACAAGCCAGAGCCACCAAAAGGAAACAUUGCAACUACACCAGAAAAACAAGCAGUAGAGGAACUUGUAGAACCAGAGAAACAAAUAGAGGAAGAAAUUAAAGAUAAGGGAGAAGUAAACGAUAACCAAGAGAAUCAUAUAGAUGUGCCACCUCCUCCUAAUAAACUCCCAAUUCCCAUAUCCGCAAAGACUUAAACAAACCAAACAAGACACCCAAUAUAAGAAGUUUGUGAAGGUAAUUGAAAAAUUCACGUCGAAAUACCUUUCACUGAGGCUAUUACCUAAAUACCAUCGUAUGCUAAAUUCCUAAAAGACAUUUUAACAAACGAGCACAAGCUUGAUGAUCCUAAACCAUUAUAAUGCAACGCAUUUGCUGAUAAUAAAUUAGCCAAGAAGCAGAAAGAUCUUGGAAGCUUUUCUAUACCAUGUGUUCUAGGAAGACAUGUUAUUGAAAAAGAACAUCUAGAUUUGGGCGCAAGUGUAAGUUUGAUGCCUUUAGCCGUCUGCAAUAGAUUAAACCUAGGAGAUAUGCAACCAACUAGAAUGUACCUUCAACUGGAUGAUCGAUCAGUUAAGUACCCAAUCGGUAUAUUAAAAGAUAUUCCAAUUAGGAUUGGUCAACUUUAUAUUCCAACAGACUUUGUCGUAAUGGACAUCAAAGAAGACGAAGAUCUCCCUGUUCUUAUAGGUAGACCUUUCCUAUCAACUGCUGGAGCCAUGAUAGAUGCCAAAAGAGGAUAAAUGACUUACGAAGUAGGUGAUGAGAAGGUUGAGUUUAUCCUAUCCAAAUUUCUGUAAACACCCACCAUAGAUGACUCAUGUUGCGCCAUUGACAUUAUUGAUGAGUAUAUAAGAGAGUUGGAUAAGGAAGAACCUAUCAAAACAAUAAAGCUUCCCUUGACACCCAUAAUGGAAGACGGUGUAUUUAAGGUAGCUACACCAUAUAUGGAUGACAACCUUUAUAAAUGCCUAACACUUACCCCUGACCAUAUACCAGGUCCUAAGAAACCCUCAAUAGAGCUUAAGGAAUUACCUAAGAAUAUGAGAUGUGAGAAUCUUGAUAAAGAUAGUAAAUGCAAAUCUAAAUAGUGACGAAACUAAUUAACUCUUAGAUAUCUUACGAAAAUACCCUGCAACUCUAGGCUAUACCAUAUUUGACCUAAAAGAAAUAAGUCCAUAUGUGUGCAUGCACCAGAUUAUGCUAGAGAAUGACUCUAAACCCUCUAGAGAACACCAAAGAAGGAUAAACCCUAUAAUGAGUGACGUGGUCAAGAAGGAAGUGUUAAAAUUACUCGAUGCUGGAAUAAUUUAUCAAAUCUCGGAUAGUAAAUGGGUUCGCCCUGUACAUGUCGCACCAAAGAAGGGAGGUGUCACAGUCGUACAAAAAAAAAGGAGAAUCAGUAGCAAAACGUAUAAAAAGCGGAUGAUGCAUGUGUAUAGACUAUAUGAAGCUAAACAAAGUGACCAGGAAGGACCAUUUUCACCUUCCGUUCAUUGAUCAAAUGCUUGAACAUUUAGCUAGACACUCUUAUUUCUUCUAUUUAGAUGGAUAUUCAGGAUUUUUCCAAAUUCCUAUUCACCCGGAUGACCAUGAGAAAACAACCUUCAUGUGACCUUAUGGAACAUUUACCUACUGACGAAUGUCAUUCAGGCUAUGUAAUGCCCCUACAACUUUCCAACAAUUUAUGAUGGUAAUAUUCGCAGAUUUCCUUGACGAUAUCAUGGAAGUUUUCAUGGAUGAUUUCUCAGUAUACGAAUCUAGUUUUAAAAACUGCCUUGCUAACCUAGAGAGAAUUCUGGAAAGAUGCGUACAAGUAAACCUCGUAUUAAACUGAGAAAAUGCCACUUCAUGGUUACGGAAGGUAUAGUCCUGAGACACAUAGUGUUGGAAAAAGGCGUUGAGGUUGAAAAGGCUAAUAUUGAAGUAAUAGAAGGACUCCAACCACCCAAGAUAGUUAGGGGAGUCCGAAUUUUUCUUGGACACGCCAAAUUUUACCGACGCUUUAUCAAGGACUUAUCUAAAAUAACAAAACCUUUGACUGGUCUCCUGAUGAAAGACGUCGAAUUACUCUUUAACAAAAAAUGUAUAUAAGCAUUCAAUAUUCUUCAAAGUGCACUAAUCUUUGCACCUAUGCUACAACCACCUGAUUAGAACCAACCAUUCGAGAUUAUGUGUGAUGCUAGUGAUUUCGCUGUAGGCAAUGUUUUAGGAGAGUAAUAAGAUAAGGGAUUGCAGGUGAUAUACUAUUCCAGCAGAACUUUAGAUGCAACCCAACUAAACUAUGCCACUACUAAAAAAGAACUCCUAAUUGUAAUGUUUGCAAUAGACAAAUUGUGUUCCUAUUUAGUUGGAGCUAAAAUUAUCAUAUACACCGACCAUGCUGCGACACGAUACCUACUGAGCAAAAAGGACAUAAAACCUAGAUUACUUCGCUGGAUCCUGUUGUUACAAGAGUUUGACUUAGAGAUCCACGAUAAGAAAGGAACAAAAAAUGUGGUAGCUUGCCACCUCUCGAGACUUGAGUACCUAAAACCCGACCAUAUUCCCAUAAAUAAUGACUUUACAUAUGACAAGUUGAUAGCGUCAGUCGAAAAUUAGACAUGUCACGACAAAUACUUAGAUGCGGUGGAGUUGAAUGUCGAAGUUGCCCUAAUAGUAACCAGUGUACCUUAGUACGCUGACUUUGUUAACUAUCUCGCAACAAAUAUAUUACCUCCGAUUUGACCUACCAACAAAAGAAAAAAUUCUUCCAUGAUGUAAAACAUUUCUACUGGGACGAACCCCUCCUCUUUAAGAGAGGAGCAAACAACAUAUUUCGUCGUUGUAUUCUUGAAGAGGAGAUACCAAAUAUCAUUACUCAUUGCCACUCCACUCCUUAUGGUAGACAUGCGGUCUCAUCCAAGAUUUGUGCUAAGAUCCUUCAAGCAAGCCUUUACUAGCCAACUUCAUGGCACGAUGUGCAUGCUUUCAUAAUCAAAUGUGACUGGUGCCAACACACUGGAAACAUUUCAAGAUGCAAUGACAUGCCCAUAAAGAAUAUUCAAGAAGCAGAAGUUUUUGAUGUUUGGGGAAUUGACUUCAUGGGUCAAUUUCCUUCAUCCAUGGGAAAUAAGUAUAUACUUGUUGCUGUCAACUAUGUGCCUAAAUGGAUCGAGGCUAUAGCCUCACCUAUGAAAGAUGAACGAGUGGUUAUUAGAAUGUCCAAAAACUAUAUAUUCCCCAGGUUUGGAGUCCCUCGCUUAGUUAUAAGCGGUGGAGGAUCCCAUAUUAUUUCAAUAAUUUUUUAGAAACUCCUAAACAAGUAUGGUGUUAAACAUAGAGUAGAAACACCCUAUCAUCCACAAACUAAUGGACAAGUAGAAGUGUCAAACAGAGAAAUAAAAUAGAUUUUAGAAAAGACUAUUUCUAUUUCUAGAAAAGAUUGAUCCUCUAGGCUACAAGACACAUUGAGGGCUUAUAGAACUGCCUAUAAGAUCCCUAUAGGGACAACCCCCUUCAAUUUAGUCUAUAGGAAAUCUUGUCACCUACCUUUUGAAUUAGAACACAAAUCCUAUUGUGCUAUUAAUGCCCUGAUAUUGAUUAUUUAAUAGUUGGCAACAAACGCAUGUUAGAUAUCCAUGAACUGGAUGAGCUCAAACGUGAUGCCUACUAAAAUGCUAUAAUCUACAAGGAACGAACCAAAGCAUGGCAUGAUAAGUGAUUUUCGAGAAAACAGUUUAAUGUGGGUGACAUAGUACUUCUAUUUAACUCCAUAUUGCGCCUCUGUCUAGGUAAAUUACGUUCUAUAUGGUCUGGAUCGUUCGAAGUCACAAAUGUCAUGCAAUCUGGUGUCGUCGAAAUUCAAAACCAAUCAACUUGUCCUUUCAUUAUGAAUGGGAAAAUAUUGAAACAUUACACCAGAGGUGAUAUGACUACUUACUAUUCGCGCCAUACCUUAAUCGAACCACCCUUUGUUGCACCAACCACCUGAUUAAAACAAUUGUCGAGCUACCGACAUUAAACAAAGCGUUGCGUGGGAGGCAAACCACGAUCUUUUUUUUUUAUUAUUUUUCAUAUUUCCUUUUUAUAUAAUAGUGAUUUAUUACUAACAAAUCUAACUUGUAUGAUUUCUUACAUUUCAGGUCUCAGCAUUCUACAUUCCUACUAACCAUAUUUUCAAAAUGCAGAACUUUGAUGACAUGCAUAUUUAGUUCAAAGAUGACGUCCGGAGGAAGCGUUAUGUGGCCUUAUCUGAGAGACCCAUGUUACCUACCAGAUACCCUAAUUCUCACUGCUUAGAGGCCCUAUGUAUUGAACCUAGCAUCAGAUACAUGUGUAACCAGCUUGAAUGGAUGAGUACACAAAGCCCAAAAAUGUCACUUACCGGAACCUUACCCUUGAGCUCCUUAGCUCACUUACCUACCUACCAUAUUGUGGUCGUGGAUUUAACAAAAUACUAAUUACCUUUAGACUAUUUGGGCACGAGUAUACUUUUAACCAUCGGGAAUUUGCAAACCUUUUAGGAUUCCAGUUCGGGCCAGUCGCCGUAGUUGAAGUUCCUUAUGAUUGGCCCAUGCAGGACGCGAUGGAUACUUUCUGGGGAGUUAUUACCACUGAGGGAAACCCCGGACCAACCACCUAGUUCUCAACUUGUAUCUAUAACCCAACACUCAGGUACUUCCAGAUGCUUUUAGCCUAGACUUUCUUUGGUAGGAGUGAGCACAACGAGCCUAUAAGUGUAGAAGAAUUAUUCUUUCUCUUUUGCAUUACCUAGUUUCGUCCGGUUGAAUUUGGAACUUUCCUCAUAGCUAACUUAUAGGGUAUUUCCUUAUCUAUAGAAGGACCUAUGCAUGUUGGAGGUACGAUUACACACAUUGCUUAUACCUUAGGACUCCUGAACCAGCUUUCUCACCUAGUUCAUUACUACAGUUUCACCCUUAUUGACAUAGACCAUAUACUAGACCACAACCUAGUACGAUGAUCCUACUUUAAGAUUAAUGAGUACAAAAUUCUCAUUAAUAAUGAAGUCGUUCACCACUUUACCUUACCAAACCUAGAGAGGACUAGCAUCUAUAAUAUGGAGAGUUGGAAAUAUGCUUUAGAGGACCAAGGAGAAACACCAGUUAAACAUGUCAACGCUCCAACUCUUGAGUAUCACCAUUUACCUUUCUCAUAUAGGCACACCGUGUUUUCCUCUACAUGUCCCACAUAUAGGCGUGCCAUUAACAAUGAGCUCAAUGUCAUGCGCUAAGAGAUUGUUUCCCUUCGCAAAGAAGUUGCCGACCUUACUUGGUAGAGGGAAGUGGCUAAUGCCACUCAUGCAAAAGAGACAGAUUUUCUCUUCCAGGAGCUACAUAGCCUUCGACGCCAGAUCACUGAUGCUCGUGUGUCCCGUCCACAUCAGAUCCUGAGGCGCUCCUUCACAUACAUCUUAAGCAUUAAGGAUAAUGCUUAGUUCAUGUGUGGGGGACGAUUUAUUUUCAUUGUUAUUUUUACCAUUAUUAGACUUAUUCUUUUCCCUUACGCACUUUACUCAUUUCCAUUAUGCACUUUUAAAUUAUUAUUUUUGGGAUUAUUUUUCAUUUUUAUGCAUUCUUUGAUAAUUUUCUUUGUUAUUUCUCAUUUUCACUAUCAUUAUAUUUUUAUUUUUUCUAACCAUUAUUAAUAUGUCCAAUUCAAGUUUCAUUGUCCAAAAUAUUUACUUAAUCAACACACUCUCAAACAAAAAGGCAAGACCCCAUCAAAAAGACCCAAAAACAUACCAAAAACACACCCACAACCCAACUACUGAACCGACACCCGUGGACAUUCCUCAGAAUGUCAAUGCUGGCGGUGAUACAGAUAAUCAGUAUGACCAUAUAGAGAGAGAGGCUCUCCUACACACCACUCACCUCACAUUCAUGUUUCACUUGCACACACCAUAUCAUAUUAUUUUGACCAUUUUGCAGGCACCUCCUCCGGAUAACAGUCCCGUGAGGAGUAUGAUUGUGUUGUUCUCUGAAUAUGAGGAGGAAGAUCCUAGGGGAAUGGUCCAAGAAACUAAAUCAGUUACUCACUUUGUUGUCACUAUUGGGGAAACAAGAACUAAAGACAAAUAUAAAGUCCUAAAAGAAAGACUGAAGGUGAUUGAAUGUUUCGGUAUCUUUGGAGUUGAUGCCAUGGGGAUGUGCUUGGUACCAGGCGUUGCUAUACCUCCAAAGUUCAAAACUCCUGAUUUCAAGAAAUACAAGGGUGUUAGUUUCCCUAGGAACCAUCUUAGGAUGUUCGUUAGAAAAAUGGCUGCUUACGCAGCAAAUGAGAAACUAAUGAUGCUUAGUUUCCAGGACAGUCUAAGUGGGGCAUCCCUAGACUGGUACAUGCAACUGGAAAGAACCCAUGUCAAAACAUGGGAAGACCUAGCUAAUGAUUUCUUAAGGCAAUACAAAUAUAACCUGGAUAUGGCUCCCAGUUACAUGUAACUUUAGAACCUGUCCCAAAAUGGCAGUGAAUCCUUCAAGGAGUAUGCCCAAAGGUGGAGAGAACUGGCUUCCUGCAUACAACCUCCACUCUUGGAGAAGGAGUUAGUCGACAUGUUUAUGGGCACCCUGAAAGACCUUUACUACAAAAAGAUGAUCGAUUUAGUAUCUACCAGAUUUACUGACUUGGUAAUAAUUGGGGAAAGAAUUGAGAAUGGCUUGAAAAAUGGUAAGAUUGGAAAACGAUCCUCGAAUCAAAAUAAUAACAAAUGGUACUCCAAUAAUAACAAUUCGAAGAAAGGUGAGACUAACGUGGUCGCAGUCGAAAGGAGUUCUCAGGCGCCUUACAAUUCUUACAUAGUUGCAGUAGUUCCUAUCAGUAUCCAUAAUAGGAUAGAACACCUUUUCAACAAAAUCAACAUAAUGGGUACGUUCAGAGGGAUCAACAAAUACCACGGAAGGAAUUUGACCCCAUACCUACAACAUAUACUCAGGUCUUGCCAUACUUAAUUCAAAAGGGAUUGGUAGAGAUUAAACCUCUAGCACCUCCGCCAAAUCCGCCUCCCCGUGGUUAUGAUGCUAACGACAGGUGUGACUUCCAUGAUGGGUCAUCAGGACAUACUAAGUGUUUGGCACUCAAGUUAAAGGUACAAGAAUUAUUGGAUCACAAGAUUAUCUCUUUCGCUCCAGAGGGUCCAAAUGUGAAGGGAAAUCCAAUGUCAGGACACAUUGGUCCAACUAUCAAUGUGGUAGAAGGACUAGACAAUACCAUUCUGACCCAAAAGAUAGACCAAGUGAAGACUCCCAUAUCAAAAAUACGUGAAAAAUUGAUCGGUUACAAGGCAUUCAAAGAGUUACAUGCUAACUGUAAAAUUUGCCUCUUCAAUCCAGACACAUGUGGAAAGAUGAAAGAGUGUCUUCAACAAAUGAUGAAUGAAGGUUUGGUUCAAAUUGGGUAUAUCAGGAAGUUAGAAGAUGUAUCAUUCAUAGAGUCUCAGGGGAACACACCUUUUGAGAUCCCUUACCAGCAAAUGAAAGCUCCCGCACUGUUUCAAAUAUUGUUUCUAGCAUCUUCCCAAACAUCGGUGCAAAUACCAGUUCUAAUUCCAUCUCAAGUUCCAUUUCAAAUACCAGUAAUGUCAAAAUACCCUAUUGUCUUCCAUGUUCCUGCACCGUUCCCAUUCGAAAGCACUAAGUAAGUACCUUGGAAUUAUAACUCUACAUCAUAUGUAGGAGACAAACCUAUAAUGCUAGAACCAGCGGUCACUAAUAUUGCUGGAAUUCGGGGAAUGAUCCGGAGCGUAAGAGUGUUUGCUCCUGAGCUACAAUCAAAAUAAAAGACACCUAAAAGUUCAGAAGAGAAGGAAAUUGAAUCUUCCAGGAAGACCAUACCUCAAGGAGAAGCCGAUGAAUUCUUAAGGUUGAUCAAAAAGAGAAACUACAAGGUGGUAGAGCAAUUAAGCCAGACACCAUCCAACAUAUCCAUACUAUCUCUAUUGUUAAGCUCUGAAGCCCAUAGAGAAUCCUUGUUGAAAAUAUUAAAUGAAGUCCAUGUUACUCAAGACAUAACAGUAAAUCAAUUCGAUGAUGUGGUGGCUAAUAUCACCGCUAGCAGUUGUUUGGGGUUUAACAAUGAUGAAUUACCACCAGAGAGACAUGCUCAUAAUAAAGCUUUACACAUAUCCGUAAAACGCCAAGAUAGUCUCCUAUAUAGGGUAUUGGUGGACACGAGAUCAUCUCUAAAUGUCAUGCCUAAAAAUACUUUGGGAAAGUUGAACAAUGUAAGAACUUCCACGAAAGCUAGUAUUUUGGUGGUUAAGGCUUUUAAUGGUUCGCAGAGGAUGGUAAUUGGAGAAGUUGAUUUACCAAUAAUUGUGGGACCUCAUACCUUUAUGGUCACUUUUCAAGUAAUGGACAUAAACCCAUUCUAUAGUUGUCUCAUAGGACGACCUUGGAUCCAUGCCACAUGAGCUGUAACUUCAACCUUACACCAGAGGUUGAAAUUCAUAAUCGAUGAUAAGCUAAUAAUCAUCGAAGGGGAGGAGGAUAUGUUCGUUAGCAACCUUUCAUCCUUCAGAUACAUAGAAGCGGAUGGAGAAACAUUGUAAAUACCUUUUAAAUCCUUGAAGAUUGCAGCAGUCAGUCGAAGAAAAGAAAAAUCAAUAUCCCCAUUGGAAAAGAUGUCAAAAUUUAUCAAGGGUAGAGAUACCCAGGGUUGGGGCAAGCUAUUAGAGAUACCAGAGAAAAAGGAUCGGAUUGGGAUGGGUUACAGACCAUCUAAUGAAGGAUUUCAAAAGACAUACCAGAAUAAGCUUUGUACACUUCAAGAAACCUUCCACGGUGCGGGAUAUAUGGAUGAAGAUCAAGUGGUUGCGGUUGAAGAAGAAGAAAAAGGGAUACCCAACUUGGUGUGUCACCGUUCACCAAAUAUACCUCUCAACAAUUGGAAGGCCAUCGAGAUCCUGGAGAUGAUUUCCAAUUCGAAGUAAUUUAAUUUUUUUAAUAAUAAGUCCUUUGCUAAGCCCAAGGAAAAUGGACAAGCUUUGUAGGGCCCCUUUCGUUUCAACUACUUACAUAUGAAUGGAGUUGCAUAUUUGUUUUCAAUCAAGAUCCUUUCUUUCAUUUUAAAUCUUCUUUUCAAAAAUGGAAAUACCCUUCCAUACUCUUUCAUUUCUAUCAAAUCAUCCAAAAAAUAAUAAUAUAUAAAAAUCUUCCUCAUGCAGAUUAAUGAAUGAACCUAUUGAAAAUGACACUGCUAUAAUCCCUUAUAACUUCGAAGUCCCAAUUAACCAAGCGGAAGAAGGUGAUGAGGACGGUUGUGAACAGCCAGAAGAGUUAGCAGGACUGCUGAAGCGAGAAGACAAAUAAAUUCAACCUCAUCAGGAACUAGUGGAUAUGAUCAAUCUAGGGACUAAAGAAAACAAGAAGGAGGUUAAUGUCGGUGCUUCCUUGAAAGAUGAAGUCAAGAAAAGGUGAUCGAGCUCUUACAUGAAUACUCAGAUGUGUUUGCUUGGUCAUACCAGGAUAUGCCAGGGUUAGACACAGACAUUGUCGUACACAAACUAUCGCUCAAACUUGAAUGUCCGUCAGUCAAGCAAAAAUUAAGAAGAACCAGGCCAUACAUGUCUCUCAAAAUCAAGGAAGAUGUCAAAAAAUAACUCGAUGUUGGGUUCUUAGUUGUUGCCAAAUAUCCAGAGUGGGUGGCUAACAUUGUUCUCGUUCCAAAGAAAGACGACAACGUCAAAAUGUGUGUAGAUUAUCGAGAUUUGAAUAGAGCCAGUCCUACAACUUUCCACUACCACACGUCGAUGUACUGGUAGAUAACAUCGCACAAUUCUCACUCUUCUCUUUCAUGGAUGGAUUCUAUGGUUAUAACCAGAUAAAAAUGGAUCUUUCAUACAUAGAUAAAACCAUGUUUAUCACUCCAUGGGGCACCUUUUGUUAUAAGGUAAUGCCUUUCGGAUUGAAAGUUUUGGGGGCAACAUAUCAAAGGGCCAAGGUAACUCUAUUACACGAUAUGAUCCAUAAAGAAAUAGAGGUAUAUGUUAACGAUAUGAUUGUUAAAUCAAAGACCAAAGAGGAUCACAUAGUCAACCAACAAAAACUAUUUGGUCGUCUAAGAAAGUUCAAGUUAUGUCUGAAUCCAGCGAAAUGUACUUUUGGAGUUAGAUUAGGAAAGUUAUUACGGUUCAUAGUCAUCCAGAGGGGAAUUAAAGUCGGUUCCGAUAAAGUGAAAGCUAUCAAAGAGAUGCCAGCUCCAUGGACAGAAAAAGAGGUCUGAGGAUUUAUGGGGGACUUAAUUACAUUGCUAGGUUCAUCUCACAUCUUACGGCUACGUGUGAAUCAGUCUUCAAGUUUCUCAAGAAAAAUUGAGCCAUUGAGUGGAAUGAAGGUUGUCAAAAGGCCUUUGACAAAAUCAAAGAAUAUCUACAAGAGCCACCUAUCUUGGUACCACCAGUCCCUAGGAGACCACUUAUAGUGUACCUAACAGUAUUUGACAACUCUGUGGGAUGUGUAUUGUGGCAACAAGAUGAGACCAGAAGAAAGGAACACGCCAUUUAUUACCUAAGCAAGAAGUUUACCGAUUGUGAAUCCCGAUAUUCACUCUUGGAGAAGACUUGUUGUGCCCUAGUUUGGGCUGCUCGGCGGCUCAGACAAUAUAUGGUGUGUCAUAUCACUCUAUUGAUAUCCCGAAUGGAUCCUAUCAAGUAUAUCUUCGAGAAGCCUGCAGUAACUGGGAGGAUAGCCCGAUGCAAAAUGUUACUAAUAGAAUACGACAUCCAGUAUGUCACAUAAAAAGCCAUAAAAGGGAGUGUGCUAGCGGAUUAUCUCACUCAUCAGCCAACAAAAGAUUAUCACCCUAUACAGUUUGACUUUCUUGACAAAUAUAUUAUGGGAAUAAGGGAUUUCGAGACCCCAGGUCCCGACGAAGGACCUGAACCGGGAUCAUGAUAGAAAUUGGUAUUCGAUGGAGCCUCAAACGCAAUCGGACAUGGAAUUGGAGCCGUCAUAACCUCCCCUACGGGGUACCAUAUUCCAUUCACGGCUAGGUUAUGCCUUACUUAUACAAAUAACAUGGAAGAAUAUGAGGUGUGUAUCCUAGGGAUUGACGAAUCCAUCAACUUAAGAAUCAAGAUCCUAGAGUAUAUGGAGAUUCAACUCUUGUCAUCAAUCAAAUCAAGGGAGAGUGGGGGACCCAUAAUGCUAAGCUUAUCCGGUACCGAGACCACAUCCGGAAGUUGAUCACUUACUUUGAUGAGGUUACCUUCCAAUAUAUUCCUCGGGAGGAGAAUCAACUAGCGGACGCCUUGGCCACUCUAUCAUCCAUCUUCAAGGUCAAGUGGUACAACAAAGCACCAACUAUAAGAAUUCACCGUUUGGAUGAGCAUGCCUAUUGCGUAGCCGUAGAGGUAGAAGUGGAUAAUAAACCUUGGUUUCAUGACGUCAAACAAUUUCUUCAGAAACAGGAAUAUCAUGAAAAUGCCUCGAGUGGGGAUAAGAAGACACUCAGAAGAUCGACUUCCAAUUAUUCCUUAAUGAGGAGGUGCUUUAUAAGAGGAAUCAUGACAUGGUCUUGCUCAGAUGCUUGGAUGGGUAUGAGAAAUACACGCUUAUCAAAGAAGUUCACGAAGGAUCCUAUGGCACCCAUGCCAAUGGGAAUUCCAUGGCUAAGAAAAUUCUCCGGACGGGAUAUUACUGGUUGACUAUGGAGACCGACUGUUUCAAAUACGUCAAGAAGUGUCACAAGUGCCAAAUCUAUGCAGAUAAGGUAAGUGUACCACCUACUCCCUUAAAUGUCAUGACUUCUCCAUGGUCGUUCUCCAUGUGGGGUAUAAACAUAAUCGGGAUGAUUGAGCCCAAAGCAGCAAAUGGACACUGAUUCAUUCUGGUUGCUAUCGAUUACUUCACCAAGUGGGUAGAAGCUACUUCUUACACCAAUGUGACAAGACAACUGAUCACACGAUUCAUCAAGAAAUAGAUCAUUUGUCGACACGGGGUUCCUAACAAGAUUAUCAUGGAUAAUGGGUUGAAUCUAAAUAAUAAAAUGAUGGAUGAGUUAUGCGAGAGUUUUAAAAUUGAACACCAUAACUUAUCACCCUAUCGACCAAAGAUGAAUGACGCAGUAGAAAUGGCUAAUAAGAAUAUCAAAAAGAUUAUCCAGAAGCUGGUGAAAACCUAUAAAGACUGGCAUGAGAUGCUCCCUUUUGCACUACACGGAUACAGAACUUCCAUUCGCACCUCAACAUGAGAAACUCCUAUGGUAUAUGGUACUGAAGUCGUACUCCUUAUCGAAGUUGAAAUCCCGUCUUUAAGAGUCAUGAUGGAGACCAAGUUAGAUGAGGCAGAACGGGUACAAACCAGGUUCGAUCAAUUAAACCUCAUAGAAGAGAAGUGCAUGGUUGCGCUGUGUCACAAGCAACUAUAUCAGUGAAGGCUCAAGAAAGCAUUCGAUAAGAAAGUUCGUCCUCGGCACUUCGAAGAAGGUGAUCUAGUGCUCAGGAAAAUCCUACCCAUCCAUAAAGAUUCCCAUGGAAAAUGGACCCCGAAAUACGAGGGAUCAUAUGCCGUGAAGAAGGCCUUCUCUGGCGGAGCUCUGAUUCUCACAACCAUGGAUGGAGCUGAGUUACCACGGCCUAUAAACACAGAUGCAGUCAAGAAAUACUAUGCAUAGAAAAAGAGGAUAAAAAACCCGCUAAGUCGAAAAUCCUAAAAGGCGACUUAGGCAAAAAUUAGGGCAUCCAGGUGGAUUGAAAACUUGAAAAAGAAAUCCAAGCAAAAAUUAGGGACUAGUAUAAAAAAAUAUAAAAUCCGAUAAGUCGAAGACCCAAAAGGGCGGCUUAGGAAAAAUAGGGUAUAUCAUCCUAGUGGACUAAGACUCAAAAAUAGAGGUACAUGAAAAAAUUAGGGAUAUCCAAAAUGCAUGUGACCGCAUCAUUUAUUUCAUCCUACAACAAGAAUUCAGAUGGGAGUAAUCAAUUCAAUCAUCACCGUCGGAAGCAAAGUGUUGUGACCUCGAGGACACAAGGAUAAUAACAUGUGUUGGGUUCAAUAUGGACAUGAAUAAAUAUGUCUUUCAUUUUACAUUUUACAUCUUCUUAGACUUUCGGUAAUCUCUCCUUACGGGAAUUACUUCCUUAUUUAAUAUUUCCCAUUUACGGGCCAAAUCUCAAUUAAUAAAAUUUGUUUUUCGAAUCUCUUUCUUCACUUCUCAAUUUUUCCGCUUGAUAAAAAAAUUUCAAUUAUUUGUGAAUAAUGCAUUGAAACGUGGAGCAUAAUAAAAAUAUUUCAAGAUAAAACAAAUCUUACUUCAACUACGAAAAUGUUAAAGGGAUCAUAUUCUUCCAACAUUGCCUCUCAAGCAAAAUGCAGGGUCCAUAAAUCAACACUCACGAUCUAACUAGUAUAAAAGUUUCUUCCUUUUCAAAAAAAGGCAUAUUGCAUAUUCUCGGAUUUCAAGAACAUCAAGACAAGUUCCAUAUCAAAAUCUCAAGGGGUCAGGGAGUCAAAAUGUCACGAAAACACCGGUUCCCACAAAGUCAUGCAUCACAUACACAUAUCAUAAAAGAGGCGUUAGCCCAAACACCGCAUCAUGCAUAAGACAUGCAUUAAUUCAAAACAUGCAUGUCCAUAAGCAUGCAUGCAUAAUACAUGGCAUAUGAUUUAUGACCACUCUUAAAGGUUCAAUCCCCAGCUAUACCAAUACAUUUCCCCGAGUGGGAACACUUAUUGGCCUUCCCCAGUAAGUAGCGAUCCCAUAAACACCUUUUUAGUAAAGAACUUCCCCAGCAAGCUCAUUCACGGUGAGUUUUUCAGAGUCUAUCCAAUUGGCGAUCAUCCCAAAAUGGUCGUUGUUAACUAGUGAACAUGGUUUCACCUCUCACAUCCCUAGCUUAUCAACCUAUCUCACAUACGUGAUACGUUCCAUCAAGAACACCAGGGAUUAUAUCAAGGGAUUUUAUCAAGGGUUUGCAUCAAGAGAAUUUAUCAUAAGGGUUCAUCAAGGGUAUCAUGGGGUUCUAUAAAUCUUUUUUUUAGCGAGGGGUUUCACCAGGGGUUUUGUCAAAGGAAUUUCACCGGGAUUACAUCAAGAUUUUCUUCACCAACAUAAGGGAUUAUAUCAAAGGAUUGCACCAAUGGGUUUCAUCAAAUAAUUCUAUCAAGGGCAUUCUACCGUAAGUCGAUCAAGGGGUUCUAUAGGAAUUUUAUCAAGGGAUUCAUCCAGAUCAAGGGGGUUUCAACAUAAUUUUAUAGAGGGUUUACCACAGGAUUUCAUCAGGGUUUUUGUCAUAAGGGCUUCUAUCAUGAGAAGGUUGAGAAGCCAACAAAGUGUCAUGGAUUGUCCAAUCUUCGAUCAUCCCCAAGAUCUACUAACUUCGCGGUCAAAAUUAGGGCUUACUCUUUAUAUUUAACCAUCCCCCUUGGAGAAGAUGAAGGCUCAUCGUCAUCAUCAUCUCAGUCUAGAGCCGAUUAAAUAGGGUCAUCUGUCGUAACCCAAAUUUUGACCACCUAAUCUUUCUAGUUUCACCGGGUCAACCCCAAUAAUCAAAAGUCAAAGGGGGACCUUUGUGACUUUUUAUGAGAAUAUUUAGUUUUAUAUUUGUCCGUUUAGGAUUAAAUCAGGUUUUAAGGAUAACAUUAGGGCUAAGAUUGAACUCGAUUAUUGAUAAGUUUUUAAAUAUUAAUUGAAUUUAUUUUGAUAUUAGAAAAUUCUUUUAGAAUAUUAAGUUGUUUUAGAUGGGCUUGGGUUGAUGUUGAUAUUUUAAUUGGAUCUUUUUAAAAUUAAUAAGUUUUGAUCAAUUUAAGUUAUUCAAAUUUAAUAGCUAUAUUGUUUAAGUUAUUAGUUAUUAACAUUAUUAUUUAUUAACAUUAUUAUUUAUUAACAUUAUUAUUAUUAUCAACAUUAUUAUUUAUUAGUUAUUAAAAUUAUUUCUCAUUAUUAUAAUAUUAACAUUAUUAUUGUUAUUAUCAACAUUAUUAUUUAUUAGUUGUUAUAAUUAUUUCUCAUUAUUUAACAUUAUUAAUUAAUGAAUAUUAGAAUUAAUAUUUAAUUAGGUUUUAUUCUUUUUAUUUUUUUAUUAUCUUGGGGUAUUAUUAUUGGGCUUUAUUUACGUAUGUUAUUUGAACUAGCCCAAAUCGGGCCCUUUCCAUGUGGGUCAAGUAUGACCCAAUCUAACUGGGUCAGGCGUGGCCCAAAUCCAUCCCCCAACUGGGUCAGGAUAAUGACCUGAAUCCGAGUUCAUCAUCUUCAACCUCUAAACCCUAAGGCGCGCAGAAUUGAAAAUAGAAAUAACUAAAAAAACUGCAAUUUUCAAUUCCAUCCAAACGUUCAACUUACAUUGAAAUCACGAAUCAAAUAUGGACCAAAUACACCACAUUGCAGUUACAAUUCAAACCUAAUUUCUAUUUCUAAACAAAAUCAAAAUUACAAUCAAAUCUAAUUCAAUCAUAUCCCAAUCAAAUCUAAACUUCCUAAAUCAGAUAAUCUAAUUAACUUCUAAACCUAAAAAAUUAAUCUAUAUAAACCUAGUUCUAAAACACGAAAAGAAAAAAAACAACUCUAAGAAAGGAAUCUUCAUUGCUGCAAACCAAACCCGCACAUAAAGCUUGAAUUAAUUUGAGAUUUAGGGUUUCACAUUGAAACCCUAAUUCUUCUAAGCUAGACCCCAACUUUUGUACCUCACAUCAAAAGACAGAAAUAAGAGGUUAAAGGGAGAAGAAGAGACAGUCAGAUCGGAAAAGAAAAGCAAGGAGUCAAAAUUUACCUCUUAACCAGAAUAAUUCUCCAUUCAGAAGGUUGGUUGUGAGCUCUUGAGUACUUUGUUUACUUGUUUCGUAUACAUAUCAAUGUUUUUACAGGAAUAUGUUUGCAUUGAAUUGUGAAAUAUGGGGGUUGUUAUUGUUCGAUUUAUCUUCAAAAAGGGUAAAUCGGUGGUUCAAGGUUUGAUCUAGGGAAAAUUAGGGAUUUCUGGGCAGCAACUAGGGUUAGGGUUCUUCGUAGGUUAGGGUUCUUAAGGUUCAUGAUAAACCUAAGUUAUGGUUCCCAGGGAUGGAGGUUAGCGUUCUUUAGUUUGGGGUUUCUGGAUUGAAGAUUUAAUUAGGGUUCAUCAUAUGAACCCUAGGGUUCAUUCGGGGAACCCGUGUAUAAAGGUAAGUGUAGUUUUUUUGGGAAAGGGUUUGAAGGUUUGAAGGUUCCGGUUGAAGAUCAACCAGAAACCUGGGUUUGAGAGUGGUUCUGGGAGGUCGGAGAAGUGUUCGGGGUGGUCGGAGAAGUUAGAGAGAUCCCAGAGUGAAGAGAGAGAAAGGAAAGGAGAAAAUACGAGUUUAUAAAGGGAGUUCAUUCAUAUACCUCCAUCAUAAUCUCUCGGAUUCGUGCCAAGUGGCGCUCCAACGAGAUCUAGAUCGGUUGACCACCCCGGUCUACCAAGGAUCAUGUAUAUGCAUAUACAUUGUGUUCCCCUAUUUACCUUAAAUAUGGACUUCUUAACCUGCGUACUUUGACCAGUCAACAUGAUCAAAGGCAGGUGUUACGCAUCACCAUCCCCCCUCAGGUCAUGAUCAGAUGGUGCAGAGAGAGUCAACAUUUGACUCUCCCUCAUCAUAGGCUCUGUCUCAUGAAUGGGCCUUAGAGUCUUGGUGGACUCUUCCCCUUAUUUUUCACACCCCUUCCUAAUAUCCCAUUACUAACCCAAUGUAAAAUACACCCUCCUCAUUUUAUUAAUUUUAGUUAAUUAUUUACUUAAUUAAUUAUUAAUUAGGAUCUAUCUAUUUAAUAUUUAAGAUUAAUUCAAAUAAAAAUUAGUUUUUUUUGUUAUUUAUUCAUGAUAUUUAUUUAUUUAAUUUUAAUUAAUUAUAAUAGUAAUAUUUUAAUUAAUUAUGGUUAUAUCAUUAUUAGGGUUAAUUAAAUCAGGAAUUAUGGGAUAUGAUCGAGGAUAAUUAUUAGGGUUUUAAGGGACCUAAAAAUGGGACAAAUGGGGAUAUGUCUUAUGACAUCUAAUUUAAUUACCUUUAAUCGGAUAUAUUUUGUAAUAUAUUAUUAUAUCAUAUUUAUAUUUUUCUAUUAAUUAAAUUAAAUAAUAUUUUCAACUCUAACGGGAUAAAGACAUGGGAUACAAUUUGAGAUAAAACUAAGGGGUUAUUAAAGGCUAAAUCGGGACUAAAAUUGGGAUAAAUGGGUAAUGUCUAACACAUAAUUAUGAUUCCUAAUCUAUUUUCUUAAAUAAAUUAAAACAAUAUUUUUGCAAGAGAUAAAGGGAUAAAAUCAAUUCAAAUUCACUUCAAACCGUAAGACUUCUACCCUAGUGUAUUGAGACAUUUUCUAAAAUCACUUCUCCGCCCCCAAUGCGUGAGAACUUUCAAGGGAUAAAAAUAACCAACCAACCAAUCUUUUUCAAAAAGAACUACGAUACUCGGAUCCUUCGUCUAAUGCGGAGGUACGUAGGCAUAAGUUGUAAACUCUAGCGAGUAUAAUUAUGAAAAACCUUUUUGGGUCUCUCGUCCAUUUAAAUAUAAUACCUUGUGUAAAUAAAUAAAUAAUCAAAUAAUCAAUCAGUAAUCAAGCAAAUACAUUAGGAACACACAUUAGCCCUAGAAUUGUAGGAGGAUCCCAUUGAAUACAAUGGAGGUAAGGGGUGCCUAACACCUUCCCCUUACUUAACCGACUCCCGAACCUAGUCUCUCCCCUUAACUAUUAGGUUUUAUCAUUAUUUCUCUGUUCCUUAUGAACGAAUAAAGGAUGGUGGCGACUAUUAGGCUUUGGUGAAGUAACAUGAAUGAAUGCCUAGAAGGUUAUGCUUGAUGAGUGUUGUUGUUUGUUGUUGUUUAUUGAUGUUGUAACAUCGAUUAAUUGUUGUAUAUGAUGAAUAAUUUUGUGCAUAAAUGGUGAGAUGUCUAUAUGGUGAUUCUUUUGGUGAACCUUUUUGUGAUAAUGCAUGUUGUUGAGAGUCAUGUAUCGCGGUGUAAGAGCUUUGGUCCAGUUUUGGCAUGAUAUGUUCCGGUGGUAUGGAUCGGGAGUGAGUAGCCGAUUCGAUGUGGAAAUUGGUGAAGUGUUACCUAUGGUGAUGGUAACAAACUUUGGUGUGCUCUGGUCCUAUGGUGGAGAUCGGUAGCGAGUAGCUAAUUUCAGGCAGGAAUCAGUGAAGUGUUACCUAUGGUGAUGGUAACGAUUUGGUGUGCUCUUGUCCUAUGGUGGGGAUUAGGAGCGAGAUGAACCUGAGUGUUUCUGAAUGGUACCACAUGCAUAAUGAGUCAGUUGUGGAGUAUAUUUGUAUAUAUGAUUGUAUAUGUUGUUAAUUAUUCAUGAUGUUUAUGAUUAGAAUUAAUUAUGUAAUUAUUGUCAUGAAUUUUAUGUGAGAAUAUGUUGUUGAUGGUUGUGUAAUAAAUGUGUGCUUCAUGUGUACUCUCUACCUUAGCAUUCUUUACACUAUUUAUAUUGGUUUGUUGUUUCUCACCCCCUUUUGCUUUGAUAUUGUCCUCCAUAGACAUUUUGUAGAUACUCAGGAGUAGAGUUUGUUACUGUAAGUGGAAAUUAGUUCUUGGAGUUAUUCAUUUAGUUUCAUUGUUGUUUUAGAAGUCUUACUCUGAUCCUAUAACAUCGGGGUUGAGAAUGUUUGUUUGCUUAUUAUGUUUGUUGGAGUUUAUUUGUUUAUUCAGUUUAUCUUGGAGUUAUUCAAAGAGUUGAAUAUGAUAACUUUUUACUUUGAUUUGAAGAUUAAGACUAAAAGUCUAACUUGCAAUGUUUUGUUAUUUGAAAUAAAUCGAUACCGCCACAAUGACGUCCUAAGUGAAGGUGAGCGUGUGAUGACAGGUGUUGUAUGACGUUAAUAUUUUCCGCUAUGUGUUUUUUAAAUGUUGGAUUUCUUAAAGGUUUUGUUGGUGGUGACACCUUAGAUUGGUAUGUAAAGCUUAAUAUAUAAGUUUUCGGAUUUAGGGUGUUACAAUCAACAACAUUAAUGAGAAUCUUAGCAUCGUCAUAAAUCAAGACUUUGAUUUGUUGUUCAUGUUGCUUAACCAUAGAAAAAAUAUUGUUGAUGUUAGAUAAAUGAUUCAUCAACCAAACCUGAGAGCGAACUAUAUCAAACGAGUCAUUCAAGCCAGUAAGAAAUCGAAUUGAGUGUGUAACUUCAUGUUGUUACUUAAAAUUACUCAAGCUUGUGUUGCAUGCAUAAUGAUGCAGACACAAGAAUAUAAGAGUAGGAAAGUAAGCUUCAAGUUCUUUCCAAAGAACCUUCAAAGCUGUAAAAUAAUCAUAAACCAAUAGUGAAUCAUGCUUCAAAGCAAAGAUUUCACAUUGUAAUUCAGAGAUACGAAUGUAAUCACCUGGUGAAAAAUCCUUGAGUUUAUUCCAUACAUCAAUGGAGUUUUCAAGAAAGAUGAUACUUUGUGCCAUGGAUUCUUCAACUGAGUUCAUAAUCCACGUGUGUACUAACAUGUUGCAGCGAUUCCAAGAUUUAAAACAUGGACUAAAUUCCUCUGGAACUAGAAUGGAACCAUCAACAAAAUCAAAUUUGUUCUUUCCUCCUAGAGCUCGUCGCAUGGAUCUCGCCAAUGCAUGAAAAUUCGAAUGUGUUAACACUAGUUUAACAUAAACAUAAGAAGGUUCACAUGAAGAAUGAACAUGGUACACGUUUCCAGUUUGUUGUGGAAGAUCUUGAAUCAGAGCACCAGCGACGAUGUUGCCGCCUAUAUUGGCACCACCACAAAACAUUGGAAGAAAAUGAUGCGUAGCAGAGCUCAAAAGAGCCCUGAUAUCAUGUUAAGAAAUACGGUUAGGCCCAACUCACCCAUAAAAAACCGAAUUUUAUGGUGGGAAUUGCCCCUACUUAUAAGGACAUGUUCAUGCCAUAUAUUAUUCGAUUUGGUACUCUUAACACACCAACUCACGCCUAAGACUGAACAUUUCGAGCGUGGAAAUAAAUGGUGGAUGAACCGAUAGCAGAAUCCUAAUAGUAGGUGGCCACCAGAUCUUAAACCAAACUCUUAUACCAUCAUGAAAUUUUCACAAAUCAUGAUAAAUAUGAAUGAAAACAGAGAAAAGAGAUAGAUGGAAGCAAAUUUUCAUUCAUUCACUAAAUCAAGGUAAUUACAAGCCGUGGUUAUUUAGAAGUUUAUAAUCGGAUAACCUCUAACUAAGUCUAACCUCUAGCAAAUUAUAUAAGGAAUAAGUUUCUCAAUGUUGUCAUAUAAGAAAAUAAUGAAUUAAUUGAUAUUUACUCUGGUUGACAACAUUGAGAAAUUAUUCCCGAAUAUAACAAUGGAUUGUAAGAGAUGGAUUCAACAACAACAUCAUUUUAUGAGAUAAAUUAUAGAAUAGAAAAAUAUUUUGUUCAAGAUUGAUAAAAUUAAUCUCUUUAAUAAAUGAAUGUAACAACAACGACAACAACAAUAAGCUUAUUGCUAUUGGUGGUGCAACUUCACAACUUCACCACUAGCAUCUUUUGUUUUAGUUUAUGGCAAUUGGUGGUUCAACUUCACAACAUCUUAAAAUAUCCCCUCUUAUUUUAAUAAAACAAGUAUGUAUAAUAAUUAGAAUACGAGGGAGUAGUUUUUUAUGUUUUAGAAAGUUGAAGAGAUUUUAGUUGACGUGUGUGGCUUUGGGAAAUAGCAGCAUUUAACUAUCCUACAAGCAACAUAAUUGCGUGCAUAAUGCAAUUAAUACAUGAAAUAUGAAGAGGCACAUUCAAAAACUGAAGCAGCCAAACAGUUGCUAAGGUCUGAUUAAUAUUGUUCCAUUUUUUAAUUUUAAUAUAUAAAGAAUGGGAAAUGAGUGGGAGUUUUAAAGUUUGCUGCUAUGGCUUUUCAACAACCAGGAGCAGAGUCUAAAACGAUUCCACUGAAAAUAUUGGUGGACAAACAAAGAAACAAAGUUGUUUUUGUGGAAACAACUAAAGACUUUGUUGACACCCUUUUCAGCUUCCUUUCUCUUCCUCUUGCUACCAUUGUUCGUCUUUUAGAAACAAAUAACAAAGGCAAACAACAAUCAGAGUCUUCACCAUUCCUUGACAACAUAAAAAAUCUCUACCAAUCUGUCCAAAACCUCGACUCAGACGAUGUUUGGAACAACCCUGUCUGCAAACAAAUAUUGUUGCGUCCCAGAAAUCCAUGUGAAUCUCUUUGCAUGAAAUUGUUUAUGGAUAUCGAAGAAACUGAAUUAUCAACUAAGUUUUUUGUUUGCGAUUUUUGUUACAAGUUCACUACUUAUCCAAAUAUUCAUUGUACAUGUGGAAAAUCCCCUACUAAAAAGCCUCGCAAUUUGGAUAUUCAGACUCGGGAGAGUGCUCAAGAUGGUGUAUUUGUCAGAGAUAAAGGAUCAAUGUUUCUGAUUUCAGAUGAUUUGAAGAUUGUGUCGAGUUCUAUGUUGAGUUCAUUAGAUAUGAUGAUCAAAUUGGGCUGUUCAGACUUUACUCAAUUAGAGGAAAUCACACACAACAUUGGCAAGCAUGAGGUAAUACAUGUUUUUACUUUCUUUCACGCCUAUGGUUUUAAAUUGCGUUUUGCAACCACCAUUGCAUUUGUUCGAAAUUGUUUAUACAGACACAAGUUGUAUCUGCAAAUCAAACAUUUUAUGUAUUAUGGUUACAAUGCUGUUUUAGAGACCUUUAAAAUUUUAAUCUAUGCUUCACCCUUUAGGAACCAGGCAACCAUUCUUAGGGAUUUAUUUUAUACAAGCAAAAGACUAAAAAAGGGUACAUCAAUAAAGACAUACUCAAGAUUUUAAUUAACAGAUGUGGUUACGUAAAAGUUUUCACGAUUUUGAUGGGUACAAGUGUUACAAUGUUGGUUGCAGUCAGGGUAUAAAUUAAUGAAAAAACUAUUUUUCAUCGUAAAAAUAGUGAAUAACGGUAUGAAUAUCGUUAUCAGCCCCUUGUGAAAUUCUUUAAAACUGAAGCGUCAAUUAAAUCAUGUUACAUCACUUAAUAUUUGAUGCAGCUUUUCAAAAUCUUGUGUCUAUUAACUCAUUCAUCUUAUGUUAGUUUCUACCUCCUAGCUUAGUCAUUUCAAUAUUGCAUACGCUUUAUUUUGUUAUAUACUCUAAUCAAACUCAUGCAUAGCACAAGUUUUUUAUACUAGAUUCUUACCAUUUCCGUUUUAACAUUUUUUAUAGGUGUUAAACCUUCUCAUGUAUACAUUAACCUCUCACGAGCCUCUCACAAAUACAAUCUUGGCAAGUAGCUCUAAAAACAAAGACUACAGCCAACCUAACCUAUUUGCGUCCGCAGUUAGAAUAACUCCUUUUGCCAGUGACAACACCCGGAAAAUAGAUGUUAAAGUAAUGCAAAGUAAAUCUCAAAAAAAUAUAAUCUAUGCCGAAACCAAUGGAGAUUUUGUUGACUUCAUUUUUAGCUUUCUUACCAUGCCAUUAGGGUCCAUUGUAAAACGUUUGGGAGUUAAAUCUUUUUCUGGAUGUGUUGGUAAUUUGUACGAGAGUAUGAUGAGAUUUGAUCCCACAUCAGUGUUACUUGAUCCUGGCAUAGUACAACAAUUUAGUUGUCCCAACUAUCCUCUCAAAAUUCCCCAUGUAUUUCCACUUCCCACUACAUAUUAUUAUGGUAUGUACGAGAAGGGAAAAGACCAUGAAUAUAGGGGAUUGAUUUCUAAGUCACGGGAAUCUAUUAAUCGCCCAACAUCGUUGAUUUCACUUGACAUUUUAAAAGACGGUGUUGUGGGAUUUGUGAAGAAAGAUGCAUUGUAUGGUGUUGGAGACGAUCUAAAAGUAAAACCAGUUUCUGCUAAUUUUUGCUUUUCGUAUCUGAAAGAAUUGAAUCUUUCUCUUGAUGAUCUUGAAGUGAAGGUGAUAAGCAUCGGUGAAGUCGAGGUAAUGUGGCUAUUAAAUUAUUGAUAAUUUGUUCUUUCUCUUUUCUUUUGUUAUUUUAACAAUUUGAUAUUCCCUUGACUUGUUAAUUGUGGUGCAGGCUUUGAGCCUCCUUGGAGCUUGUGUGACAUCAAACUUUACCUUGACUAGUGGACUCAAACACUUCUUGAAUGUCCCAAAACAAGAAUCAACUUUGACAUGAGCAACCUAGUAGGUUAAUUUGAUUAUUUUUCAAAUGAGGCUGAGUUAUCAAUUGGUUGUAGUUUCAGUUUUUUUUAACCAUAACUAGAAGAUCUUGGACCUCGUUUUCUAAUUUUAGUAAUUUGUUGGUUUUUUAUGAUUUUAAUAAUUAAUUCGAUUGUAGUUUCUUCUAUUGGUUUUGAUAUACCAGUUCUAUUACUUUAUAGUUUGUUAUCCUAAUCCUAUCUUGUUCAAUGUUAUAAACUGCAAACUGUUUUUUCUGUAACCAGUUAGGUCUUAUGGAAGCCAAAAAACCUUAUUAAUACAGUUUGUUAAAAAAAUGGUCCAUUGUUUGUGGUUUCUCAUAUUCUUAAAGCCAUCCAUAUGAUUCAACCUGUGUUGUUUUUGUUUGUUUCUUUAUCUAUCUCACAAUUUUCUAAUGAGUCUUUUUUACAAUGUUGUUCUUCUUACUAUUUCUAUUUUAACAUUUUGUAUAGAUAUUGAACCUUCUCAAGUAUACAUUAAACCUCAUGAGCCUCUCACAAAUACAAUUUUCUCUCUUUCAUUUAUUAUAUUUAUUAUUUAUUAUCUAUUAUAAUAUAUUAAAAGUGUGUCUCAAACUAUUCUAUUAACAACUCAUUCUUUUAUUGGACACAUCUUAAAAAAUCUGAUGUGACACUCUUCGAAAUAUAAUAUUUCAAAAAAUUUAUUAUUCAUUUGAGGAAUAUGUGUAACAUUUCAUUUAUAAUUUUUUUUAAUUUAAAACACUUAUAUUUUCAUAUUUCAUUAGUCAUCUCUUCAUAUUCCUCUAAUUAAAAAAGUUAUGGUUACUCCAUUCCUUAUAUAAAAUUACAUACUUAUGCAAUUUGUACAUCCACAAUACAUCGGAACAAAUAUUAUUAUAGAAUACAUGCAAGUACAAAUUAUAUAUUCAUCAUAUAUCAAAACUCGAACUAUUAAAUUUUCAUUCUAUUUUCUAUUACUCAAACUUAUUCCGUAUAAAAAAACUAAAUUAUUUUAAAUACCUCGAUAUAAAAUUAUGAGACAUAAUUUAUUUUCUAAUAAAAUUAAAUUAGUCAAUUUUCAAAUAUCUUGAUAAAAAAAUUAUGAUAACUAAUUUAAUUUCUAUAAAAAUUAAAAUAACUUUUAGUUUCUUGAUAAAAGUGAUAACAUUAUCACUUCUUAAACCCAAAAAAAAGAGAUACUAGUAACAAUUAUUUAGCAACAAUUAUAACACUAUUAUUAUUAUUAUUUUAAAAAAUUAAAUCUAAUUACAAUUCUAAAAAUAUUAUCAAAUAAUUCUUUCAUAUUUAACUUAUAAUUUUCAAAUAGACAAACAAAUGCUUCAAAUUAUUUUCUAAAAUAUUAUUUUGAAUCAUAAUUGCAGAUAUAUAUAUAUAACAAAAUUAAACCAUUACAAAUUUAACUCAAAAUAGUGAGUUUUGUUUAUGAUUUUAAUGUUGAUCUUAUGAAUGAUAGAGUAAUUUGAAUGUGAAACGUCUUUUAUCUAUCAAAUAAUGAAGAAUAAAUAUUCUUAUAGAUGUUAAAGAAAAAAUAAAUAUACAAAUAAAAUUAUUGAAAUUUACACUUAUUUCAUAUUUUAAAAUUAAAUUGUGAUGUCUUAUUUGCAUUUCUAUGAUUCAAAUAUUAUUUUUUCACUUAAACUUUUACUCUCUUUUUAUCAUCUUCAUCAUUUCGUCUCAAUUACAAAGUUUUUUAUAAUAAAAAAUAUCUAUGUUUUAUAAUAUUACUUAAAAAUUCAUCUUAUCAUCACGCAUCGCGCGAGUCUCAAUCUAGUUUUCUUAAUUCGUGUGAAAAUGUAACUAUGCCACUUAUUUUGGGAUGGCGAGAAUAGUUUGUUAAAGUUCUAUUCUGUUCUUGUUGAAAUGCUACUACCGUUCUAAAAUAAGUGUCGUAUUUAUAAAUUAUUUGUCUCAAAAUACUUAUCAGUUUAGAUUAGCAAUGAAAUUUUUAUUUUUAUCUUCCAAUUAUACUCUUUAAGUAAUACUCUUAAUUUAUUGUUUUCUCAUUUUGUAUUAAUUCUAAUUUAUAUACACCAAUUAUUGAUAAGAAUAAUUUGAUAAAAUAAUUAUUCUCUCUCUUUUAUUCUUUACAUUUUCUUAAUUUGUUUGAAAGUGUAUGACACUUAUUUUUGGACGGAGAAUGUGAAGUUGAACAUGUAAUGUCUCAUGAUCAAGUUGUCGAUAUUUUUACCAAGCCAUCAAAGUUCGAAACUUUUGCGAAGCUAAGGAGCACUACAACAAAUAAUACAUUUUACGAUGAAGCUUUCACUUCGGACAUUUAAAAAUCGGGGGGAUUUAUCUUAGGAGUGUCAUGUUCUAUUUAAAAAAAUGUGCAAUCUAUUCCCUCGAAUAUAGCUCUAAGGGAAAUCAUUUCGAAUCUCAGUUACUGUAUUUUAUAUUUUUUUUCAAUGAUUUAAUCUUUUUUUUAAUUGACACCUUUUCAGCUUCCCUUUUUUUCAUUGUUAAUCUUUUUUGUCUUCCGUUUUUAUUAGUAUUAACCUCAAUUACAUGUCCAAAUGAGAGGUAAUAUAUUUUGCAUUAAUAUUUUCAAAUCAAUUUUUUCAAAAGUCUUUUUUAAUUUUUUAUUUUAUAUAAUCAAAUCCCUCAUAUUUUUUAAUAAAACCAAUGUGAUAUAUAGUUUAAAUAUAUUCCUAAAAUAUAGUGUUAUGGUUCUUUUAUAUAUUUUUUAUUUUUAAAUAAAACAAACACGUCGAUUUUUUUUAAAAACCGACGUGAUUUCUCUUUUGCAUGAAAUACUUCAAAGAACUAAGCUUAACUUUUCAUUACCUAUCAAUGCUCUAACUUCAUAUCAUCAUUCUCUUUGCAAAAAUCUAGACGACUUUCAUCAUAACUCUCAUCAAAACUUUUCCAACAAUAGGUUUAUAUCAAAAGGCAUUCAUCAACACUCGAACAUCAAAAUUUAUCACGUUUGAGGUACGUGUGUUCUUGUUUAUCAAGUUUGUUCUUCUUCCAACAAUAGGUUUAUAUCACUGAAGUGGCUUAUAUCAUUGAAAUGGUUUGUCUUGAUCAUUUGUUUUUCCAUUUUGAUCGCUGGAAUGAUUUAUAUCAAUGAAAUGACUUUAGUAUCACUGGAAUAACUUAUAUAACUGAAAUGGUUUCUCUUGAUCAUUUAUUUUUCCAUUUUGAUCAUUGAAAUGUUGUUAGUUAGUAUGUUUCUGUGAGUAGUUCUUCUUCUAUGAGUUGUUUUUCACUUGCACUUAUUUAACUAAAAUGACGUUAGUAUCACUGAAAGUGCUUUAGGAUCACUUGCAUUUGCUUCUACGUGUUAUUUUUCACUGAAAUGAUGUUAGUAUGUUUCUUUAUUUAGAUAGUCAUAGCCGUUUCGACAAGCAUCUCCCAUACAACAUCUGCUGCAACCUCUAUUGAUACAAAACAUUAAAGAAAAACUAGAUGUGUCACGAUGUAUACUAAGGUGAAAAAUGAGAACACAACUUAGCGAAGCGCAAUCACACGGUCACAUGAUGGACUGAACAGAGUUGCCACCGAACUUUAUUUAUUCCUAAAAACGAAUGGGGAAAUAUCGAUAAAACCCAAGAAAGAAUGACAAUGAUUAUGAUCGUCGCAACCAAAUCAGGGUUCGAGAGUCGACUAUGCAAGGGGAAGGUAUUAGCACCCCUCACGUCCGUUAUAAUCAAUGGGAACCAUUAGGUUAGUUAUACGUGUUAGUGUUAUCUUCAAAUGUUAGGCUUCUCAAGUUAUUAUGAGGGAAAGAAAGAAUAGAAGAGAGAAUAAUAUUUUUGGAUUUUGCAAUGAAGGGGACUAAACCUAAGUUUUUUAUUAAUGGGCCUGACAAGAUUUACAAAUCCUGCUCCUACGUAUCUCUACGUGCAAUAGAGAACUCAAGGCUUACGUAGUUCUGGGUAGAAAAAUAUUUGUUUGUUGGUCGAUUUUAGCGAAAGCUAUAUUAUAUUAAUCGACGAAAACAUUGUUUUACCCAAAAUAGAUGAGGAGCAGACAUAUACUACACAUCGAAUGGAUUUACAAAUCAACAUUCAGAAAAACGUCACUUAUCUCAACUCAACAAUUAUGGCCGAAGCAUUGCUUUACAUCAUCUUAAGACAAGGUUUCUUUCGUUUAUGAACAGGUUUUUCUAAUCAAUCGCGCGGCGGCGAAGAAAAGAGUUUGAUUGGUUGGAUGUAUAUUUGGGCUUGAAAGACGAGUAUUUAUGACUCGCAAGCUCUUACAACUUGGGCCUAAUACUCGAGAUUACGUCUGGACCUUUCACCCAGGUAAUCUUUUUCUUUCAAUUUUAUUGAGAAAAGACAUUUGAAUAUUUACAAAUAUUUUGAAGAGAAGACGAAAACAUAGGGCUUACAAGCUCUUACAACUUGGGUCUCAUAUUUGGGAUUACGACUGAAUAUUUCAUCUAGGUAAUCUUUUCUUCCAACUUACUUAUGAAAAUGAUUUGAAUAUUGGAGCGCUUUGAAGAGAAGACGAAUACAUAAGGCUUACAAGCUCUUACAGCUUGGGCCUAAUAUUCGGGAUUACGACUGGAUAUUUCAUCCAGGUAAUCUUUUUCUUCAGAUUUUAUUGAGAAAAGAUUUAAAAGAAUAGGUUAAUAUGAAGGUUUGAGAUUAAAAUGAUCAAAGUAUGGAAGUUCGAAAUCAAAGGAAGUUGAAUGGAUACACUCAAAAAGACUUGAUAUAAAAGGACCCCAAAAUAAUUCGAGUAUAAAUAAAUAAAUCAGUAAAUAAGUUUAUUUAUUUUUGACCCACUUAAAAAUAAAAAUAAAAAAUAAAAAUGAAAUAAAAUUAACAAAUGUUUUAAAAUAGUUUGAAUUAAAUAGGGGAUACAAAAAUGAUUAAGCUAAAUCAAUAAGUUAUGAAAAUAAAAUAAAAUAAAGAAUGAUAAUUAUAUGAAAAUAGAACUAAUGAAUUAAAAAUUGCCAAGGCUAAGGAUCAAACCUAAAGGCCUAGUGGGAAAUAGUGGGUGAAUCAACCACUAAGCCACGAGCGCCUAGCUAACAUAAAUUCACACUCAUAAGUAUAUAUAAAUUAAAUUAUCCACGAAAACCUUAAAAAAAAAUAGUAUGGAUUGGGCCCAGAGGCGGGAGGAUAUGAAUCUCGGGUUGGGUCAACCUAACCCAGUGCCUUAUAACAUGAAGGGAGGAAACAAGCGAGCCCUAAUUCGGCUGCUACAUUUCCUUCCUGCAGAUAUAUUAUUUUCUUCAACUAUGGCUUGGUUCAACGUAGCAGCAGGAUGAAAAAAACACGUUCCACUUUUCCUCACCAACAUUCGUUCCCACUCAAACUACUCUUUCUCGCUGCACUCAUCCAUAAACCCCAUCUCUCGCCGUUCUCGCUCAAACUCUCUCUCUCUCUCUCUCUCUCUCUCUCNCUCUCUCUCUCUCUCUCUCUCUCUCUCUCUCUCUCUCUCUCUCUCUCUCUCCGUUCUCGCUCAAAUCCGGUUGUGAAGAGACAACAAUCAAGCCAACAACAAGAAAACGGGAACGGAAAAUACCAUAAAGUAAAGAUAAGUACCUACCUUGGAUCCAAACACAAUUUGAGAAAACUAAAGUCGACCUCAGGUACUUGGAAUUUUUUGCUUAUGUGAUAAUGAGAAUCUUUCGGUGAGGCUUUGUUGUUUGUGGGCUUUUGGUCUGAUGAAUAUUUUAAAGAUGUUUGGCUACUGAUCUUUUUGAUUUUUCGAUUCUGGUUUUCUUCUAUCUCUAUGAUUUUUAUGUCAUUCCCCCUUGGUGUUGUUUGUUUUUGAUCAUUUUAUAUGGAGAAUUUUAGGGUUUCAAAUAGAUGUAUAUUGAUGGAAAGGGAAGGAAUCAAAUAUGUUUUAACUUACUGCAAAAUAGUCUGCCUAUUUUUGUGAAACAAUUGUUUUCUAGUGUUGAAAUUUUUAUUGAUGCAGUAGUAUGUCAAUCCUCUUGCUUUUGCCUGUUAUUUUGUAUCACUAUAGCAUGUUAAUUCUGCUAUUCUGCACAUACAAGUGUACAGGACAAAACUUGUGCUCAAAGAAUCAAAUGUUUUGUUAUGUUGGUUUUAGUUACUAUAACAUGAAAAAUGAACUUGUAACUAAAAUACUUUUUUUUUGCUUAAUUAUUUUGUUUUUUCCUUAUGAUGUAGCCAAAAGUAACAUAAAAACUAUUUUUUUUUUUAAUUUUUUAAAAAUAAAAUAAAAUAAAAAUAAUAUAAUUAUAAAUGUUACAAAAUAUUCAAAUAAAUUCAAAUGAAAUGAAUAAAUUGUAAAACCAAGUUAAAAUUGUGAAACAAAAUGUAAAACAAAUUAUAAAACAAAUUGUAGAACAAAAAUAAUUAUCAUUAUCAUUUUUUUAAAAUUCAUAUCUUAAUUUGUGAAACAAAAAUUAAUUUGUCAAUACCUAUUUAAACGUAACAUAAAAAACUUUCUUGUUAGAAAUUUAAAAAAUAAUACCAAGGCAAACCAAAAAGAACCUAAUUUUUGAGAAUGCAAAGAUAUAAUUCUAAAUAAUUGAAGUUAAAUCUUUUAUGAUAAAAAUCUCUAAACCUACAAGCACUCAAUGUAAUGCAACAAGUGUCGAUUAUGGACAUGUAGUGUACGAUAGAAAACUUAUGGAAAAACAAAUGUAUGAAUGACAUGGUAAAUGAAGAAAAAAAAUCUAAUGAAAAUUUAAAUAAAUGCCAUUAAAAUGAAAUUAAAAAAAUGAAAUAAUUUAUAAAUAUGAAUAUUUAUGAAUGAAGAUCAUGGUUUUUUGAUGUGAAUUGGUAAAUAGAAAGAAUUCUAAUGAAAAUUAAAUUAAUGCCAUUAAAACGAAAUUUUAAAAAAAUGGAAUAAUUUAUGUGAAUGAGUGGAUGCAAAUUGAUAAAUACAAAUGCUUGAAAUGUAAAUGAAUGCCUUUAGGCGGGACAAAAUAUAGGGUAUGACAGAAGUAAAGUGAUUCUUUUGAUAGAUAGUUGACACAAAGUUGAAUAUGAUUUGAAAAACAACAUAUGGACCGAUAUUACGGUAUUUAUUUUGAAUUUGAUGAUUUACAAGUAUAUAUGAUCAUUUAUUUUUUUGUUUAAUACUAAUAACAAUUAAAUUAUGUAAACAUAUGAGGUGUUUGAUGUUAGUCUAGAUGAUAGUAUGGUGAAAAAGAAAUCGCUUAUAUAUGAUGGUGAACAUUGGAGGGGCUUUAAGACACAACUCACAUGAGAUUAUAUUACUAAUCCAAGAGAUGAAGAUGACCCAUAAUAUAAUCCUCCAUACUUUAUGUAUUCAUUUAAUGAUCAGGAUGUUUCAAAGAAAUUUGUAAAGUUUCGCACCACUCCUGAAUUUUUGGCCAAGAGCCAAAAAGGAAAGUAUAAUAGAUAUAAAAAUAUCUAUCCACAUAGAUUAUCUCAUGGAGGAUAUGAAAAACUUGAAAGAAGAUAAUUGAAGAAAAAAGAAAACAAGGGGAAUUGGAGCUGGGAGAUUCUAUAAGUCUUAAUCGCGCUUAAUCUCCCCCAUCACGCCAUGAGAAAUGGAAAAGGGCACAUAAAAGAAAAGGCGGCGAGUUCACAUCAGAGGCUACGCGCGAAGUUGCUGAAAUGAUUGUAAGUAGUUACUUUUUUCAACAAUAUUUAUUUUAGUUAAAUCAAUUUGGUAGAUAUGAAAUUUUAUAUGUGUUAUAGGAUGUAUUGGUUGAACAAUCCAAAGUAGGCCUCUUCAUUCCACAAGAUUAUCAUGACAACUUGGUAAAAGCGAUUGGAAUCGAGAAGCAUAUUCGGCGUGUUCGUGGUCUUGGAAGAGAUGUUGGCUUCAAGUCACAUUUUGGACCAUAUAAAUCAUAUAAACAAGUAAACUUUAGGAGAGAGAUUGAAGAUAUAGUUGUUGUACAUGUGGAGAUGUAAGGGAGAAAUAGAUUCGAGAGGAGACGGAGAGUUUGGUGCAACAGGUGCGGGAGAUUGUCCAGAAGGAGAAAGAGGAGCGAGAGAGGUUCGCCGAUUAGGAGCAAAAGAAGUCGAAGGAGGAAGAUCUUGAGAGGAUGUCUGAGAAGUGUAUCCAUGAUGUACUUGAGGUAUACGUAUAAGUAAAACUAUUUGUGUUGUAUGUUGUUGUUUUUAUUGUUUGCUUCUUUUAAUUUUUGUAUUGUAUUUCUAUUAUUUUUAUGAUGCAGAAACUAAAUUCAUUGGGACUACUCAACCAAUCAAUUUCAAAUACUUAGUUGUGCAUUCAUGAUAAAGUUAUGGAUGGUACAAGUACAAUAGAAAGUUGUUCUGCCCACCAGGACAAUAUUGAAAUGACACAAUCAUAACUAGAUAAUACUAAGAGAUUUUCAAUGAUAUUACAUAGUAUUCCACACAUCUGCCAAGAUAUUAAAUUAAGUCAUGAUUCAAAUAAGUAUUCCAUACUUCCUAAGACUUCAAUUAUGGAAUUUUUAAAGGGGGAUGAAUGGAUAUAAAAUACCAUAUUACAAUUGGCGUGCUCAUAAGUAUAAUUUUUACGUUGGUUUUUAUUUAUAUUCAAACAUUCUCGUACGUUAACAUAAAUAUUUGACUCUUGCAGGUUCUUGUAUUAGAUGUGUGUUGAAAGGGAUUUAAAAAGGAAUCGUUUCAUAGAUCUAGGGCACAUUAGCCUUCAUGGUGGUAUGGUAGCAAACAAUAUCACGAUUUACGUACAAGAAAAGUUGUUGAACGAGAACAAAGAAUGUUAUUUAACCCCAUUUUUUCUCCCAUAAGUAUUAGUUUGGAUUUUCGUUUAUAAAUCAAUUUUAUACAUAUUAUUAAUUAUUUUAAAUGUAUAUGCCGUAGUCAUUGACAAGUAUAUGCAAUAGUCAUUGGCAGAUGGAUGUAGCAAUAAGCCAAAUAGCAAAAAUGGGGGAGGGAAAAUUUAGAUUAUGAUAGUCACCAUGGAGAACAUUGAUACAAUGAAAACACUCGCAAACAAUUUUCUUUUCCUUUUUAGAUAGAGUGUGACAUGCCAAAGGAAAAUAACUUAUUUUUCCUCUAUCUUCUAGGGCUAAUUAUUGUCGUAUACCUGUCUACACCAUAUCUAAACGAGAAAUCUUAUUAUCUUUAGUCUUGUCUGGAAUGUUUAGGAGUACUCUAAUCAAACUAUCACACACAUUUUUCUCCACAUGCAUUACAUUAAGACAAUGUCUUACAUCGAAGGUAGAUUAAUAUGGAAAAUUAAAGAACACCAAUCUCUUUUUCCAAAUAUUUCUUUAAACUUGACCUUUUUUAUUCUUUCCAAAGACAAGAAUAAAGUGUUCUUGUCAUUGAUAAACUUCAUCGCCAAUUAAAUGUUUAUGAGCAAUUUCAAACUCUCGUUCUCCAUUAUAAGCCUUCCGCAAUCUACAAUAAGGAUGAUUGGGUUUUAGUAAUUUCUUAUACUCAAGGUAAAUGGUAUUUUUUUUCCAAACUCAAAUCGGUUAACACGCUUUAUGUCCUUUGACAUUGUAUCCAACCAAAUUACCAUAUGCAGGAAAGUCGUUGAUUGUGCAAAAUAACAUAGCACACAUCUUAAACUUUUCACCAAAAUAUGCAUCCUUAACGUUAACGCAUUCCUUCCAUAUAAGUAUUAAAUAUUCAAUUAAUGGACUUAGAUAAACAUCUAUGUAGUUUCCAUAUUAUUUUGUUCCAUAAAUUAUCAUACUUAACAACAUAUAAUUGUGCUUCAUGCACAAUCAAGGAGAUAGGUUGUAAAUUGUGAGAAUAACGGGAUACGAAGAACAAUUAGUACUCAGAUUAUCAAAGAGGUUCAUUUCGUCCGUGGCAAGUCCAUGUCUAAGGUUUCUUGGCUCAAGUCCAAAAUCUGGAAACAACAAACCAAUUUUAUUCCAUUGCAAAGAAUCAACUAUAUGGUGAAUGUUUCCAUAAUAUUUCCUUUCAUCUGCAUGUCAUCUAAUAUUCUUUGCAUCAUUCAAAUUAGCAAAAAGUCUUUUGAACCUUGAAAUUAUGGUCAAGUACCAUGACACUUUAGCAGAAGGACGCUUAUUACUAACAUUGUAAUUAUUAUCACCAUUGUUGUCCAUCACCUUGUAGCAUGACAUGCCACAUUCCGAAUAUUUAUCCAAAUUUUCAUCUUUUUCCUGUAUAAUAUGCAAUCAUUAGGGCAUGCAUGUAUUUUGAUAUACUCCAAACCAAUUAGACACAGUAUCUUCUUGGCCUCAUAACAAUGAUCUAACAAAUUUUUAAUCUUUGUAUAGCAUUUGUUUCAACAAAUCAAGCAAUUUCGUGAAACUUUUAUCUGACCAUCCACUUUUUUCUUCAAAUUAAGCAUUUUUAACAACACAGACAAUCAUGUAAAGCUUGUGCACCCCUUAUAUAAAAGAGCAUACUUACCACUACUUAAAGUAUCAUAAAUAUGGGCUUUCAUAAAAAUCGAUUCUCCAAUAUCACAAAUCAUAUCUUCUAGUCGAUCAUCCAUAUCUUCAUCAACUUCAUGCAUUUGUGACAUUGCUUUUCGAUUUUUAUCCAUUUCUCCAUGCCAUAUCCAUAUUUUAUAAUUUUGACAUAUUCCACCACAACAUAUGUGAUGUAAUAUUUAUUCCUUUCAACGUUUUUUUAUAUUCCCGCAAUUAACACAAGAACAAUAAAAGAGACCAUUAUUUCCAGGAAUAUUUUGUUCCGCGAAUUCAAGGAAUUCGAGAACUCCUCUCUCAUACACCAAGACUAAUCUAUAAGUUGUCAUCCAACUACGAUCCAUAAUAAAUUCUGAAAUUUAUAUCAAAAGACUAAUGUGAAUGACUCACUAAUGCUACACCCAUAACAUACUAAUAUGGUUAUAUGCAUAUGCAUAUCCAUCACAAUAAUAUAACAUUUAACAACACCAAGAUCUAUAGCAUAUUCAUAACCACAAAUAUAAUUCAUGACAUCAAUCAACAACCCAACAAUUUCAUUUGCAACUGCACAAAGUCAUAGUCACAAAAUCUGAAUAAAACAUGAACAAAGCAACAUGAACAAUACACAUCACAAUGUCAAUGCUCAAACGGCUGAUUUAGGAAAUGCAACAAAAGCCAACAUCAUUGAUGUGUUAAAUAAAGAAAUCAGUACCCUAGUGAAGGACAUAAACAUUCAGAAAGUUUUACUACAACUAACCACAGUUCGAGAGACAGACCAAGAAAUGUACUGUACUUUGAAGAGGAGGAAGAGACCAAGAAACGAUUUUUGUUCCAAGAAAUGAAUGAAGAGGGUGAAGAUUGGACGUUCCAAAUGAAUGAAGAUGGUGAAGAUAAAGAUUUCGCUAUCUCCGUCGGCUGGUUCACUAGGUCAUGUUUUAUGCAGGAAAUAAAGAACUUGUUAUGUUUUAAUUUUGCAGUAAAGAAUUUUACCACAGUUGUCAAUACCAACCGUAGUGAAAUAUGGCAUAUGUAAUAACAGUUGAUAAAAACAAUCAUAGGUAACUGUUUUUCAAUUUUUAUUUAACAAUAUAAGUUAUGGGAUAAACUUUUUUUAUAGAAGAAAUGGAAAAAUGUUAAUGUUGGGAUUCAAAGCUUGUAACCCUUAAACUAUCACCACAAUUAUUAUUAUUAUGAACCGUGAUGAAAAGUAUUUUAAUAAAAAAAAAAUCAGGCGAGUAAAAUUACUACGGUUGACACAAUGGUCGUAGUAUAAUAUGAUGUUACCAAAAAUAUAUUUCGUAGUAGUAGUUAUUUGACAAGUACAAGAUCAAAUAUUCUCCAUGUUAUAGGAUUCACAAGUCUCUAUAUGGAGGCUCCAACAACAACUCACUUCAAGGCAGAAAAGAGAAUCCUUCAAUACAUCAAAUGUAGAACAAACUUUUGCUUGCACUAUUACUCUUCUAAAUUUUUUGAGAUUGUUGGCUAUAGUGACAGCGAUUGGAGUAGAGACUUGAUGAUAGAAAAAAAAAACUAUUGAUUAUGUCUUCUUUAUGGGAGUUACCUCUCUCAAUUGGAUGUCAAAGAAACAAUAAAUCAUCACAUUGUCAACUUGUGAUGUCGAGUAUGUCGUCGCCGCAUCAUGUGUUUGUCAUGCAAUUUAGUUGAGAAACUUGUUGAAACAGUUAAAAAUGCCAUAAGAAGAUCCUAUGGAAAUAUGUGUUGACAAUAAAUCUGCAAUUGCCAAAGAAUCAUAUCUUUCAUAAAAGAAUUAAACACAUCGACACCCGUUACCAUUUCAUAAGAGAAUGCAUCGAGAAGAAGGAGGUGAAGUUGAAGUAUGUAAUGUCUCAAGAUCAAGCUCCCAACAUUCUCUCUUAGCCAUUCAAGUUGGAAACUUUUGUGAAGGUAAGGAGUAUGUUUGGAGUCACAAAUCAAGUUUAAGGGGGGUGUUGAAAUAUUAAACUUGAUUUGAGUCUAACCUUAUUAUUUUGAUUUUGAUUUUUGGGCUUAAUUAUUUUGGGCCUAGAUAAGUCAUGUAGUGUUUGGAGUGUUUAGAUAUUUUUUAUAAUUGUAAUAUUUUCUAGAAUCCUCUUGGAAUUUCUAGAGUGGAGAAAUCUAUAGAAUUAGUGUGUCUAGAAUCAAGUUGGAAACUUUUGUGAAGGUAAGGAGUAUGUUUGGAGUCACAAAUCAAGUUUAAGGGGGGUGUUGAAAUAUUAAACUUGAUUUGAGUCUAACCUUAUUAUUUUGAUUUUGAUUUUUUGGGCUUAAUUAUUUUGGGUCUAGAUAAGUCAUGUAGUGUUUGGAGUGUUUAAAUAUUUUUUAUAAUUGUAAUAUUUUCUAGAAUCCUCUUGGAAUUUCUAGAGUGGAGAAUUCUAUAGAAUUAGUGUGUCUAGAAUUCUCGUUAGAUUAUUAUAAAUAUGAAUCUAAUCUUACACUUUUGUAUCAAGUGAAAUACAAAAUCAUCUAUUCCAUAAAUAAUUCUCCAAUCUAUCAAGUUUUUAUUCAAGUCUCUAAUAUUCCUAAAUAAUUUCCUCAAACGUAAAAGAUCUUAUUUCCAACGAAGAUCUUAUAAACUGCAAACUAUUUUCUACUGCAACCAAUUAGGACUUAUGGAAGCCUAAAAAACAUGUUUCAUAAGUCUCAACAAGUUUUUUAUUUUGAUUUGGUUUCACAUUGUCUUGUAUUAGUGGCACAUGACUUUGCAAGGAGGGAGAACAAACCAUAAAGUUUCACAAAGGCCUUAGCCUCUUGUAAGAUAUUUAUAGUUAUAAACAAAAUGUACAAAUUAAUUUGCCUUGUCUUUUCUGCUCUUCUUGGUAUAAUUGAGAUCAUGAUAUUGAUUACAACUAGAUCAUGCUCACUUAUUUUACAAUGUGAAUCAUGUAGACAUUGAGAUCAUAUCAAUAUCAACGGAUGAAAUCAUAAACAAGAUUAUUUUAUUUAUAUGUAUCAACUUUUAGAUAUUCGAUGAUCCAUCACCCUUAGAUAAACUUCGAAGCAGUAUUGUUGGUGCGGCUGCGAGACUGAGAGCGAGGGAGCACAGUGGUAGUGGUUCGACUUCUUUUGAUCAUACAACAAAGGUAAUUAGUGCUUUCUCUAUCCUUUUCUAUUGAUACUUCCUUAAUACUUACAUCUAAGAUCAGCCACUGGGUUGAUUUUAAAAAAAAUAUAUAUCCAACGACGCAAAUGUAUCAUUGCAACAUCAUACACUUUUAUUUUAUUUUUUCUUAUUUUGCAGUAUGUAUUAUUUGUCGAAUACAUGCUCGGAGAAAUAUGAAUUUCUAGUAUAUUAUUUGUUGAAAUAGCGUAGCCAUAGCUUCUACGACUCUGGAAAAUCAAGAUGAAAUAUAUACUGCUCUAGAAAUAGCAUUGAAGCUUGAAAAUAGUAAGACUAGAUCUAAUUAUCAUAGCUAAUUAUUUUUAUGGUAAUUUUCAUAUGACAGUAAGCGCAUCUUUUAACUACAGAUUUACAAGUGAUUAUGUUAAGUAUGAAUCAUAUAGUAAGAACGUAGCAAUUUCCAAUAUCAAAUAUAUAUUAUAUAUAUAUAAUAUAUAUAUAUAUAUAUAUAUAUAUAAUAUAUAUUAUAUAUAUAUAUAUAUUAUUGCUUGUAAAAAUGUAACUUUAAUUAAUAACAAAAAUAGAAAGGAAUUGGAUGUACUCUAUAGUCGUAGAGGUAGACACCGUUAAUUAAACAACGUUAAGAAAAAUUAAUCAUGUUCAUUGUCUUUUACUUUCAUUUCUUUUUAAAAUUUUAUAUUUGGUUGUUGUUGUAACAAUUGGUAUCAGAUGACGAUUAACACUUAUGUGAAAUUCGAGGUGAGAAGGUUCGACAUGACGAGUAAUUACAGAUUAUGGGAAGACAUUGUGUGAGACAAAACCGAACGACAUAGAGAAUAUAGAUUGGGAAGAGAAGAAGGAGAAGGCCCCGUGAUUGAUUCUCUUAUGUGUUUCAGAUGAGGUGAUGACUUUAACAACAUAAUCAUUGAUCUGGUUGGGGUGAAGGUUGUGGACGAAGAUAAGGUAAUUAUAUGGUUGUGUUUACUGCUACAUUUUUUCUCAUUCUCAAAUGAGACAUGGUGUAGAGAAAGCAACUUAAUGCGACAGUCUGUAUGUGAUGGUGGUCAAGAGCGUGGGAGGAUUUAGGGUAAAGCGGGGAAUCAGCUGAGUGUUAUAAUUGCAAAUAAACUAGGCAUUAAAAGAGGGCUCAUCCAUUUUUAUAAAUAUGGUUCAGAUCGAUGAUUCUCGAAGUGAAGCAAUUAUAUUGAGUGCUUCAUCCCGCUAGUGCUUAAAUGCAAGAGUUUUUUAUUCUUGUUCUCCUUACCACUUGGCGUCGGGAAAAUCAUGGUUCACUACAUUCAGAUAAGGUUAUCUUGGAUUUAUUUAUUUUGAUAAUGACAAAGCUUGUACUAUCACUAGAAUAUCACUAGAAUGAGACAAAUUUAAAUUUCCAUAGAUGAUGGUUGCAUACGAACAUUAAACAAUGUUAGAUAUAUUUUAUAAUUGAGGAAGAAUUUGAUUUCCCUAAGUAUUUUACAUCAGUUGAGUUUAAUAAUAAUGCAACCAAACUCUGGAAUAUAUGUUUCAGUCAUAUCAAUGAGCGUGGGAUGAUGAAAAUUCAUUAGAUAAGUCUAUUGAAUGGUCUUUGUAGUUCCAAUAUGUAUUUGUUCAAGUAUUAUGUACUCGCAAGACAAUGUCUUUUUCGGUUUAUGACCGAAAAGCAUAAAACAAUGUGAAUUUUAUACUAUGUACAAUCAGAUGUGUGAGGCCUAUCAAAGAGCUUUCCAUUGCUUGUUCCGAAUAUUUUGGGACUUCCGAAGUAGAUUUAUUCGCAAGAUUUUGGUGUAUUUCUUGAAGAAGAAAUAUGAUCUUUUUACUAAAUUCAAGUUGUGGAAGGCAGAGGUAAAAAAUCAAACAUGUAGAAAAAUCAAGUAUUUGCAGUCAGAUAAUGGGAUAUAGUACAUUAAUUCAAGAUGCUUUGUGAAGAAGAAGGUAUCCAAAGGAAAUUCUCAGUUUGUAAGAAACCAUACCAAAUGAUGUGGCAAGAGGAUGAUAGGUCUCUAACUGAACGAUGAAAAUGUAUCUUUCUAAAUGUUGUGCUAUCAAAAGGUUUAUAUAGAGAGGCAGUAUAACAUGACAUUUUAUCUUAUCAAGAGUUCACCACUGGCUUCAUUUGAGGGGAAGGUUAUAUAGGAAGGAUUUACAUGUAAUCCUAUUGAUCUCGAUAAAUAAAGGAUUUUUGGGUGUCAACCUUAUAUGAAUAUAUCAAGUGAAGAUCAAUCCAAACUUGAUCCAAAGUUGAAGAAGUGUGUCUUCAUCAGUUACGCAAAAAUAAGAUGGUAAUAAGAAGAGAUGUUUCUUUUUAUGAGCAAACGCUAUUGAAGUAGUCAGUUGCAAUAUAUGCAUCGGAAUCUAAAGUAGAAAUUUCCAACAAAUAGGUGAUUUAGGUGGAUGUUGACCAGCCAUUAGUGAACAAUAUGCAUGUGGUUCCUGAACCACAAGUGGAACUUAACUCUAAUAUUGAAAUUGCAAACGGACAUGAUGUUUCAGGUGUAGUAUAAGAUUAUAUUCUUAUAUGUGACAGAGAACACCGUUUAACAAGGUCACCAUAAAUAUUUGUUGAUAACUUAUUUAAUGUGAGAUAUUUAAUCCCUUAAUAUUUGAAUUAUUAAGAAAAUUAUAUUUAUUUAGAAUUCAUUUUUUGUGUUUGUUUAUAUUUAGCUUAAUUAGUGAUUAGCACACCAGACGCUCUUUCAUUUACUUUGUAUAUUGUUUUUUUAUGCACAAGAGUAGCCUUGGUGACGAGUUAUGUCAUGCCAAAUAUCUAUGAUCAAUACUAACCCGGUUUAAAUCUAGUAGAAGGUUUGAAUUGCAACAUUAUGGCUAACAUGGAAGAGUUGAAAGAAAAAAAAUUAGGGUUGAGAUGUAAAGUCAAAAAUAUAAGGAUGAAUGUUAGAAGAUAAAGUCUGAAAACCUAUUUAGACCACUGUUACAUCUACCAACAUAAUUUCAAACCUGCUAUGAAAUGUGUUGAUGUGUACUACUAAUGCACCAGUAUUAGAAGACAAAAGGAAUAUGAAAUAUUCAUUAGGCCUGACCAUUGGAUAAUCAAAAGGCUGAGAACUGACUAUCAAAGGAUAUUCAUUAGGAUGAGAAAAAAAGGUUCUGAAUUUUAGAGAUAAAUUAUUCAUAACAAGGAAGGAAGGUUGAAUCAAAGUUUGAUGUGUCUCCCGCCCUACCAUUUUUGAAUAAUUUAGCACAAUCAUACGUGACACAAGACACCUCCUGCUGAUUGAUGAUUGCAAGUAGUUGAGGUGUCACUCUUAGGUUUAUCUUUCUUUUCUUUACUGAGUAGAAAUUUUAAGCUUAGGAACUUGUGCUAUUAUGAUUCUUUUUCUCACCAUGAGCUAAACUCUUUGUGUUGGUCCACGUGAAAUAUAGUUGAAAAGUAAUCUUUUAUACAGUCUAUUUAUAUAUAUUAAAUCCAGUGCAUCAAACUAUCUUGCGACACUUCAUCUUCAUGUAUGAUACAUCAUUUAUUUUCCUAUGUGACAUCUCUCAAAAUUCAUCUACAAUUUUUAAAAGGUCAAAACAUAUUGUUUCUCUCUAUAAAAGCUCAUCGGUUCGAAUCAAAACUAAUGCAAAAAUACAAUUACCUAAUAUUUGAUUAUUAACUUUAUUUAUUUUAAAAAAAUAUCAUACUAAUUUAUUCACAAUAAAUUUAUCAUUAGUCCAACUAAAUACAUUUAAAAAAAAAAUAAAAGAGAUGUUUAGAUCCACACACUUUAAAAUAUUUUUUGUUUUCUUAAAAUCAUAUCAACAAAAGAACCACUUGAAAAAUACUUUUAAUGUUAAAAUAUAUAUUCCACAAAAAAUUAUUUCAAUUGGUAAAAUAAAAUCUUGUAUGUCACUCUCAAGUUACAACUAUAUAUUUUUUUAUUUCGUAAUUAAUUCAUAUUAUUGUCUCACUUAUUUAUAAUAAAAUUAUAAUAUAAAUUUGUUGUUCAUAUUUACAAAAUUAAAAUUCUUAAUAUAUAUAAAACUCAAUAUAAAAUAAAUAAAAAUUAAUUAACAGCCGCGCAUCGCGCUGGUCUCAAUCUAGUAUGAAUUAAUUUUAGUGACUUAUUUUGUCAUAUGUAUUAAAGUUAUAUAUGUGUUUCUUUUCCUGAUCACCAAACAAAUACAUAUCAUUUAUUAUUAUUAUUAUUGAGGAAUUCGCUAAUAAAUGUACAUCAUGACAAAUAUGAAUAAAAAAUUAAAUAAGAAUACUUUUCCAUUUAGUUACUUUAGGGAUAAUGAACUAAAACUAUAGGGAAUGUAAAACUCAUUAAAGAUGUCCAUAAUUGAUAUUAUGAGACUUAAGAUUUUGUUCAAUAGUUAUUCACUACACAUACUUAGACGUUGUAGUCAUACACCACUAGGUCAUAUUCUAACCUCAAUUGUUAGGACAUAUCAUAUCUAAAGAAAUAUUACUGCCUGCCUUUCAUUGAUGUGAUAUCACAAAUAUAUACAAUUGUUACCAAAUCCCUCUGUUUAGGAAGGUAUUGAUGUUUCAUGAAUAUAAUUACAUAUAGAGAUAUUGACAAAUCAUUUUCUAUUAAUACGAGGCAUCAGUAGAAAUAGUAACAAAUCAUUUUCUAUUAAUAUGAUAUUCUAUUACUCCCCCGCAGUCGAAUUGGGAGGUUGACUGACGUUGAGAUUGUCCCGAAAGUCCUGAAAGAGUAUUAAUGGAAGGCCUUUGGUAAAAUUGUCUGCAAUUUGAUACCGUGAGGGGACGUGGAGGACCCGAACAUGGUCGCGAGCUACUUUCUCGCGAACGAAAUGUAUAUCCAUCUCAAUGUUUUUCGUUCGUUGAUGUUGAACUGGAUUACCAGAGAGAGAUAUUGCACUUACGUUGUCACAGUAAACUAAGGUGGCCUUAUGAAUAGAACAAUGUAACUCGAGAAGGAGAUUGCGGUAGCCAACAAGAUUCAGAAACCACGUUAGCAACACCACGGUAUUCGGCUUCAGCACUAGAUCGUGAUAAAGUGGGUUGAUGUUUUGAUGACCAAGAAAGCAAAUUAUCACCUAGAAACACACAGUAACCAGAAGUAGAGCGCCUAGUAUCAGGACACCCUCCCCAAUCGGCAUUUGUAUAAGAUUUUAGGAAGGUAGUACAUGAAGGAUAAAGAUUCAAACUGUAGUUUCGUGUGCCCUGAAUGUAGCAUAAGAUGCGUCGUAGGGCAUGCCUGUGAGCAUCCAUUGGAUUAUGCAUAAAGAGACAUAUUUGUUGAACGACAUAGGAGAUAUCGGGCCGAGUGAAGGUGAGAUACUAAAGAGCACCUGCAAGACUGUGAUAAAGUGAUGGAUCCUCAUAUGGAGUGCUAUGUGUGGCACUCAUCUUUGGCUUUGUGUCAACUGGGGUUGGACAAGACUUGCAGGUUGACAUGCCGACGCAUACUAGGAUGUCUUCGGCAUACUUUUUUUGGGAGAUAAAAAUACCUCUUUGAUGGCGAGUGACUGCAAUACCCAAAAAAUAGCUCAAGGGUCCCAAAUCUUUCAUAGCAAACUCUGAACUAAGAAGUGAAAUGAUAGAUUUUCGUAGAGCAUCAGAAGAAGUAGUAAGAAUAAUGUCAUCAACAUACAGUAAGAUGUAAGCCAUAUGAGUGUCUUUCUUGUAGAUGAAAAGAGAGUGAUCACACUUGCUUUGGGUGAAGCCAAUAGAAGAAACAUAAUCUGCAAAUCGCUUGUACCAAGCUCGAGGAGCUUGUUUAAGCCCAUAUAGUGAUUUACGGAGAAGACAGACAUGAUGAGGAUUCACUGGGUCCUUAAAUCCCAACGGUUGAUGCAUGUAGACCGUUUCUUUUAGUUCUCCAUGGAGAAACCCAUUCUUGACAUCCAAUUGAUGAAUUUGCCAAGAUUUUGAGAUAGCAAUACUAAGGACAGUGCAAAUAGUAGCUGGUUUGACCACAGGACUAAAAGUUUCUCCACAAUCGAUGCCAACCUGUUGACCUGCACCAUCACCUACAAGUCGGGCUUUAUGCCUCUCAAAAGAACAGUCAGAUUUUUCUUUAUGUCUAAAAAUCCACAUAGAUCGAAUAACAUUAACACCGGUGGGUCGUGGCACUAAAUCCCACGUCUUAUUUUUAAUUAGAGCGUUAUAUUCAUCAUCCAUGACCAUUUUCCAAUUUGAGUCUUUAAGUGCAUACACUGAGUUUUUAGGUAUAGGAGAUUUUGUGACAUGGGUGUGGAGGCCAUAAUAUUUUUGGUUUGGCAUAAAAAUUCCAUGUUGACUUCUAGUAAUAGGUUUUGUAUAUAUUUGUAAGGUGGGUUGGAAAAUUGCAGGAAUGGUAUUUUGACUUAUGGAUUAAAUAUCUGUUGUUGUGAGGUGUGGGGAGAGGGAGUUUGUAUUUGAUAAUGUGGUGGGUUGUUGUGGAGGAGGAAUAGGGAUGUGAGACCGAGUGGGUGAGGUUAUGGUUGUGGGUGGGUCCGUAUGGGAUGAGGUGGACCGGUUUGAUGGAUGAGGUGGGUCCGUAUGGUUGUGUGGGUUAUUUUGUGUUUGGGUAAUUAUGUGGUUUAUGUAGUAGGGGGACAACUCGUUUUCAAGGAAGUUAUAUGUAGUAGGUUGGGGGGUGUGGAACUUUGCAUAUGGAAAAUGAGUUUCGUCAAAUAGGACAUGGCGGCAAAUAAUAAUUUUAUUGGAUGUUAAAUCUAGACAUUUAUAUCCUCGAUGAUUUUUCGGAUACCCAAGAAAGACACAUGGAGUGGAUCGAGGUUGGAGCUUAUGUAUCGUAGUGGAAGAAAAUAGAGGAUAACAUAAACAACCAAACACUCGUAAAUGUGAGUAAGAGGGUUCUUUGUGAUAUAACAUUUUAAGUGGAGACUCAAAAUUUUAUGGUUUUGUUUGGAAAAAUGUUUAAGAGAUAUGUUGCCAUUUCAAGAGCAUGAUGUUAAAAAGUAGGUGGUAAAGACGCGUGAAUUAAUAAAGUUCGAAUAAUAUUAUUAACGGAGCGUAUUUUUUGUUUGGAUUUGCCAUUUUGAGAUGAUGUAUAAGCGCAAGACAAGCGAAACAACAUUCCAUUAAUAUCACACAUGUUUCGAAAAUUAUUAUUGACGUAUUCACUACCAUUGUCACAUUGAAUUGUUUUAAUUUCUCGUUGAAAUUGGGUGUUGAUGUAAGCCUUUAGUUUUUGAAAAUUUUUCACUACCAUUGUCACAUUGAAUUGUUUUAAUUUCUCGUUGAAAUUGGGUGUUGAUGUAAGCCUUUAGUUUUUGAAAAUUAGAAUAUACUUGAGAUUUGUUUGACAUUGGAAAAGUCCACAAAAAAUUUGAGUAAUUAUCCAAGAAAAGAACAUAAUAUUUGUGACCUAAAGAGCUUACAACAGGAGACGUCCAUACAUCGCUAUGUAAAAUAUCAAACGGCAAAAACUAGUAUUAUUUGAAUUCAUGAAAGGCAACUUGAUAUGUUUACCAAGAGGAGAAGAACGACAUAAACGAGAAUGUAUUUGUCUAGAUUUAUUACAUUCAAUAAAUUUAUUUUGUCUAAGAGAAUUUAAAAUGUGUUCUCCCGGAUGACCCAAGCAAUCAUGCCACAGAGAAGACGAUAAAGCUGCAAGAGAAAGAUUAGGCUUUGAUUUAUUUUUGGAGUUGGUUUUGGUUGUGAUGGGGUAUAGAUCACCUCGACUCUCACAUCUCAUUAGAGCGAUCCCCGUCUGAAAGUCCUUCACAGAAAAACCAAACGGGUCAAAUUCAAUUGAAACCUUAUUAUCUGUGGUAAAUUUAUGAACCGACACUAAGUUUUUAAUUAACUUUAGAGCAUGUAGUAUAUUGUUUAGGACAAAAGGGGGGUGUGGGGGGUUUUAUGUGUGCACUGCCAAGGCCAUAAAUUGGAAUAGAGUGGCCACUUCCGACAAUUAUAUUAUUAUUUUUGCUCAAUUUAAAAUAAGACGAAAGAUUACCUUGCGAGGAUGUCAUAUGAGAAGUGGCUUCGGUGUCCAUAUACCAAGAUUGAUCAGGCUGAGCAAGAUUGAGGGUGUGUAAAGCAGUUUCAAUAUCAGUUGGGCUGGGUGCAUUAACAUUGCAAGCAGCCUGUUGUGGUCUUGGCCCAAGGACUCCUCCUUGUUGAGUCUGUGCAGCAUUAGUGGGCCUACUCCAAUUGUAAGAUGGAUAAGGGCAAGGUGGUAUAUUCCAUGGAGCCCAUUGUUGCCAUGGCAUCCAUUGUUUCCAUUGUUGUUGACCUUGACCACGACCCCCGCCGUUGAAAUGAUUAGGACCUGUCCGACCGCCCCUCCCGUAGUUUCGGCCACUGUUGUUGUGGUUGUUCUUUUUGCCUCGGUUGCCGCGAGAGGUGUUAGAUGGUGGGUUACGGUUUUGAUAAGUGUAACCAGGAGAGGAAUGACGAGGGACAUCAUCAUUUGACAGUGAGACGCCACAUAAGUUACGAACUCGGCAUAAGCCUCAGUGAGACCGGAGAUCAUUUUUAAUACCAAACGAGUAUUUGUGACUGGAGAAUCAACGUUUGUGAGUUGAUCGGAGAGGAGCUUGAGACGGUUGCAAUAGGCUUUGGUGGAGGGAAAAUCUGCCAGAUUGGUAUUGCUAAACUGGUUUUCAAGUUGAACGGCCCGUGAGUGCUUGUUAUCAUUAAACAUAGCGGAGAUACGAUUCCAACUUAGUUCGGCGGUGUCGUUAAUCACAAGAACAUAAUGGAGUAUAUCUUGUGUGACAGUUGCAUACAUCCAUUACAACACAGCGGCAUCUAGACAAUUCCAAAGGUCGGGAUCAUUGGCUUUGACGGUGGCUGCCUCAGCACGAGCUUGCUCGUCAAUAGGUGGUAUGAUGUGAUCAAGCAUGUUGUGAACACGUGCUUGCACGGUGAAUAGAGCGGACCAAGAGAGAUGGAGAUCGGAGUCAUUAUCCAACGUCACUGGUAUGAUGUUUUUGACGUUGGUAAUGGCGAAAUCAGAAUGAAAGUUGGUUUUCGCCACAGGAGGGGAUUGGUUCAUCGUUGACGAAGUGUCGUCACCAUUGGAUGUGGGAGAAGAAGAGGUGUUGGUCAUGGUGGAAUAGAAGAGUUGCAGUGGUUAAGAGGGAUAUAUUUGGAUCGUGUAGUCUGAUACCAUAAAGAAAUAUUACUGCCUGCCUUUCAUUGAUGUGAUAUCACAAAUAUAUACAAUUGUUACCAAAUCCCUCUAUUUAGGAAGGUAUUGAUGUUUCAUGAAUAUAAUUACAUAUAGAGAUAUUGACAGAUCAUUUUCUAUUAAUAUGAGGCAUCAGUAGAAAUAGUAACAAAUUAUUUUCUAUUAAUAUGAUAUUCUAUUAAUAUCAUACUCACACACUAGGUGAAAUUAUUAAAUGGAUCAUUUCUUGACAUGCUUCUUUACUCUGUUAAACAAGCUUACUUCUUAGUUACUACUUCUUGUUUUAACCAAGUGACAACUAUCAAUUAUUAUUUAUCUUUAAUCAUAUUCUUUUCACAAAAUAUUUGACUGAAAACUCAACUUAACUUAAUACAAUAUCUAUGGAAUCGAUACGUUUUACUUUUAGCACCUACUACCAUUUUGAUUGUGUAUACAUGCACUUACAAAGAAGCCAAUAAGUAGUUGGCUCAGUUGCAGAGGAUUGUGUCAUUAACACUUUGAUUUUCAUUGAGAUUGUAAAAAGUAACAUUUGAGCUUUUGACACAUUUUUUUUAAUCUUUUGGUGUCACGACAAGUGUGUGGCUGCUGCAUGUGUAGAUUGUUAACUCUUGUUUGUAGAGGAAACAUUGAAUUAGAAAGAAAAUUUUAAACUUCUAAGAGAUGUCAUGUUUCUAAUCAUCUUCUUGGAAUCCCUAUUCUGGCUCCAAUUUCUAAAAAACUUGAAGAAGAUCUUGAGAAUCCUUAACAUGGAGAAGAUGAUAUCAUGACAAAAAGAGAUAUCAUUGGCAUUGCUAAUGAUAUGUAAAUAAGUAUCUGGAACUAUGUUGUUUUUGAUCUCGAGUAUUAGUAUUAUCAUA
rnacentral:lncRNA from 1 species